AAAAAAGAUACCUUAUAAAAAAUAUCAUUUUUACCUUUGGUGGUUGGUAGGCAAACAGAUGUGUUAGGAGCAGAGUUUGCUAAUGUAAUUUUGCUUAAAGUGUAUUUGCAAUGAAGUGAUUUAUGUUUUGUUUGAGUAUUGAUGAUAAGAAUCCCAGUUGAACGAGUAAUACUAAUUACCAAAAGGAGUAUGAGCAACCUCUUGGAUGAGGUUAUAAAUAAAGUGAUGAAAAGAACUGCUUCACAAUUAACUGCAUAUUUCUUCUCUUUUUUUCUGAGCAGAGACCAAAACCGAUACUUGCAUAUGAACCAAAUAACUGAGCAUGAGAGGUGUUGUAAAAUACAGAUAUUGCAAAUCCCUGAUAACAAAUGAGCAUAUAGUGUUAAGAUCUUCUUAGAUAUUGAAGGUCUUGUCCUUUAAUUUGUUUUACUUAUUGUUUGAUGUGUUAGUUUGGCAAUCUAAAACACAAAUAACACAAUUAGUUUGGUGUUGGUCUUCCAAACACAAGGAAAUGCUUUAACUAUCAAAUAGUAUUUAGCUAAUAUUUUAUUGUUGUGGUGAUUUAAUAUCUUAUUUAAGGAUUGGGUUCAUUUUCCUCAUUUAUUUGUUCCAAAUUUGUUGGAUGAUUUUAUGGCUUAUGAAAAAGAAUCCAUAGAGUUUGUUAGUGUCCAUUAGGCUGUCAUCCAUAAAUCAUCAAAUUUCUGAUUUGAUUUAUCUGACAUUGUCUAUGCAAAGUUGCAAGUGACUCAAUUUACAUUUCCCUUUUGAUAACUUGGUAACCUCGCCUGUUUUGAAAUUGGAUUGGCAGCAUGAUAAAAUUUUGAUUUCUUUCUUUUUCCUUUUUCCUGGUGCUUAUGUUUUACAGUUUUCCUCAAAUUAUUUAUUCCUAACCUGAAAUUGGAUUGAGAGAUGGCUAUCAGGAAGUGCCUUGAAGCAACUGGCCAUGUUUGUUUGCCCCUAACCCCACACGAGUGGUGUCUUUCCUGCUAAAAGACUGGAAUUUUUUUGAGGUUCCUGAAAAUACUGUAAGGCGUACCAUGCAUGAAGAGUACUUUCACUACGUUUUCUAAUUUAUUUGUGGAGAAACCUUAGAUGUAGUUCCUUAAUUGCUUUGGUGUUCUUCAAUCAAAAUUGGACUUUUACUUUGGCAAUCUACGUAAUAAAAGUUUGCAUUAUAGGUCACUAAGAUGAAACUCUAAUUUUGAUUGGAGAACAACACCAAGAGCACUUAAAAAAUUGCAUCGAAGGGUCUCUUCUGGGAAACAGCUUAAUUUUAAGCAAUUGUUGAAUAAGUACUCAUCAUUAUAUGUUGUUUUUAUAAUCAAAGACAAAUAAGAUUAAGGUUGAAUUGUUUUCAUAUAUAUAACUUAUAAGUUGUUUUCACAAGUUAAAUAGGAAAGCUUAUUGAAAUAAAUUGAAAACAACUUAUGCAAAGAUCAUAAGCUAAGCCAUUUUCAUAAGCUUAAGCGCAUAUAUAAGUGUUUAUGUUACAAGUCCAAAUAAAAUAUAAAUGGGCUCUUCUAAGUUUUUUCCAUUAUAUAUAGGCGUAUCUGUUUACCUAUGUUAAUCUACAUUUUCGUUUUCUCCAUAAGGUUUGCUGUGGAUGCGCACUGCAGCAAUCAUGCAAGUUUGGGAAUCAAAGUGUAUGGAAAUGUAAAGAUGCCAAUAAUUUGGAUUCUGUGACUGUGAUGAAGGUUAUUACUCCAUAUGCUUUAGAGUCAGUGAACCCCCAACUGGUAGUGCCUGAUGAAGUAAAGAAGUCAGUAAAUUAAUUGCUGAAGGAGGUUGUGAAACUGAGUCAAACCACCUGAGAUUGCUUCUGCUUGACCACAUAUUGUUAUAACUUUUUCUCACAAAUGUAUGGGAAAUUGAGACACUCAUCACAGAUUCACAAGAGGGAAAAUUUGUGAACAUAAUCAGGCCUUGCAGACCAUUGUUGGAGAUUCUCUUUCUCUCUACACAAGCCUAGAAGUUUCAAAGUCAUGCUCAGGUAAAAAAAAGAGAAUUCAUAAGGACAACCUACCUCUCCUUAAUGCAGAAUUUCUCAUGAGUGACAACGUUUUCUUUGGAUAAAGUGCCUGUAUGAAAAUGACGAAGGCCAUCUUUAUGGGCUUUCAAUAGAUUGAAUUCUUAGUUCAUCUUAUUUUCAAAGAAUAGUUGUUUAUUUUUAUCAAUUUCUUGAAUGAAUUUUUAAUAAAUUAAGCAAUUUUUUUUUACAAAAAAUGUUACCAAACAUGCACUGCUAUGAACUUUGGCUGUUCAUAUUGGAAGAGGUGUAUCUAGUAGGUUGAGUGUUCCUCUUUUUGUUUGUCUUUUCAUUAUAGGCUGAGUUUUCUGAUAUGCCAAUCCAUUGAUUUUAACCCAACUUAUACAAAAGAUGGGUUGUUUAGGCUCCCCAGUCAAGAUUCUAAUCAAGUUUAGGAUUAUCCUGAAUCUGAUGCCUCUCAACAAAGUUUUAUUUUAUCUCUGUAAUAUUUAUUUUUCUCUCUUCGAUUCGAUCCUUUAGCCAUCCACUGCAAAAAAACAAACAAACAAACAUACCUUAUUAGGACAUGUUAUAUUUUGAUUAUUUUAUAGUGUCCUUUGAAGAAUGAACAUCUACCAUACUCCAUGUCUAUUUUUGCUUAAGCAUAUAAUUAUGGACUGAAAACAUAAAUCCAAUCAGCCCAACACACACUAAGCAAGACCAUCCAAAUUCAUGUACUAGCCUUCGCAUGAGGACAAAAAUAUAUGUACUCAAAACAAGAGCACAUGCACAAUUUUUCCUCCUAGUUUUUUUUAGUGUCUAAUAACAACACCAAGAUUUGAAUUUAGAACAUAUAAUAAAUUACUCAAACAUUAUUAUUAGGCCGACAAUAAUAUAUUAUAAUUUCUCUUCCUAGUCCCAACAUUGUUUCUUAUACAAAAUUACAUUCUCAAAUUUUUUGACGAUUUGGAACAAUAACAAAUUAAAUAUUUGCCUCUUGUAUAUAUCAUAUUAUACCAUAGGACCGACCAUGCACAUGAAGGCUAAUUUUGGAUAAAAGAAAGAAAAAAAAUGAAAUGUUAUUAGAAAUUUAGAACUUAGAAGAAGUUAGUAAAAGGAGGACAAGAAAAUCGGAAAGAUAUUGUGAUGACAUGAGGAAAGCGUAGGUGUAGCAUUUGGCAGAAGUUGGCGUUUGUCUGUUUGUUGAUGUCGGGAGAGGGAAAGCAAAAUAUGAAAAAACGCAUUGGUUUUCUUUUUCUACGCUGACUGGGUCUUUGGGUCUUUCUUCUCUUCACACCACUCUUUUGCACGUGCUUUGAUUCUUUUCGAGUUGUUCCAUGGGAGAGACUACUCUCACUCUAUUCUAUUGCUCCCAUUUCAUAACUUCUUCUUUGUUUACAAAACUAAUAUUUGUGAGAUGGUAUUUUUUUAUGGAUAAAUAUUAUUUUAUUAAUUUUAUUAGAAAUAUCAAUUAAGGGGGACUCAAAUUUGCAAUUUUUCUCCCAUUUGUUUUUCUUUUUCUAACCAUUGGAUCAAAUCUUAUAUUUCUUAUUUGUGAGAUGGUAGGUUGAGCAAAUAGCUCACAGAUGGUUGAAAUUUAUUCUACACAUUAAAGAGGAAAAUUGAGAGGUAGAGAUUGGCAUGGACUUUGAAGGAAGUUGAUUUUCAUUUUUCUAGUUUUAUAUUAAAAAGAAUAAUAAUUAACUUUAUAAUAGUAAGUAAUAAAAAUAAGGAUUUUACUAAACAAUGUUCAAAAAUUAAGAAGUGAAAGUUUUUAUUAUGAAUCAUAUACAAGGGACCACAAUUUUAUGUAUCCUAAUAAAAAAAAUUACUUUCUCCGUCACUACUCUUAGAAUAUUGAUUAGUAUUUGUUAAUAAAUAAUUCAAUGUUGAGUAAAAAAAUAUAACUGAAAAUAUUUUUUUCAUUAUUAUUAACUCACGUAUUGUCUAAGUAUGGUAAGUGUGAUUACUUUUAAGUCAUUUCUACAAUGAUUUUUUAUUGAUUAAUUAGACUAAUUGUGCAUUAUAGUGGUGAGGAGUGAGGUAGAUGCAUGAGGAAACUCUCAUUGUUAGUCAUUGUAAAAAAAAAAUGUAUUACAACUACAUUGGAGGAAUUUUUUUUCUUUUUUUCUGAAUUUUAGCCAUCCAAACAAUAUAUUUUUCUAUUUCUUUUCUCGUGCAUUUUAUCCUUGCUAUUUCUUUUUAUUUCAUUCCUUUCUAAAACAAAGUAUACGCGAUUGAUGCAUUUAAAAUAUCGUACCAAAGAACUAAUUUGUGAUUACCAAUUUCGAGAAAUUUUAAUGUUGUUUAAGUCUAAAGUUUGCAAGUUGUGUUUAUCAAGGGCACAAGACAGUAAUCCGUGCAUAGAAUAAAUUCUUAGGCAAUAAGGCCUAGGGGUAUGAUUUCAAUUGUACUAAUUUAAAUUCCCCUGAUUCUCAUUUUAUAUUAAUCCUAUAUUAAACUUCAAUUAAUGAUUUUUCCUUAGCUUCUAUCAACAAAAUGUCAUAAACGAUUGAUAAUCUUUUCCCAUAAUUAAAGUCUUAUUUGUUCAUUUAGGGAUUCAACUCAAAGAAAGCGUGAAACAUAGAGAGUAUGAUUAAUAGAAAUUAUUAAUCUAAUCAAAAGUUUAGAAAACGAGUUUGAUCAUACAAUGUCCAUAAACCCAAUUAUCCUAUAUAUCCACCAACUAAUUGUAGUAUGAUCGUUACUUAAUCAAUUGAUUCAUACUUGUAGAGAUUGAUCGUUUCUUGGCAAGAAUUAAAACAAUAAGAUAAUUCAAUUGACUGAAUAAAAUAAGAAUUCAAAUAAAUUAAGAAUUGAGGUUCAACGGGUACAAUUUACACCAUAACCCUAGUUAUGUAAUUUAGCUAGUACAUAAAAGUAAAAAAGGGAGAAAAACUGUAAACAAAUCUAGAUUCUCUCGUUCCUACUCUUCACGUCAUCCUUACUCCUUAUACUCACUCUUGUAGCUAUUGUUUCUCAGACAGAGCCUUCGAUUCUCCAAACCACAAAUAAGUCUCACCUUUACUUCCCUUUUCCUUUUAGAAAAAAUAUUUACAAUUAAGAAGCAGAGGGAACAAACACAGUUGUGCUUUGAGCAACACGACUGUGUUGAAAACACAAAGAAGAAAGUCUCAAAAUCAAACACGAUUAUGCUGAGAUUUGUACAAUUUAAUGAAACGCAUAACAAAUUAUCUUUGAAAAAAAGAAAAAACUCUAUUGAAUUUGCAUCUCAUUGACUUCUUCAAUUUGUGAUUGAGGGCUUGCACAAUUAAUUACAUAGUUUGUGAUUCUUAUUGUGAGUUAUGCAAGAUUUUGGAAAUCUUAAAGAGGAUUCAAACAACCAUGAUAAGAUUAUCUCUUGGAUUUCUUUAUAUGGUUCUUGGGUGAGAUAUCUCUAUCCUACAAAGUCAAGUAACUUUGUGUGCACAUUAAGAUUAUAGUAAAAACUCUCAAUUGGAUUGAUUGAGGAUCAAAUGUAAUUAUGUUGUGUAAAUUGGAUUUCUUCUAAGCCCUAAUCUCUCUUAAAUUCCAUUGAUUCUAAUUAACAGUUGACAUAAUCUUGAUUGAGAGUAAUUGAAUUGUUCAAGAUUGUAUUCGGUUGAAUUGAGAUUCUUGUAUUUAAUUGGUAUUGUUUUUCGUUAUUUUACUACACAAAUUUGGGUUUAUUCAUUGAAUGCAUUACAUUAAUUGCAUCAUUAAGGACAUAAAUGUUUCAUUGCACCACUAGUUUUUUUUUUUUAGGGAGAAAUUGUACGUACCACUAGUUAGGAACUUGGUUUUUUAGGCUGGACAUAUUCAUAUUCAUCAGUUAUUAAUUACAUUAUUAAUAUGAAUAUUUUAAAUUUCAUUCUAGAUAUAUUAUUAUGUAAUUUUAUUAAUAAAAAUAUUUCAUGAAAAUACAAUAAAGUUAAAUACGACCAUUGAUUAAGCAUUUUCUAUAUUCUUUAAAAACAAAUAAUAUAUUAUUUUCUUAUACAACUUUUAAAUAAUUACAAUUUAAAAGUUAUAAUAUUCUAAUACAAUUUUAUACUUGUUACACAGCUAUAACUAUUUAUAUUUUUAACUAUUUUUGAGACAUUUACUAUAGGAUUUAUCUAAUUCACCCAAGGUAAAAAUGAGAUUAAACCACUUCAUUUUUAAUAAUCAAUAAAAUUUAAAUAAUUAUCUUAUUACGAAUUAUACUAUUAAUGCAUUUACUAUCAUAUUUAAUACAUUAUUUUUUCUCUCAUAAAGCUAAAAUUUUCUAUAUGAUACGCAACAUGUUUUUGAUAUGAGAUACACAUAGCAUAUGUCAUCCAAUAUUUGUUUGUUAGCUUUGAUUUUGUUUGUGAAAACUGCAAUAGUUAAAAAAUAUUUCUCUGAAUUUUGUAAAGAAUAGAAUACUAAGUCACACGAAAAAUGAAUGGUUGAAUGAGUAUUUGUUUCUAUAUACAUAGAAAAAGAUAUUUUUAAUAGUAUUGACGAUGAAAAAAUCAUAAAAUAUUUUUAAAAUAUGAAAAAUGGUAAAUGACAAUUAUAAUUUGUAAAAAUUUAAAUAUUUUUCUAAAAAAGUAUUAGAAAUUAUCUCUUAUCACCAUUAAAAAAAAUCUGAUUCACCACUACUUUAGAUUAUGGAGGAAUCCAAUUCUUUGCAGCCAGAAAGACUAAAUGUAGUAUUGGGAAAAAUAUAUUUACACAUCUUAAAGGAUGUAGACACGUUGAGAGAUAUAUAGAAAGACAGGAAAAAUAAAUAAUUGAUAAUAUGAGAUAGCAAGCUAAGAAAAGAGAAUGAAAAUAAAUUUUGAAUGUCUAGAUAUUAGAGCUAUUGUUAUUUAUCGAUUUUGGUCUGCUUGAAUGAGAGAGAAAGUGGAACCCACGUGAAUGAGAGAGAGACACACUCCAACACGUGCGCCGAACUCCCUCACACGUGUCCCUUCCCUCCCCCAAUACGACGCCGUUCUGUUCCUUACCUGAGUUGUGUAUGUGCUUUCACCCCGAAUUGCGGAAAAGGUAAUAAUAAAAAUAAUAUAUAAAAUGUGGUGUAAUAAAUAUUAUUAUUAACAACGAAUAAUAUCAUGUGUGUAAAUGCAUCCUUGUGCAAGUGCUUUUUUGCGUGGUUUAUGUUCCGAAAAUACCCCUGGGAUCAUUUUCUGGUUGUCGUCUUCUUACCCGAAAUCGUGAAUUAUGUAUGGUGCGUCCAUCUAUCUAUCCAUAUCAACGAGGGCUCAUGGACUUUCAACAUCAGUUUGUGCUGUUCAUGUCAAAUAAGCGUGCUUUGUAAUAAUGCUACAUUUUGGCUUUUUAUCCCUCCUGUCAACUCCCAACCACAAAAAAACUAGGGCAAAGAAAAUUUGGAGAACAACAACUUGUACUACCUCACACACAUAUUGAAGAAAGACUAUCAUAUGAAAAUCAUCUUUUUAUAUAAAAAUGAGAAUGAUUAAUCUUAAUCAUUAAAUUAAAAUAAAAUAUUAACAUUCAAAUAUUUUAAAUUUAAAUUAAAAACUCAUUUAAUUAUAAAAUCUUUAUAAGAUUUAUCAAAUGAAAAGUUAAAUAUCUUAUAGAUUUAAUUUAUGUCAAGAUUAUCAUUAUAAUCACCAUCACCACCACCAUCAUCAUGAUCGUUUUUAAUAUGACCGUUGUUGCUGCUACCACCACUAGUGGUGAUGGUGGCGACGACGAUGAUGGAGAUGACGACAGUAAUGACGAUAACAAUCAUAUUGAUGGUUAUGGUAGCAACCAUGACAAUUGUGAUGGAAACACUCAUGACAGUAUAAUAAUUAUGGUGAUGAUAAAUUUGAAAUAUUUUAAAAUGUUAUAAAUUAUUCUUUUAAGAUAUUUGAUUUUCUAUUUGGCAAAUCUUAAAUAAAUUUUAUAGUUAAAUAAAGUUUUAAUUUAAAUUUAAAAUAUUUUAAUCUUAAUCUUUUAUUUUAAUAUAAUAUUUAAAAAAAUUUAUCCCCAUUUUCACGUAAGAUAAUUAUUCUUAUAUAACACAUCAUAUAUAUAUUGAUCACAUGGUAAUUAUAACUUUCAUAAUUACGUAAGACUGUGUUUAUGAUAUAUAAGUAAUACUAAAGGGAAUGUGUUAUUUUAUCCCUCCUGAUUAACGGGGCAUUUGUGUUAAAUCAUGUUCAUAUAAUAAAGUUGUACUGUAAUUAAUGCGUAUUAGAUAAAUUUGAGUUGGAGGUGUACUAAAAAUGACACAUGAUAUGCUUCUUAAUUAUAUUCGGACAUUUUACUUUCAUUAUUGAUGAUUCAGAGUUUGAGUUUAUUAUCCCUGAUUGGAUGUAUGACUUUUUCGUUUUAGUUACCUUGACUUUAAACUACUACUACAAGUUAAAGAUAUCGUUAACGUUUAUCCGGAUAUAGGAAAAACUAUGACAAUUAAUAACAGAACUUACGGUAAAACUCAAAAGCUGUGUUCUACUACGAAAGAAACUAAAAGAAGCUAAAAAAUGUACCCAAUUUCAAUAUUAGUUCAUUAUCUAGGUUUUUAAAAAUAAUAAAAAUGCUUUAAUUAAUUUCUAUUUUUUUCAUUUUACUAUAGUUUUAAUAUAAUUACUCAUUCUCAUAACAUUUAUUUAUUUUUACUUAUAUUUCUCAUAAUAUUAAUGAUGAACAAUAAAAUCUAUAAAUGAGUUAAUGAUGAUAUAAGAUUAAUUUUAUAAAAUUACUACUUUAUUUUAUCUAUUUAUUAUUAUUUUUUAUAUGUAUAAAAUAACUUAGCGACAAUUAUUUUGGAAUAAAGAGAAGGAGUAACAUAUAAUCCAUAUAUUAUUAGUUACUACAUAACUCUUAAUUAUUAUACCUCAAAAAACUCUCAAUUAUUAGUUAUAUUAUAUCAAGCUAAUAAUAUAAACCAUUUUCACAUUUAUCGAUUUUAGAAUUUUCUUGCAUUUUUUAUUUUUUAAAUAUUUUCUUUAUCUCAAUCCUAACAAGCAUAGUGUAAUUAAAAGGGAGUAUAGCAAUAAAAUCAUGUCACUCCACUUUUUGUGCUUCACAUUAACUGAAGCAUCCUAGACCAAACUAAUAUGAAUUGAGGAUUAUUAAUAGUUUAUAAUAUGUAUAAUGAUAAUUAUAAAAUCAACAUUUGUUCCUUUUUUUAGUGUUUAUAAAAUGUUUGACUCUUUCUUUAAUUUUUAUAUUUUUAUUAUCAAAAGACUAUUUUCAUACACAAUAAUUCUAACAAGUACCCGAGUUCGAUUUUUUUACAUAUAAGAAAUAAAGUAAUUCUAAAAAGUAUGGGAUACACCAUAAAGUACAGCUCGUAACAUUAUUGCUUUAAAAAAUAAUUGACAAUAUGAAUAUGCUUUAAGGAAAUAACAAUAUUUAUUAUAUUUAAAAUAUAAAAUUAUUUAAGAUUUAAAUUUAAAGUGAUAAUAUAUUAUAUAAUGCACCAUGUUGAGAUUGUAGUCUACCUUUUGGACUCAUUUAUUAUAAGUGGUACAGUGUAUUACUUUCCUCAAUUCAUGGACAAUAACAAUUUAAUUUUUAGAUAGAUAUCUACUUAAACAUGUUGACGAAACAUUAUAUUUUAAAAUUAUAAGAUUAAUUUGAUGACUAAAAAAAGAACGAAAAAAGAGAUGUUGUAAUUCAAAUCAAUUCAAUGAGGAAUAAAAAAUAUAAGAAUACUUAAUGACUUUCGAUCUAAUACUACGAUCUAACCUCCUUUCUUAUAUGAGGAUAUAAACAUAAUUCACUCUCGAUGGAUCAAACAUAAAAUAUUAUUUUUAUAUUGAUUCUUGAGAAUUUUUUGUGAUUACAAAGGAAUGGACAAAGAACAUGCAAGACUAUUUAUAAGGAAGGAACAAACGCAUUUCAAGCAACUUGACAAACAAAAGGAAAAAUCUAAAGCUAUGUAUAUAGUCCCCAAGGUUGUAUUUAUUAAACCUCAAAACGACAUGAUCUGCACAUGUGUAGUCACCCAAUGAUCACCUUUUUUAUGUCAUGCAUAAAUGCGAGCAUAAAAAAUGGAGGUAUCAUAAACAUUAAAUAUAUCUCAUCGCUGACAUCAUGGUAAAAAGCUCAAAUACGUGGUGAUGUUGAUAAACAUUUAUAUAUCAGACAAUAUGCAAAAAAUGAAAAAGACACUAAUCCAUAAGGCUAACUUAUGUUAGCAUGUUUUUGUCUCACUUGUCUUUCAACUCAAGAUUAGAGGAUUAUUUACCUUUUUGAGUUAACCAAUAAUUCAUCAUGCUUUAGCCUUAUUUGUCUUUUGAGACAAAGCUAAAGGGGUUUGUAUCCUCUUAAGUUUGUGGUUGACUUAUAACUCAACUUACUUUAGCCUUAUUUGCCUUUGGCUCAAGUGCAUGGCCAACCUAUUAAGAUAAAUUAUAAGUCAUAUAACCAAUUACUUUACUCAAGAUUUGGACAACAAUAAUGUGGUUUUUAGAUAGGUAAGUAGUUAACAAACUUGUUGAGGAUGUGACUAUAACAGAAUACCCCCACAAGGGAAUAAUUGUCCAUUAAAUGAUAUUUCAAGCUCUUUUCCCCUUGAAAGGACAAAUAUAACUCACUCUUGAUGGGCCAAACAUAAAAUAUUAUUUUUAUAUUGAUUUUUGAGGAUUCUUUUAUGAUUGCAAGGAGUUAAGAAUGAGAAAUGAACAUGUAAGACUAUUCAUAAGGAAUAAGUAAACACAUUUCAAGCAUCUCGAAAAUUGAAAGGGAAAAUCUAAAGCAAUUCACAAAGUCCCUAAGGUUGUAUUUAUUAAACCUUGAAAUGGUGUGACCUACACAUGUGCAUACACCCAUGGAUCACCUUUUUGUGGCAUGCAUUAAAUGCAAGUGCGGAAAGUGGAGGUGUAAAAAAUGUUAAAUAUAUUUGAUUGUUGACAUCACGAUACAAAGCUCAAAUACAUGAUGAGGAUGUUAAACAUUUAUAUAUCAGACAAGAUGCAAAAAUGGAAAAAGACUAUAAUAUAUAAGGUGUCACAUGUAAGCAUGCUUUUGUCUAAUUCACUUUUUCAGCUCAAGAUUGGAAGGCUAUGUAUGUACCCUUUCAAGUUCAUGACUGAUCUAUAACUUGGCAUACUUUAGGUUUAUUCACCUUCUAGCUUGAAGCUAAAGGAUUGUGUUUCUUCCCAGGUUUAUAGCCAGGUCAUAACUCAAAUGCUUCAACUUUCUUUUCCAUUCGGUUUGAGGCUAAAGGAUUGUGUAUCUCCACAAAUUCAUGGUUUACCUAUGAGAAUGAUCUAUGGAGAUGAAUAAUAAGUCAUAAAUUUGAUUACUUUACUCUGGUUAUAGACGAGAUACAUGUGAUUUUAAGUUAGAUAGGUAGUUGAGAAACAUCUUGAGGACAAAAUCAUAAUAGGAUACCCCGUGAGGGAAUAGCUGCCCAAUAAAUGAUAUUCCUACCUCCCUGCCCCUUGCAAAGAUGAAUAAAAUUCAUUCUUCAUAGGCUAGACAAAAAUUGUCUCCAAAUUGAUCUUGAAGGACUUCCCGUAAUCAGAAAGUGUGGAAAAUGAGAAAAAGACAAGACUAUUUAUAAGGAAGUAAUAGAAAUAUUUUCAAGCCUCCUGAUAAAUUAAAAGAAAAAACUAAAGUAAUGAUGUAGUCCAUAAAGGUUGUAUUUAUUAAACAUCUAAAUGGCGCGACCUGCACACCGUGUCACUUAGGCAUUACCUUCUUAUGGCAUGCAUUAAAUGCAAGUAUAGAAAGUAAAGGUAUCGUAAGCGUUAAAUUUAUUCCAUCUUUGACACCAUGGUACAAUGUUUGAAUACAUGAUGACACUGAUAAACGGUUAUACAUUAGACAAGAUGCAAAAAUGGGAAAGGAUGCUAAUAUAAAAGGUGUCAUGUGUUAGUAUGCUUUAGUCCCAUUCGCCUUUUGACUUAAGGCUAGAGGGUUAUGUACCUCUCUAAGUUUGUGACCCACUUGUAACUCAACAUGCUUUAGCCUCAUUCAUGUUUCAGCUUGAAGUUGAAGAAUUGGUUAUCCUCCCAAGUUCACAAUCAACUCAUAAAUCAACAUGUUUUAACUUUAUUUGCCUUUUGGCUUGAGGCUGGAGGAUUAUGUACCUUCUUGAGUUUAUGGUCGACAUAUGAUUGAGUUAUAAUAAGAUAUCCCACAAGGGAAUAAUUGCCUAUUAAAUGAUAUUUCAACCUCCUUGUCCUUUGUGAGGAUGAAUACAAUUUACUCUUGAUGGAACCAUACAUAAAUUAUUUCUAAAUUGAUCUUUGAGGACUUUUCUUCUUCUUAUGAUUGGAGAGUAUGGAGAAUGGGAGAUAAGCAAGGUUAUUUAUAAGGGAAGAUUCGAGCACCCUCUAAAGUAACUAAUGUAAUCACCUAGAUUUGUAUUUAUUAUACCUCAAAACAACAACCUCUACAUCCAUAGUCACCUAGGCUUCACCUUUCUUUUUUGUUACACGUAUUAAAUGUGAGUAUAGGAAAGCAAAUGCAUAAUAAAUGUCAAAUUCAUCUCAUCACUUACACCAAGGUACAAAGCUCAAAUACAUAAUGACACUGAUAGACAUUCAUUCAUAAGACAAAAUGCAUAAAUGAAAAAAAAACAUUAAUCUAAAGGUAUGACAUGUGUUAGGUUUCUUUAGCCUUAUUCUCCUUUUGGCUUGAAGUUGGGGGAGUUUGUACCCUUUCAAGUUCAUGGUUGACUUAUAACUCAACAUGUUUUAGUCUCAUUUGUCUUUCAACUCGAGGCUAUAGGAUUGUGUAUCCUCUUGAGUUUUUAAUUGACUUAUAACUCAACAUGUUUUAGCCCCGUUCACCUUUCGACUUGAGGUUGGAGUAUUCUAUAUCAUUUUGAGUUCAUAGCCAACCUAUUGGAUUGACCUAUGAAAAUAAAUUAUAAGUCAUUCAGUCUUUGUUACUUUACUUGGCUUCUGGGUGUGAAUAAUACGAUUUUUAGAUGGGUAGGCAGUUAAGAAAUAUGUUGAGGAUCAUUGUAAUAAAUUAUUUCCAAAUCAAUAUUUGAGGAUUUUUCGUGACUGGAGAAUGUAGAAAGUAGGCAAUAAACAAGGCUAGUUGUUUGUGUAGGGGGGGACAAACACAUUUUAAGCAUCCUAACAAAUGAAAGGAUACAUAUAAAGAAUAUAAAGGCAUCAUAAACAUCAAACCUAUCCAAUCAUGAUAUAUAUAUAUAUAUAUAUAUAUAUAUAUAUAUAUAUAUAUAUAUAUAUAUAUAUAUAUAUAUAUAUAUAUAUAUAUAUAUAAAAAAAGAAAUAGCGUGCUUUACCCUCGCUCUCUUUUGGGCUCGAGGGAGAGAGAUUAUGUACUCUUCAGAGUUCGUACUCAACUUAUAACUCAACAUACUUUACUCUCUUUGCUUCUAGUCUCAAGGAUGAAGGAGUAUUGUCCUCUUGAGUUUGUGGUUGACCUAUAACUCAACAUGUUUUAGCCUUAUUUUCUUCUCAGCUCAAGGCUAAAGGAUUAUGUAGCUUCCUGACUUUGUGUUUGGCCUAUAACUUAACAUGAAUUAGACUUAUUUGCUUCUUAGUUCAAGGCCGAAGGAUAAUGUAUCAUCCUUAAUUCAUGAUUGGCCUAUAACUUAACAUGCUUUAGUUUUAUUCACCUUUUAACUUAAGGUUAAAGGAUUAUGUACCCUCCUAAAUGUAUGAUUUGACUUAUAACUCAUUAUACUUUAGCCUUAUUCGUUUUUCAACUCAAGGCUAGAGGGUUAUGUAUUUUCUGAAUUUUGUGAUCAACUUACAAAGACAAAUAAUAUAUCCAUAUAAUUGGUUACUCUACUCAAUUUAUGGACGAAAAGAUUUUUUAAUAAUUAUUAUUAUUAAAGUAGUUGUUAAUAAUAUACACUCUUAAUUAAAUAUAUCAAAAUUAUUUCUGCUUAAAAGUGCCUUUACAACUUUUAAUAUUUUGUUCGUUCAUUAAUUAUUUUUUAGACAUAAUAAUUGCGAUACUACCUCUACAAUUAGGAUGGAAAUUAUUAGAAGGACAUCUAAGUAUUUUAUUACUUAAUAAAUUAUGGUUUUAUUUUUAUGGUAACAAAUUAUUAUUUUAUUUUAAAAUUAAAUUUCUGCUUCAAGACACUUUUACUUUUUUAUAUAUAUAUAAUUAGCCUAAAAAACUUAUUAUUAAGCAUUAAAUUAAUAAUAUUUAAAAAUUAAUUCAAUAGAAGUUAUUGUUAAAAAAACAAGUGGUUAUAUUUUCAUAUAUUAAAUACUAUGACAAAAAUUAAUCUUUACAGUAAAAAUCUUUUACAAAUUUUGAUAGGAAAAAAAACAUUACAUCAUCAAAUAAUAACUUACAGUUGAAACCUUGUCUUUCUCUCCGCUUAAGUUUAAACUUUAAAAAUUUUACGUACUUCAGUUAAAUGAACUAAAACUAACUUAAUCAGAGUCUUACUUACAGUUUAAACCUUGUCUUUGUCUCCCCUUAGCAAUAAGCAAUUAGAUUAAUAUGAAGACGUAGACAUUAUUAAAGUAAAUUUAUAUAUUUCGAUACAGUCUUUUGUAUAUACACAAAUAAUGAAUCAAAUUCCUAUCAGCUUAUGAAAUCCAAAAAAAAUAAAUGCCCGUGAUUAAUUUUUAAUAAAUUUUAUUAACUAAUAUUCUUAGAAUAUUGAUUAAAAAAUUAACAGAAAAAACAUUGACGGUAUAAAUGAUAAAAAAACGUAAAAAAAUAAUUAAUAGCAUAAUUUUUUAUUUUAAAAUUUGAAUAUUCUUAAAAAACUUGUUAACAUUUGCAUUUUUAAAAUUUAAUUUAAAUUCUUAGUAAGAUUCCCCGACAAAUUCGUUUAGUUUACUAGACUGGCAUGCAGAUUAGAGAAGGCAGUCAACCUUAACACGUAGUCGAGUCACGCACGUACGAAAAUCCCACUCCCCCAUACUAAUACAUUUCACAUUCUCUCUCUAUCUAAAUCCAGUGGCACAUCCGUAAAUAAGCCCCAAAAGCAAGCCCAAUUCCCUCUCCCUCAACGUAUUAAGUCCACCUUCUCCCCAUUCUGCACACCCAACACAAACCCACUUCCUCUCUUUUCCGGCCACCACCCCGCCUCACUCGCCUAGAUCUGCUCAGAUCACAAUCCCAAACUUCUCAAAUCCGACGUCGUUUUACCUCAGCUUAUAGAAACACUAACAGAAACGAUUUCCUUUCCUCGAUAAUUCGCUUACUCGCGCUCUGUUUCUUUCUAAUUAACCUUCGUGUUCGCGCGUGUGUUUGUUUCUCUCUUUUUGUUGUUUUUGGAGCUUCUUUGAUUUUUCCGGCGACAAGAGAAUGACGUCCGGCGCGAGGCAGCCGACGUGGAAGGAGCGGGAGAACAACAAGAGGCGGGAGAGGCGGAGGAGAGCUAUCGCGGCGAAGAUCUUCUCCGGCCUCAGAAUGUACGGAAACUACAAGCUCCCGAAGCACUGCGACAACAACGAAGUUCUCAAGGCUCUCUGCAACGAAGCCGGCUGGACCGUCGAAGCCGACGGCACCACCUAUCGCAAGGUAUUAUAAAUUUGAGGACGAAACUUAGAUACAAUUAUAUAUAUAUAUAUAUAUAUAUAUAUAUAUAUAUAUAUAUAUAUAUAUAUAUAUAUAUAUAUAUAUAUAUAUAUAUUUUUUUUUUUUUUUUUUUUCUGUCAUCAGAAUUUCGGAGUUUCACCUCGAUAAUUCGCGAAAUAAUUCAGAUGAAGAUUUAGUUGUGAAUUGAACUGAAUCUAUGUUUUGAUGUGCAAUUUGAGAAAUUUGGCUUGAUUUUUUUAUGAAUUUGGAUUUUUUUACUGAAUUUGCUAGUUUUUUUUUUUAAUGUGGAUUGUUUUUGGUGGCGUGUAUAUACGGUGUCGUUUUGGUUUAGUUUAAUGGCAUGGCACAUGCUACUGUUGGUGGUGGGAAUCAAAAGGACGUGAAAGGCGCAGGGAGUUACGGAAAGAGUGAUGCUGUCUGAUUCUAUUAUUAUUAUUAUUAUUAAAAUUAUUGCUGCUGUGUGUGUUGUGUGAAAUGUGAAUGUGUGUUGUCUUUUUGGUUGUGAAUUGUGUGUGUGGUGUGGGGGGGUUAGAUCUGCGUUUUUUACUUUGGGGCGUGAAAAGAUUCUCUGUAUCUCCGUGGUGGUGUUUUGAUGAGUCAUAAUGAUAAUCCUCGAGAGAAACCUCAGGGGGGGCAUAGAUCUCGAGGGGGAGAAAAAAAAGAGAAAGAAAAUGGCCGUUAUUAUGGUUUUGGGGGGUAAUGGGCAAUGGAAUUGCCAAAAGUUUCUUAGCUGGGCCUGGAAUGCCGGAAUUCUGGGAAUUGGUAGGGGUAAAUGGGUAAUUUCGUGUGUUUUUAGGUGUCUGCUUGUUGUGCUUGUUGUUGUAACAUGACAGAAGCUUUUGCAGACAUUGCGGUGUACUCUCUGAUCUGGAGGGUACCUUUUUUACUCAGUUCUCGUGAUUUUUUCUUCUUUCUUAGGGGGUGCGGUUGCGUUUAUUUAUUUUUAUGCAGUACCUUUAUGUUGAUGACGCUCUCACACUAUUUGGAGAGACGGUAUGUUUUGAUUCACCAGAUUUGUUUGUGCUCUGUAUUUGGGUUGCGUUACAAUUUUUAUAUAUAUAUAUUUUGGAAAAAAGAGGGGUGGGUGAGUACGUGUGUGUAAAGGGGCUUAUUCUAUCUUUGGUAAAAGUGGAUACAAAAAUUAAUGAGAAUGGCAAGCAAUCCAAUUUCAUAUAAAAGAAAGCAAGCAACUUUUUUCAAUACUUAGGAGGUAACUUAUUAAGUCAGUUCUAAGUUUUAAAUGCUGUAUUAGAUGCUGCCUACAGAAUUGAUAUCUAGUUGGAUUAUACUAUACUUUUAAUUUAAUGCACAUUACCAUAAAAGUGAGAUCAUAUUGAUAUUCUGAGAAGUAAGAACACUUUUGUGAUGAGUUUUAGGUUGCAAAAUGGUUUUAAUUGAAGACAGACAAAAUUUGACGUGUUGGAUUAGGCAAAAUUGAUGUAAAGAGAGUUAACGUUUUCCAACUCUGACAGCUGUAGGAAUAUUUGUAAAGAUGGCUUGAUAUCUGUUUCUAGUAAGUGAUCUGUUGGUUGGUUGUUGUUUUUGUUGAUGCAAGUUUAAUAAAAUGCACUGAUUCAUUUAAAAGAAAAGAACCUCAUUCCCUUAUGUAGAGAUAUCAACUCUUAGUUUCCUAGUUACCACAAAUGUAUAAUUAUUAGUGGACCAUUUAUAAACCAUCUAAGUCCGUUUCUUUGUUUCUAUGCCGUGAUUGUUCUCUAGCUAGCUAAGAUGUUAGUCACCAACGUUUUUGUUAUUUUUUUUUUGUAACAUGGGAAAAUAGCAAACAGAGAAAAGAAAGCAAAUUACACUAACAAACGAGCAUCCUGCCCGACAACAUUUUUGCUUUUAUCGCUAGUUAGUUAAUUCUCUCCAUCAUCUAUAUUUAUUUUUAUACCUUCACUGGUGGAAUUUAAGCAAUGGUAUAAUUUUCCACUGAAAAAAUUUACUUCAUGAUUUAAAAUUAGUUUUGUUGGAUAGGCUUGUUUUCUUGAUUGUUUAUGGGUUUCAUGCCACUGGCUUAUAGUAAGGGUGCUACAAGGUCCAAUAAUAAGCAGUUGCUUUUCAAAUUAGUCCCGUGUAAUACAUUUAUAUGUGUGAAACAGAGAUUUAAGGACAGAAUUGAUGCCUUGUUGAAUGGAAAAAGGCUACAUUGUUGUUUAUAGCCAGUGGAUCCAUCUAGUUGGUAAAAAUAUCUUGGUUUUACAAAUGUUAGUCAUUUGGAGACUUGUUAUUGUAUAUGUUGACUCUGAAUUAUUAACAAAAAGAUUUUUUAUAUGAAGGGAUGCAAGCCUCCUGUUGAACGCAUGGACAUAGUAGGUGGUUCUGCAGCAGCAAGCCCGUGCUCAUCUUACCAUCCAAGUCCUUGUGCUUCCUACAACCCUAGUCCAGGCUCUUCUUGCUUACCGAGCCCUCGUGCAUCCCCCUAUCCUCCAAACCACAAUGCUGAUGGAAAUUCUCUCAUUCCAUGGCUCAAAAACCUUUCAUCAGGAUCAUCAUCAGCAUCCUCUUCCAAGCUUCCGCAGCUGUACAUUCCAAACGGCUCCAUCAGCGCUCCUGUCACUCCUCCAAUCAGCUCUCCAUCGUCUCGAAAGCCCCGAAUCAACGCUGACUGGGAGGAUCUGUCCACUCGUCCGGCAGCGUGGGGCGGACCUGCAUACACCUUCCUGCCCUCUUCAACUCCUCCUAGCCCCGGUCGCCAGGUUGCUGAAACAGAUUGGUUUUCCAAGAUCAGGAUUCCUCAGGUAGGACUAACACCAACUUCUCCAACCUUCAGCCUGGUCUCUUCCAACCCAUUUGGCUUCAAGGAAGAUGCUAUGGGUGGCAGCGGUUCCCGCAUGUGGACGACACCAGGGGCAAGUGGAACAUGUUCUCCAGCUGUAGCUGCAGGCUCUGAAAACACUUCUGACAUUCCAAUGGCUGAAGCAGUUUCAGAUGAAUUUGCCUUUGGAAGCAGCUCAUCAGUUUUAGUGAAUGCCUGGAAAGGGGAGAGGAUCCAUGAAGCUUCUUUCGGAACAGAUGAUCUUGAGCUCACUCUUGGGAGCUCAAAAACCAGGUAGCAAGAAUAUUUGAUGAAACAGGGCAAAAAUUAUGCAUAUUUUUUUUAUCUGUUGGAAUUUCAUGUCUUUUGAAACAAAAUUUGAACCUAAAUUUGUUCUUUUUGCAGGCUACUCCAUAAGUGAAUAGUCAAUGGUCCCUUCAACGACAAGAACUUUGACUCUGUUUAUUCUGUAGAAAAGGCUAGAGGAGGGAAUUAAGAUGAGCAGCAAGUAGUUGCUCUUUACAUACCAGAAAAAAAUAGCAGUUUAUUUUAUUCUUUUAUUUUCUCUUAGGUUUUAUUGGUUCCUAAGUUAUAUAUACAGCCUUAGCUAGGUCUCGGGUGGUUUUCAACCAUUUCAUGUGGUCAAUGUCUUGUUAAAACUUUUAAUACUCUGGGAAAGAUCAUAUACAUGUAUGGAUUGGCUUGGUUUGAUAUUGAAAGGGAAAAAUUACUCGAUUUCAACUGUAACUGAAUGAUCAAGAAAGUUAUGCAAAUUCCAACUGAAUGGGCCUACAAAAUAUCUCUUCUCUCACUUUUAUGUUUUUAUGAUUUUGUUUCUCCCCAUAUGGCGACAGAUUUUAUCAUUUUGUAGGCGUGCUUAUCAUUUUUUUGUAGACUUUGAUAAAAUAAAUAUGAUUGCUUUGCUACCGGUAUCUUUCUAUUCUAAAUCAAUAAAAAAAAAUAUUUGUAUGUUAAAAUCACAUUAUAAAUGAGUUAGAAUUUAAUUUUAAUGGUAUUUUAAAUUUUAUAGUUGUCAAAUUAAGGUUCAUUUCAUUUUUUUUACAAAUUAAAUAUUAAACAUGAAAAAAAAUAUGCAACUAUAGAUGGAAUUGGCAACAAAAAUAAUCUAAAGGUCUGUUAAGAAUAGUCCCACAUCGGGUAAUUCAUGAAUAUGAUAAGUGCUUAUAUAGCUGGGUAGACCACAUUCUUAUGAACCGGUUUUUAAGGGGACCUUUCGGGGUAAUUCAUGAAUAUGAUAAGUGCUUAUAUAACUGGGUAGACCACCCCCUUAUGAACCCCUUUUUAAGGGGACCUAUUCUAAACAAAUAAUUCAUAUUACUCAAAGUAAAUAUUUCAAAUGCAUUUUAUAAUUUAGCCAUUUAGGUGUCGUUGAACUUUCCUUAAAUGAAAUGUAAAAUUUUAGUACUAGUUUAUAAUGAUCACGGGUGGAGCAGUGAGCUACAAUACAAUACUUAACUACCUUAUCAGAGAUUUCCCUGAAACGGGAAUAUGGCUCUGUCCUCUUAGGAUGGGUCUAUUUUUCGAACAAUUUUUGCUAUCCUUUGACCCUGAUCUUUGAUAGCAGCCAUUUUUGGUUCCAGUCAAUACUUGCUCUAAUCUAACUACGCCAAUUUGAGUGGCAGCCCUUCCUAGAGUGAAAGAGCAAUGUCCUUCACACACUCAUUGUCACCGAAAAGCUCUCACUAACUGGCCAAUUAAAAUUAAAUUAAAAAAAAAAAAGCAAAGUGCUUACUCCUAUCGUGCUUCUAGUCAAUAAUAGAUCAGAAUUGAACAGGGUUUUGCAUGAGAUCAAAUUCACUUUGUGCAGGAAGUGCUUUUCCUUUUUUCUUGAGUGUGACUGUCAUUUUCAUGUAGUAAUUAAAAGGAGCAAGGAUAUAUGGUGAGGCCAAUAGAGAAAAAGGAACAUACAAUAGAGAAAAACAUACAUGGGUAGUGAAGCUUUUCAAUUUCAUAAUUUAGAGAAGAAAUAAAAAUAAACAAAAAACAAAAUUCACUCCAUACUUCCAUAAUAUCUACUGGGCAACCACAUGAGGUAUUCAACAGGCUUUAUAUGUAAUGAGGCUAUGAUACAUGAAGAGGAGGAAAGAAAGAAAAGAGCAUAUUACUAGUGGUAAAGGCUAAGGUGAACCACUUGAUACAUGGUCCAUUAUGGACAAUAAAGUUUAAGCGUUAGAUUAAUCUAUGUCAAUAGGUUAUACUAUGAGGCUUAUACACCAGACUAUAUCCCCCCACUCUAUCUCUCCCUAGCCACCACUGUUCAUUCACGUUGAACCAUCCACCUCCGCAAUGAGCCACAAACUAACCCGUGUUUGAAGUGGAUCUCUCUCUCUCUCGCCGGAAGCCACCAAUGCAUCUCUCUCUACAGCCUUUGUUCUCACUCUCACGCGCGUCGCUAGGACAUGGCCGUCGGUAUAAUAGAGAAGACAUCAAUUUCAAUUUUCAUAGCUUUUGAAAUGUUUAAAUAUGUAAUCUUUUUCCUUGUUUUUCAUCUGGGUUUUCAUUUAUCAUAGUUUUCACUGGAAGUGAAUCCUACCCAAUGAUUUUAAUGGCAAUAACUUCCAAGGGGUCCAUUGUUGAUGUAGAGAGAGUUAGAGAAGGAAAGAGCGUUGUAUCGACGGAAAUCAUUCACUGGUUUUCUGAAGAUGUCGUUAGAGUAGUUUUUGAAGGAGUUCAUUCCAGGGAUCUAUCAUUCAUUGGUUGCAGAGAGAUCGUAGGAGAAGAGGGUGGAGGUGGCAAGGGAACAAACAAGGAUAUAUAAGAAUCCAUCAAAGAGUGUUCAUUUCUUUCCACCACAAGUCUUGUAGAUUCCCAUAUCUGAAAGUUAUAAUAUUUUCCCAGACUGCUCAAUGAUCCGUUGCUAAUUAAGAUUGAAAGAGUCAUUAUUAUUUAAAAUAUUGAUAUUACUAAUAUUAUAAAUGUUUCAUAAAUAAUAAUUAUAAACUAUUCAACUAUAUUUACAUAUAACGAAUAACAUUAAUAACAUGAUAUUUAGUAUAAAAUAAACAAAUAUUAAUAUUCAAAAUAUCAUAAUAUAAAUUAUAGUUUAAUUUUAAUGAUGUGAAAUAUUAUUCAAAUUGAAAACAAUGUUUUUCCAUAAAUAAAUUUUACUUAUCAUCAAUAAAAUAAAAUAUCAUUUCCAUUAAAUAAAUUAAUAUCCUAUUUAUAUUAUAUAAAAUUUUUAAAAUAACUUAAAGUUAAGUAUUCACGCAAAAUUUUAAUACAAAUUUUCGUUGGUAAAAAAUUUCAUGGAUACAAAAGUAGAAACUGAAUUUUUUUUAUCAAUGUUAAUUGUUGAUUUGUUAGUUUUUUUAUUAACAAAAGGAAAGAUUAAAUCUAUAACUUUUUUCCUUUUUUUUAACUAUCAAAUCAACCUUAAAGAAGAAAACUAAUAAAGCCAUCAGAGCAUCCACAUGGUUCAUUACUUAAAUAGAUUAUCUAAUUUUUAUAAGUAUGUACAAUACAUUGUCACAUAAAUUUAAGUAUUCUACAUAAAAAUUAAUUCUAACGUUUAGAUUGUUAAAAGUGAAUGUUUAACUUAACUUUAUGGAAUACUAUAAUAUAUGCUAAUUUCUCUCAUUCAUAAUAUAAAAAAGAAUAUUUUUUUAUUUUUAACAAUUUUUUAAACAACAUUAUUUAUAUAAACAAACGUAUUUGAAUAAGUAAUGUCAAGUCAUGUGCUCCAAUAAUAAAUUUUGUUAAACAACGUUACUUAACUUCAAACAUCCUUAUAAGCAAUGAAGAUGGCCUAAAAGCUCAUUGCACAUUCCCUUAUCAAAACUCAAACUUUAAGAUUCAGAUUUUUCUAACUUUUUUAUAAUAUAAAAUUAUCAAAUUUUUUUAACAUGCACUAAACACACACUAAAGAGGUGGUAAAUACAUGUGCCUCUAUUAGAUCAAGGUGUGAAACUGAGCUGACCUAGGUCAGGUCAAAUUUUUAUGAGUUGCAAAUUUUUUGCGUCAGCCUAGCCUAAUGACCAUUUAAAAAAAAUUAAAUUUAUAUAAUUUUCACAAUAAAUAAAAUCAAAGUAAUAAAUAAUAUCAUACUCAAUUGGUUCAAUUGCUUUCAUGCUUACAUUCUAUAGAUCUAACCCAAUCCAUUUAGUUUAUGUUUGUUUUGUCGUCAAAAUCUUGUUUGCACAAAUUGCGAGGCACCUAAACGGAAAAAAUACAAAGGUCUUGUUGUGAGCAAAUUACAUUUAAGGAUUUUGGAAGGGUAUCCAAACAUGCUUUUAGUAGGAUCGAUUUAAUUGGUUCAUUUUAAGUCUAUAAUUCAAAAUUUUACUCCAAACUUCGCUUAUUUAUAUAUAGGUUUCUGGAGUAAGUUUAUUAUAGACCAAACUCAGUUUAACACCAUGCACUAGAAUGUUAGAGAAAAUUUGGUAGACUAGAAAUGAAACAAUGGUAGGGGUCGACAUAGAAAGGUGGGAUCAACGUGAAAGAGGCUCUUGGAUUGGAUUGAGGACCCUCCAUAGUGCAUAUAUUCUCCCCACAACAAUAUAUCAAAUUAUCAAUAGAUAAAUAUUAAGCACAAAAAAAUAUAUCAAUAGAUAAUAAUUAUCAUCAUUCGACCUUUAUCUUUCAUUGCUUUGCACCCCACACAUCAUCAACGUAGAUAACGGUCCGUUUUUAUCACGUGCGCCGAACUCUAACACGUGCACCUUUCAUAUUUCAUUUGGUCUCCAAUUUUUUUUAGGAAUGAAUAUCCAUUUUAAACAUGUAAAUGUUAUCAUUUUAGUGUUUUUUUUUCUACCCAUGAUAUUGAAAUGAAGUAACCUCACAAAAAAUAAUGACUAAUUUUUAUUGGAAACUUUGAGCGUAUUAUAAGUUGUGUUUUUUUUUUUUAAUUAUAAAGCUUAUAAAAUAUGGUCUUUAAUGUAUUUUUUUUUAAUUUUAUCAAUGGACUAAUUGGGUAUAAGAAAAAUUACAUAACAUAAUAAUUCGUACUUUGAUGUGAAAAACUAUUGAAAGGCUAGGUUUAUAUCUUGUGGUGUAUUUAUAAUUGGAUGAUCAAAUUAUCACACUUAAUUAUAUUAUUAAAUAUUAAAUACUUAAAUAAGUUUUUAAUUACUGUAAGUAUGACUAAAUUUAAUUUAAGCCUUCUAAAUAUUUUAUUGGUUUUUUCUUAUAAAUUUAUUUUCCAUUCUUCUUAAAGAAAAAAGGUCUUGUAACCAUUAAAGACUUCUUCAAUUGCGUAAACUCGAAAAAAGCAUCAACUUAUAGCCAAUAAAUCUAAAUCUAUGCCACAAUAAAAAAAAAAAAUCUAAAUUCUAUGCCUUUGACAAUUUGUUAACAAUGGUUUCUUGUACUAGUAUUUCUGUUUUGAUUUGACGAGUAAUCUACUACUCAAAUUCGAUCCUUAUCAUUAACUAGCAAAUUCAAAUCUAAAACAUAUAUACAUUUGUCAACUAAUGUUCUUUGAUCUUACCAAAAUGUUCAAGCAAUUAUCUUUCACUAUAACCCUGAUCCCAACAGGUGGCAUCAAUCCAAAAAUAAAAUAACUAAAGUUUAUACUUUUUUAAUAUACAAAACUAGGAUUUCUAAUAAAGAUAGGUGACAAUUUAUUGUUUCUCUAUGUCCUAAACCCCUCUUUGUUGGGGUUAAGUGAAUUUUUGUGUACCAUAUGGAUUUCUAAAUUGUGUCUUUUAAUGAAAGUUUGAUUUUGUUCUUUGCAUUUAUAAUUUUUUUUUCCUUAGUGCCUCUUAAGACUUCAUUGCCGUUAAAGAGAUUAUUUUUAUCUUUAAUAAAUGAAAAUUUGUUCUACAAACAUAUGUUAAGCUAAGAAUAAUUAUUAGAUGCUUGGUACCGCUAUAGAUUUCUUAACUUAGUGUUUGUUUCUCUUUAAAUUGCCUAGGAAAUUAUGUUUUAAAUAAUAAAUUAAAAAUUUCGGUAAACAAAGUAAGAAGUCAAAUUGAAUUAAAACUCAUAUUGAGAAUUCAAGGUAAAAUAGAAUGAACCCUAACACUUUCCUAUUUGGUUUAUUUUACAUUCUUGUUUUUUUAUUCUCUAAAAAAAAUUCCAAAAAUAUUUUUUUAUUGUGUUUUUCAAAUUUAAUUAAUUUUUUCUUAAACAAAAUCAAAUCCAAAUUGUCUGUUGUGAUUUGCAUUAUUCUCUUUUGUAAAAUUACUAGGUAUGAAUUAAGAUAUUCGUGUGCCGAAAGCCAAUAACUGAUUUGCCAAGUUCUUAUGGAAUGUCUUAAAUGUCAUGUAAUUAAACAUAUAUAAAGAGUUAUUAUACUAAUUCUUUAACAUUUUGACUUCACAUACUUCAUAAGAAAUCCCGAGGCCAUCAACUAAAUGUGUGUUCGUUUCCAUUUUCACUCAACACACCAACUGGUGGUCAGCAGAAGGAAAAAAAAUCCUUCUUAUAAUCAUCUAUUGGGAAGUCAAAUUCAUAUGAACAUUUAUUUUUUUCACGCUUGUGUUGGUUUAUAUCUAAACCAAACACAUGCAUAAUAUAAGCCCCAUAGCGUUCAUUAUAACCAAUCUUUUCAUUGGUGUGACAUUGGCUCUAUCCUUAACCCAUUUGGUAUAGCUCUAUCCUUAACAUCUUUUCAGUAUCAUAAUUGACUUCUAGAUUUCAAAGCAAGCAUAUGGUAUCGGUUGAAUAAAGGUUAAUGAAAAUGGAAUAAAUAUUUACUUUAACAAAAAAAUUGACUAUAUUAUUAACUGGUCUUUUUGGUUCUUUUCUUUUGCAAUUUUUCUUCCAGAUAUCUUUGUAUUAUUUUUUUCCAUCUGCGCAAUGAAAAUUGCCUCUUUUCUGUGUUGUAGGCCAUGCGUGUUCUUCUCCAAACACUAAUUAAAGGUACCACGGUUGGUGGGAAAGAAGACAUGUAAAAAGAAAUUGGUCCAUGUCCUGAAAGGAUUCAUUUUGUGGCAGCACCGAAUUACCCCUUUCUCAUUCACAAUUCACAAUUGAAGAUAAAGUUUAUAUACUAUUAACUCUUUCAUCUCUUCAACUUUCUAAUUUCUUACUGUAAACUUUAUAUAUUACAUGUCCAAUCUUUAGUACAUUAAGGGUGUGUAAAGAUCAAAUAAUCCCCAUCCAUUAUUCCCUUUCUUUCUUGUCUCCUAGGUUUUUUUCCCCACUUUUUUGGUUUCUCUUAUUUUCCGUUAGCUUUAUAUAUAUAUAUAUAUAUAUAUAUAUAUAUAUAUAUAUAUAUAUAUAUAUAUAUAUAUAUAUAUAUAUAUAUAUAUAUAUAUAUAGUUUGCUAACUUAUAUCCACUUAUUUUUUUAAAAGGAGUAAGUUAAUAAAUUAUAAUUAUAAAUUUUCUUAAAAUACACUUAGGUAUAACUUGCUAAUUUAUUUCUUAUAAAAAUUAAGUAGGUGUAUGUUAGUAAAUAUGUAUAAAGUUUGUAUGUUAGUAAAUAUAUACAAAGUUUGCUAACUUAAAAAAUUAUAACUAUGAUUUUUCUUAAAAUACAUCUAUGUAACUUGUUAACUUACUUUUUCUGAAGUAAGUGGAUUUAUAUUAACAAAUACGUAUAGAAUUUAUUAACUUAUACCUACUUAUUUUUUAAAAGGAAUAAAUUAAUAUGUUAUAAUUUUAAAUUUUCUUAAAAUACACUUAUGUGUAACUUGCUAACUUCUAAAAAAAUAGCUUAAUUUUUACUGUUUUUCACAAAUAUUAAAUUUACAAUAUAUAGUUUAUAGAGUAAUUUUUUAUAUUAUUUAAAUUUUUAAUAUAUUAUUAAUUUUUUAGUUUAAAUUUUGAUAAAUGUAUGUUAUUAGAUAUGUUAAUAAAUAAUUUAUACGGUUUUGACGAACGAUAAUUGAUUUAAGAUUUUAUUAGAAAUAAAAUAAAAUAAAUAUAAAAUCUACAUUAAUUAAAUUAUUUUAAAAAAAUAAAUAUAAAAAUAUCACGUAACAUCACUUCAUAGAAUAAAAUUAUAUAUAUAUAUAUAUAUAUAUAUAUAUAUAUAUAUAUAUAUAUAUAUAUAUAUAUAUAUAUUAUAUUUAUGUUAAAAAAAUUCUAAAGCGAAUUUUAUUUGAAAAUUUCAUCUAACUUGAUAAUAGCACUUUGUUUUGUUAAUUACAAAAGAGAUAUAAUAUAUGGUAUGGAAGAAGAGGGAGGAUAUACUAAUCUAAAGAGAAAAUGUCACAAGUGGAAAUCCAUUUUACACAACAAAGAUUUUUCCCCAUAAUAUAAUCCCUGACCGAUGUAGGGAAAAGGUUGCAUUAAUUGAACCCAGUUGCUGAACUUUCAUUAAUAAGACCCACAUGGCUAUGGCAAAAAAAGGGGUAGGUUAAAAAUCAUGCUCCACACUUCUAUGUUUUUUAGGGUUAACUUUUGAAGGCAGGAACAAAAAUAAAAGUUAGCACUGCUUUGACUAUUAGUAACUCACUUUUAUCAAAGCCCAUAUGAUGCCAUUUCAAAAAGAUAUUCUUAGUUGAAAAAGAAAUUCGUUUUGAUACAUGAUUAUUUUUACUUUAUCAUCCAAUUUUUAUUUUACAUUUAUAUUGUAUUAUUUAAUACUAGUAGAAAGAUAAGCACUAUUAUGCUUCUGUGUUCACAUUUUUAUUUGUUGGAAUUGGACUUUAUAUGUAUAGUUAGUGUAGUUUUUGUCCAUGUUUUUUUUUUAUAUAUAGAGUAGUUUAGUGUGUGAGAGAAAUAAUUGAAGUAAGAGAUUUUGAAACAUAAUUGGGAGAAGAUUUAUAAUAGGUUAAAUUAAUUUUUUUACUGCAGGUUAAAUAUUAACAUUUUUGUUAGUUUGGUUGUUUUAAAUUUAAAAAGUUUUAUUUGGAUCCCUUAGAUUAAAUUGAUCAUUUUAUUAAUUUAUUACACUAACAUGACUGAUUUGAUAAUACAUAAUAAAUUGUGAGAGAUACUACCUCAUAUUUACAUUUGUCAUGUUACUCAAAAUUGAUAGGAUAUUGUUGGUGCCACCUUAAAUAUCUAUUUUUAUCAAUGUGACAUAUGACUAACAUCUCUCACAAUUUAUCAUAUAUCACCAUGUUAAUAAAUUGAUGCAAGGACCAUUAAUCUAACAUAAAUACUUUAGGAUUUGUUAUGGAUCCCCUUUGAGCUUGUCACGUGGUUCAUGGCCCACAACAACUAUUCAAUUGCUUCACCUGUUAACUAUUACUAUAUAAGACAUUUCAUGUAUACAAGUAUGAGUCUAAACUCAUUUUAUAGAUCUUUUACAUUCUUUGACUUUGAUGUGAGAGUGUAUGUUUAGAUGAUUGCAAGUCUCACUCCUCACCAGAGGUUGUCAUGAAAUUCCAACAUGUUUAGAACACAUCCCUCUAGGACUAAAGUUAAACUUUUAAACUUAAGAGAUUAAUCUAAAACAAAGAUAUAAGUAAAUGAUUAAAGUUUUUAUUUUAACCUUUAUAAUGUCAAUUGAAAGACAAGACAAAAAAAAAUCUAAAAAAUGUCGAGGUAAAAAAGAUAGUAUCAUUUUUAUAAUUGUUAUAGAUAUUACAUAACCACAAAUUAUUAGAUAAUUAUAUUUUUUUUUAUCUUAACAAUAUAUAUUUUUAAUUGGGGACGGCUCAAAUUCAAGAUCUCUUAUUUAAGUUAGAAUAAUUUUAUACUUAUUAAUCCACAUGUUUAAUGAUAAUAUAAUUUUUGACAUAUAUAAAAAAAUAAAUUAAAUAGUCAGUACAAAUUUUAAAAGAGAAAAAAGAAACUUCAACAUUCCCUCUCACAUUUAACGGAAAGUAACCAACUCGGCUAAAAUUCAGAAAAGAGUAGAAAAAAAAUAAAAAAGUAAAAAAAGGCAAACCAAAUCAAAGUCAUCAUAGAUUGAUACUACUUCACAACACAAGUGUGAAGACUCUCACAAAUCAACACUCACUGCUCACUGCCAUAAACAAGGAAGAAAGGAAGAGAAAGUGAGGGAAAAAGGUUAGGUUGCUGGUGGUGGUGGUGGCAUGUUUUUUGGAUUCUAAAAUCUCACUCUUUCUCUCUUUAUAAAAAUCUAAACGCCAUGAUCAUGAAUUUGAUCCGCAAAUUUGGCUAAUCAAGUGCCUUCUCACUCUUUUCUUUUUUUGUUUCUUCUUCUUCUCCCUUUCUCUCUCACACAAACACAAACACACACUCUCAUCAAAACCAUUUCCCAUUACCCAGAUCUCCUCCGAUCUCCGACCACUCUCCGGCCACAAAGCCACCUUCCAAAUCCACCAAAUGUGCUAACUUUGCCACUUCCAACCAUCUUCUCCACACUCUUCUUAUAACACCACCUUCUUACACACACCCUUUUCAAUUUGUGAUCGACCCAGAAGGCUAUUCAACGUUGUUGGGUCGAAUCUGGUCCAAAGUUGUGUUCUUUGGGAGGUUUGAGGAGGACCCUUUUGAGGCUUGAGAUCGAUGACGUCGGGGACGAGGCUACCCACGUGGAAGGAGAGAGAGAACAACAAGAAGAGAGAGAGGAGAAGAAGAGCCAUAGCGGCGAAGAUCUUCGCGGGUCUGAGGAUGUAUGGGAACUUCAAACUCCCAAAACACUGCGACAACAAUGAAGUCCUCAAAGCUCUCUGCAACAAAGCUGGUUGGACCGUUGAACCCGAUGGAACCACUUACCGCAAGGUACAUUAACUCCAAUUCUUCCUUUUUUAUUUUUUAUUUUUCUUUUCACUCACAAUUUUAGCUACUUUAAUUUAAGUAAUUUUCUGCAGAGGAAUGUAGUAACACAAUGAUUUUAUUUGGUUGAAGUAGGAUUAUCUCUUGUAAAAAAAAUAUUUCUAGUCUUAAAGAACCAAAAAUGUUUUUAAGAUGGUAUUGACAAAUAUUUAAAGUACAUUUAUUAAUAAAUAAAAAUUUAAUUAAAAUAAGAUGAAUUAUUUGCUAAUUUAAAUAUUAUAUUUUUUUAUUAAAAAAUCAUGUUUAAUUGCAUGACACUUGUUAGCAUUUUAUGUUAGUGAUUUGAAAAAUAUUAAAUAGUUUUGUUUUGUAAUAUAAUAGUUUAAGUUUUUAAAAUGCUUUUAAUUCAUUAAAACUAAAUAUUAUAAUAAGUUGUUUUUUUUGUGUAAUAAAUAUAUUUUAGCGAUAUUUUUUCUUUUUCUAAUAUAUGUAAUGAAAAAUAAUUAUUUAACCGUUAGAAUAUAAUUAACGGGAAGAAGAUGAGAUCUUAGACAUGAUCGAUCAUUGAUAGCAGGUUUGACUUCCUAUCCGCUAUUCAGAGUCUGAAAUUUUUUAUCUAUUUUAGGCUGUAAUACUUGUUCUUCCAUUUUUUUGAAACAAGAAAAUAAUUAUUUUUUAUCAUAUAGUAAUUCAUUAUUUAUAAAUAAAUGCUCAUUUUUUUAAUGAGUAUGCUAUUUUAUUUUAAUCAUAGCUGUUAAUCAACUGUUAUAAUAUAAUAUAAUCAUAGCAAAUUUAUUUAAAAUAUUAAUUUUAUAUAUGUAUAUUGGCUGUGUACGGUGGAUCCGGUAUGCAGUGGUCCUGGCAUUUUAGUGAAGCAUCAAAAGAUUCGUUCUCUUUCUUGACUGAGGGUCACCUGAGAAACCAGGACAAUUUUUUGUUUUUAGUCUUUUGGAUUUUCAGUGGACGAAAAUGCCCUCAGUGGGUGCUCCAAUCACUGCAUGAAAUGAACCUGGCAAGUGGCAUUUUGGUAAAAUGGAGAGGGUAAAUUUGGCAGCUUAGGUGUUCCCGUGGUUGGUGUGUUUGUCUGAUAUCUUGCUUUGCUUUGCCUUUGUAAUGUCCGUGUUGCUGUGUGGCAUGGUAGCAUUAGCUUUUUGACUUUUUCAGACAGCGUGCCCACGUAGGAUUCCAUUUUGGAGUUUCUUUUGCCUCAUGAAUAUGAUUCACCCUUCUUUUGUAGUUUUUCCUUCUCUCAAUCAGAGAAGAAGCUUUUUUAUUUUUUAUGGAUAGAAAUAAAAGACAAACACCAGAAGUUAUAAUAGUAUUACCUGAAAUAAAAAAUAUACAUUGUAUAUAGUUAUAUUCAUUGAUGCACAGUAAUAAAUAACUAAAUAGUAGUACUACUAUUAUAAUUAGAAUAUACAUUAAAAACUGUUAAUUAGUAUUAAUAUUGUUUUAAGGGUCUUACUAACUAGUAACUUUAGCACAUUGGUUAAGAAAUUAAAAGAGUAUUUAUCUUAUAAAUCAUAAGAUAACAUAAAAAAAUCAUAAAUAACAUAAUUUUCUGUUUUUCAAUAAAAAGAUUUAUAUUUUAAGUUUAUUAAACAAUAUUCUUAGAUAUUUGACUUAAUGAGAAAAAAGAGAUUACAUUGUAACGAGUACACAACAUAAAUAGGAGAGAGACAAUUGUUCUAUUCGAUAAAUUAUAGCUAAUUAAGUUGGAUGAAAGUGAGUUAUUCAAUAAAUUAUAGUUAUGCCAUGUUGGUUAGAUUUGAUAGCAACAAUAUACUGAGAACAUGCUGAGUUAAAUAACUCGUGCAUUUACUUCUUUUCAACACAUUUUUUUUUAUUGGUUGAAGUUAAUCUGAGUUUCCACUGAUUUGGGAAUAAAAUCUACCAAAAAAUCCACAUAUUUACUGGAACCAACAUGAAGGAGUUUAUUAGAGUGUCUUACUAAUGAUUUAUUUGUUAUAUUUGAAAAGAUUUUGGUGAUGGAAAUCCUAUUACAUGCCACAUAUUAUGAUCAGUUAAUGAAAAUAUAUUUUGUGUACAAUUAGGGAUGCAAGCCUUCAGAGGGCAUGGAGAUAGUUGGUGGAUCAUCAGCAGCAGCAAGCCCUUGCUCAUCUUACCAUCCAAGUCCAUGUGCUUCCUACAAUCCAAGCCCUGGCUCAUCAUCCCCUUACUACACCCAAAUUCCCAAUCCUGAUGGCAACUCCCUCAUUCCAUGGCUCAAGAACCUCUCCACUGCUUCAUCUUCAGCAUCCUCUCCCAAGCUUCCCCACCUCUACCUCCACAGUGGCUCCAUCAGUGCUCCUGUGACGCCUCCUCUGAGCUCUCCAACCGCCAGAACGCCACGAAUCAAUGCUGAGUGGGACGAGCAGUCUGCGCGGCCGGGGCCCGGAUGGACCAGACAGCAGCACUACUCAUUCCUGCCAUCUUCUAGUCCUCCCAGCCCCGGCCGCCAGGUUGUUGACCCUGAAUGGUUUGCUGGGAUCAAGCUUCCUCAUGUUAGUCCAACCUCACCAACAUUCAGCUUGGUCUCCUCAAACCCUUUUGCCUUCAAGGAACAUGCUUUGCCCUCCAGCGGUUCGCCAAUGUGGACUCCGGCUCAGAGUGGAACAUGCUCUCCUGCUGUUCCACCGGGUUCUUAUCAGAAUGCUGACAUUCCUAUGUCUGAUGCCGUUUCGGAUGAAUUUGCAUUUGGAAGCAACGUGUUGGGGCUUGUCAAGCCUUGGGAAGGAGAAAGGAUCCAUGAGGAAUUUGGAUCAGAUGAUCUUGAACUCACACUUGGUAACUCAAAGACCAGGUACUCCAGCAUUAUUACAUGAUCAAUUGAAUUUCUUCACUGAUAGUGUAAAGGAUUUUAUUACUAUUAACCAAUCAGAAAUUGUCAUAUGUGGUUUUUUUAAUCUUUCUUAAAAGUCAUACUUAGCAUAAUUUGUUAGUAGUUGACAGUCUAAAAACCUUUACAUUGUCGCCGUAGAGUAGUAGACAUGGUAAUCGGGCGGGAUGGAGACCGAUUUAGUCUCCCCGUACACUUAUCAUGCCUAGUGUAGAGAAAUUCAACUCUUUUCUUUAAAAUAUUUUUCUCCCCCUUUUGACAUGAUCUUUUUUACUUCUUGGCAGAUGAAGUCACAAAUAUGAAUUGAAUGUGAUAAUGUAAACAUUGACUUUUGUUGGUUUUGAUCAGUAGAUAUGUUAGAAGGUAAGUGAGGUGGUGAGUGCAAGCAGUUGUUUUCUUUUAUCCUUUUAUUUAUUUUUAUUUUGGUGACUUUCCCUUUUCAUUCUAUAGUUCUCCAGUAAUAUACAUGCUUAUUUAGAUGUGGAGUGGAUUUGCAACCCAUUCAUUUCAUCGUUGUACGUGUUGUUAAACCUUAAUUAUUGGAAACAUCAGUAUACAUUGUAUGGAUUGGCUUGGUUUGCCACUGACAGAACUCCACAGAUUGCAACCUAACUCAAUGGCAAAAACCCCUUGUGGAAAUUUGAUGGAAUGGUCCGAUUUUAUUGACAUGAGUUAUUUUUUGUGCUUGUUUUAAGAAACAAGUCAUGAGUUAUCACAUUCCUCUGCAUAUGGGUGACAUUUGUACAUGUUUCCAUGAAAUUAUGAUUCGAUAAAACUCUCCACUGAAAUAAAUCUUCAUUAUUUGUAUUAGAUCAAUGUUGUUAAUUGGUGGAACAAAUUUAAUAUCUCUGAUAAAAAAAUGACGAAUAAAUAAGAAUGGGUCAACAAAGAGCUGGGUAAAAGCGCAAACUACUAAAGAGUUUUUGUUCUUAUAAGAGAAGUAAAAGAUAAUGGCAACCUUAGCAUUUGUCACUUCAACACAAGAGUGUCAAGAAAGAUGGGGAAGAGAGGUUAGCUCAACAUGAAACUUGAUGAAGUCUCAUCAAACCCCCAAACAUUAAUUGCAAUACAAUGAACAGUACUACUGCAUGAUGUUUGACUGAUCAAGUUGUUAUGUGACACCUCAAAACUAGAACAUAACACUAGUCUAAAAUAUAAUUAAACGAUAGCAUUUUAGACUUGAAGACACGACAAUGGUAAUCUCAAAACAAAGAAUCAAGCUUUCUCCAAAGUCUACCAUGCAAAAAGCUAAGAAGCCAAAGCUUCUAAUUCCAAAGUCUUCUAUGCAGGAAUACAACUAGAAUCUUCAUCAUAGAAUCCAAAAUUUUAAAUUCCAAGAUUGCUACAUGAAGGGGUCAUCAAACUUUUACUGUCCAAAAAAUAACCAAAAAAAUAGAAAAUAAUGUUAAAUGUGCAAAGUGAGUGCAAUAUUUUGUUGUGAGUGUGCUUUAGUAUAAAUAACAAUGAGUCCCACGGAUUGACAAGACAUCUUGCAUUUAAGAUUGAAUUUGGCACCUUUGUGAAUUUUUGUUUUGAGUUUUUCUUUUUUAUUACAAGAGGUAUGACAUUUUGGUGUAUACAAUUUUGCGCCUUAUUUUCUCCUUAUAAUAAACCAUUAUUUCCCUUUCACUACCUUAAUAUUUAGUUAGUUUUUCUACUCUUUCUUAUUAUACUUUCUCUUAAUUUUUUGGGUACAUAAAACUAAUGUACCCAAUGUUAAAAGGAUUUGCAAAGGUAGGAAAGAUGGUCAUUUCUUGCAUUGGCAAAAGUAUUAUUUCUAGAUUUGAACCCACUCGUGUCCUCCAAGAAUUGCAUUUCAUAAUCUACUUACUGUUAUUUAACCUCCAUUUUUUAUCUUUUACAAAUAUGAAGAAACAUAGACUGUGUAUUUUUUCCUAGUUCUGAUAAAGACACAAACAAUAAUUUUUUAUAACUCAUAAAAAAUAUUUUUUUCAUCUCAUAAUAAUCGUCAUGUAAAAGAAUAAAUUUUAAAAGAAUUAUCAUUUUAAUUUUUUGAUUUAAAAUUAAUUUUUUAUAAUAUUAAUGAUGCACAAUAAAAACUAAAAAUAAAUUAAUAAUUAUAAAUAUAAUUUUAUAAAAAUUAUUAUUAUUAUUAUUAUUAUUUAUUUAUUUAUUAAUGUUUUAUGUAAAACAAUUAGGACGAUAAUUAUAAUAAGAAGCCAACAAGCAUUUCACUCAUUCACUUCACUACGUGUGUAAUAACGAAAUAAGGUAUCAUAUGAAAGGAAAACUGAAACAAUGAGUGAAAUGAUCAGCUGCAGCUCUCAGCCUUUAUUCAUCAAUGGCGGAAGAUUAUAUACAUGUGUAUAUGGGAAACAUAAAGCUGUUAUAACUGAAAGUUAACCGAAAGUUAACUAACCUAACUAACUCCCUUGUAACUAACCUAACAAAUGCUGUUAAGAGUGUGCAGUGUGCUCGUGUUGCCUUUCUGGUAAAGAAGAGAGAAAAUGACACCUCAAUUUGCAGCAAGCCACUCUUUUUUCCGCGUUCCUCCCACUUCCCCUUCUCUCCGUUUCACAAGGUAUUGUUGUAUCCCACCCCUUACUUUUAUUUUUCCUCUCAUCUCAUAGAUAUGCUGUUGUGUAUUUAUUGUUGUUGUUGUUGACUUAUAUUACACCCACAAGGGGAUCCUAUCCUUGUCAUGUUUUCCAUCUUCUGUAUAACUUGUAUUGUGAGGUCCCCUUGACUUAUUAAUUGUUGAGUUCUGGUGGUGGUUUCUCGCUGCCCGUGAUUGUUGAGGCCCCCUUAGUCAUUUGGGUAGUGGAGGCAUUAUCUCACAUGUCAUUGUUCGUACUUUUUAAUUUGAAAAAAAAGAUGCUUCUAAAGGGUGGAGGAUUUGAUUUGGUAGGUGUUGUGCUGAUUUAGAAUAAAUUUUGAAUUUCAGAGUGCACUCUUUAGCUUAAUCCCUGUUAUAGCUUAUAAAGGAGCUUAUAAUAAUGACGAAUUUGAAAAUCAGGGAACAUUGUUAAGCUUUUUGUAGUAACUAUGGCAUGUUAGAGAGACUUUUGUCGCAUGCUUCAAAACUGAUGAGUUGGUGUUGUUAUAUCAUGGUCUCCCUUGAUUUUACUCCAUUUGCAUUUGGAACUAACAUUUUCUUUGUAUUUGGUUUUAAACUAGGAAUAAAGAUUUGAUUCCAGAAAGAUAUACUAUAAUCAACAGGAAAAAGAAUCAUGCCAUCACAGCUUUUGCAGGCAAUUCUCUUGGUCAGUUAGCAUCUUGCUCCCCAACCCUUUUUUUAAGCAUCUUCUAUGUAAUUUUAAUAUUUAAAUAGCUCAAUUAAUUUGAUUUUUAAUAAAACAAUAGACCUCUGUAAAAAAUAUUUGCCAUUUGAAUAUGGAAAUGAGAGGUGACAUUUGAAACUUGUAUGCUGAUUUUGGCAAUAAUCUCCUCACAACAUUUUGUUUAUUUCAAUGCUAAGACAUCUUAUUCACCAUGUCAUCAAAAUGCAAUACCUUUUUCAAAUUGCAUGUAUUGUUUAGUUCAAGUGCUUAAAAAUUGUUUCUAGUCGUUUAACCCCCAAAUUCUUUAUAUCAGGAAAAUCAGCUAUCCAACUCAAUGCUGCUUCAUCUCCACUAUUUGCUGAUAAAGAAGCUCACCUCUCACUCAAACUUCCUAUGUCUCGAAAAUCCAAUACUACAAUCCGACAAGCAUUUAUAUAUCAUUCAUCUGGUUUCCGAAUCCCAUCAAAUGCUGAGAAGCCAGAAUGGUGGUGGAGGACUUUAUCCUGUGUUCCCUAUCUGUUAGCAUUGCAGAUAUCUGCAGCUGGGUUUUAUCUAGAACCUAUCCUUGAGAAAUUUCCAUUGUUUCGGAAUUUGGUUUUUUAUAUCCCAGGAGCUGUCAACCGAUUACCAAACUGGUUCCCUAUGCUAUAUUGCAAUGUGGCUAUUGUAUGGGUGGUAAAAAACAAGGACUUGCCCCUUAUCUUCAGAUUCCAUUUAAUGAUGGGAAUGCUACUGGAACAUGCUCUGCAGAUAGUGUGGAUUUCAAGCAAUUUCCUGCCACUUAUACACUUCAAGGGAACUUUGGGGAUGUAUUACUGGGCUGGUGUGGCGUUGACAUAUAUUUUUGUAAUAAUAAGGUGCAUAAGGUGUGCACUUCUGGGUACAUUUGUGAGUAUCCCUCUACUUAGUGAAUCAGCUUUUAUUCAUUCUCUAUUUAGUUAAUGAGGGUUUCAACGGCCAUUUUAGGAUGUGGUCAAGAGCAUAUGUACUAUACUAGUGGUUUUGCAGUUGAAUGAAGGAUUGUCUCUAUUUAAUUGAGUUUUUGUUGAUAUCUUUCCCCUGCCUUUGCUUAAACUUGAAAGGUUGGUAUUUGUGUUUGGGGUGUUGACAUUGGUAUUUUACUUCAAUUUAAUGAAAAACAUAUGUGAAAGUAUCAAACAGUAACUUGAUUAAAUAAUUUAAAAUACCUCAAAUUAUUUUUGAGAUUCAUUUUAUAUAUUAUAAUUUCUAUUUCUGUAUAUCUAUAAAUCAUGGUAAUUCAUGAAAGUGAUAAUCAUGAUGAAACAUGUAUUACCUCAUUUGUUUACUAUUCAAACAUUACUUCUUCACAAAACCAAAUAAUGAUGUAUGACUGUAUGACUAUGACUGUAUAUCGUUUCAUCAACAUUCCUGAAAGUUAAAAAGGCCAACCCACAUGACUGAAAAUAUCUCGAGAGUUCGACAAAUCUCGUUUUUUUCUGUAUGACUGUAUAUCGUUUCAUCAACAUUCCUUUUUCUCUGCUUUCAAAUAUCUCAACUAGCAUUCCUCUUCUUAUUAGAUUUCUUUCUUCUCUAUUUCUUUGUCUCCAAGUGCCAUUUAUUUCUGGAAAUUUAGGGGAAGGAAAUAAGGUAAAAGAUAAUAAGAGAAAGAUGCUACCUUUUCUAUUAUUAAGAUUUAGAUUUGUUAAAUAUUACUCUCUUUUUUAUGAAAAUCAAUUACUUUUCAUUUAGAUUAGUUAACAUUCUCGAUCUAUAUAUUAUAUACAUGAUGGGUUUUGGGAAUCUAUAAAUAUUAAUAACUCAAUAUUAAUUUUUAAUUCUCACCUUAAUCAUAAGGACUAAGUUAACAUGAAAUUUAUAAAUUCAAAUUUUUUUUUUUAGAUUACAAGUGCCAGUUAUUUAUUUUGGUUGACAAAGGAACCUAGGCCCAAGAAAACAAAGAUUAAAAGGAAAUUAACGAGAAGCAAGAACUCUCAAAACAUCAUAAUUAACAACUGGUUUAACUGAAUAGGAGGUUGAUCAUAAUUCAUAAAUCCAUAACCCAGUCCUCCCAGUUGCAUUAGUACUCUUGAUAUCUCUUAUGUUUCGGACAUCCGCUUCUAAAUUCAUAUUGGAUAAAUAUUAGUUAUUAACUUUUUAGUUAGAAAAAUUUAAACUAAUAAUCUUUUUUUCUCCCUUUUUCUUUUAAUCAUAAACCAAUCUUAUAACUCCUCUGAAUCCAUAUGUAGUUCCAGUUCCAUGCAAUUAUGCUAAAAGAAGCCCUUCAUAUGCUCCCCACCGCUCUGGUACAUAUGCAGUAGCUACGCCAAUGAAUUUAGUGAACCCACAGCCAUUUACCUCUGUCAUCUUAACAGUCCACCACAUUCUUCUGUUCCUCGUUUCCCUUUUGUGAAAAAUAACUGUUUAGUAUUAUCCUAAAAUAUACUAAAAGUGUAUAAUUAAUUGCAUUAUAAGCAAAUUAAAAUAUCCUCCCCAAUUCUCACUCAAACCAUUGAAAAUAUAGUUCUUAUAAUUUUGCACUUAUUUUUUUAUUUUAAUCUCUAUAAUUUUUUUCAUGUUUAAUUUCUAUAAAUUUAUGUUUCUUUAAUUUUGGUCUUUUUUUUAAUCCUAGUAAACUUGUGUUUUUUUUUUUAAUUUUAGUUCCUUUAAUAUUAUUUUUUUCAUUUCACAAUACUUAUAAGAAUCAAAAUUAAAAAAAAGAAUACAAAUUUAUAAGAAAAACUAAAAACAAGCAAUUUUUUUAUAAAAAUCAAAUUAAAAUAACACAAAUUUACAUAAUAAAACAAAAUCUCUGAAAUGAAGAGAUUCACUUUGGUUUUGUGGUGUGGCCAAACGUAAUGUGUCGAGAAUUCACGUGUUCUCAUUGGCUGAUUUUUUGUUUUAUAAUUUUUCAUUCAUCGUUAUCAUUCAUCACUUUCAUCACUUGAAUCCUUUUUUUUUUUCCAUUCAAGUAAAAUCUUGGUCCUCCUCAUCCACAACACAAAGACCAAAUCCUACGCAACGUGUCGUUAAACCAAACCCGCGUGCUCCUUUUCCAUUUCUCAUUUCCUUCAAGUACUUCAGUUCUCAGCACACCACAUCACCUUUGCAGCAGCCUCCAUAAUAUUCCAAUUCAUCACCCUCUUUUCAAUAUUCCCUUAUUAUCGCUUUGAUUCGUUGAUUUUUUUAAUUCUUUACCUCAAUUUUAAUAAGAAUCAGUUUUUGUAGUUUUGAUUUGUUGUAGUAAGAUUAAUUAACUAUUCAGAUUCAGUUAUUGCCAGCUUUGAUUUCUUUUUUUUUUUUUUUUAAUUAGGUUUGCAAGUAAAACCCAAACCCAAACCCCUAGACCUUGGGAAUAGUUUGUGAGUUGUGUUGAAAAAGAAUCGGUUCUUGUCUCGUUUUAUUUCAGAUAAGAAAGUCUUAGAUUCAGAUUCAGUUGUUGACGCUUUGAUUCGUUUUCUUCUAAUUAGAUUUGCGAGUAUAGGUGAAGCCCUAGGUCUUAUGGAUAGGUAGUGAGUUUUGUUGUUGAAGAAGAAGAAGAAAAUGUCUGUGGAAAGGUCGUUUGAGGCAUGGGAAGAGGUGCAGCGUCACGGGCAGGACCUAGCUGACCGUCUUGCCCAGGGUUUUAGCGGUUUGAUUCACACGCAUAUGAGCCCUCCGCAAUUCGCGUGGCCGAACCCUCCGACAUCGAAGCUCUUCGAUCUGGAGUUCCCUUCGCAGAACUUUGGGAAGAGGGAUUUCGCUUUGGCGACCCAGGAGUACGGGAUUAAUGGCGUGUCAGCGAUUUUUGACAUCGGGAAUCGGAUCGGUCAGGCCGGGGCGGAUUUCGGUGCCAGCUUGAACGGGCUGGUUCAGCAGUUUUUCCGGUCGUUGCCGGUGCCGAUGCCAUUCAAGCACGAGGAGAGUUCAGUGAGGGUGGAGGGUGGGGAUAAGGGGUGGCAGAGAGGAGGGGUUGUGGUUGCUGUGCAGGAGGAUUUGGGAUUGCUUAGUGAGAGGUUGAAGAAUCGUGGGUUUGCUGAGAGUGUUAGUGGCAGUGGUGGUGGAAGCGCGGAGGAAGAGGGUGGUGGAGGGUUUAACCUUGGGUCUAUUGGUCUUCUGGGCAGGCGACAGGUAAACAUUCUUGGUGUUGGUGUUGGUUGGUUUUGCUUUGUAUAUGCUGUGGUUUUGUAUUAUAGGCUUGUUAUUGUUAAUUUGCUUAUUGACUGUUAGAUUUGGAAGUGAUAACUGUUGCUGUUCAAUUGCUUGCUUAUUGAUGGAGAGAGAUAAACAGUUGUUGUGUAAUGGGAAGAGAGGAUUUAUUAUUGUAAAAGAGCUAUUGAAGUAAUUGUCUGCAAUGGUUUACUGUGCAAUAUUGGUGUUCAGGUGCAGAAGAAACAGUUUUUAUCUCUAAAAGUUUAUUCUGUUUUAGAUCAACUAGCCAUCCUGAUUAGAUUGUGCCUUUGAUGGUGGAAUUGCGGUGUUGAAUAUUAUUUUGAGGAGGGCCUGUCCUUGUCUUUGUUAUGUUUUUAUUUAUGUUAAUAUAAGAGGAAACCACAGAGGAUUGUUAGCUUUUUGCAUUGGAGUUGUUUUCUGUUCAUUGCUUCAGUUUUCUUGUUGGGAUUCAUUCAUGAUGGGUGAUGUCCAUUGGCAUCUUGGGGCCUUAGUAUAGUUGCACAAGUCGUAUUUUACAGAAAGAAAAGAGGAAGCGUUGAACAAAUGCUUUCUUACUUUAUCAUUUGUAAAAUAUGUACCUGGAAAUUUAUUUUCUUUCCAAUGCCCACAAUUCCCCCAAAUAUAUGCAGCAUAAAACUUGUAAAUUUUUUAAUAGUGAGUACUUGCUCUUACUAGUUCAGAGUAAAUUAAUAUUUGUUUAUGACAUUGAUCAAAUUAGCAAUAGAGCAUAUCAACAGUACUAUUGAUUGUGAUGUUCAAUUAGAAUUAGAAUCUCUUGAAAAAUGAUCUACAUUGUGGAACAGACACUAUUAUUGAAUUCCUUCAUGAUUUGAUAUGCCAACUAGCUUUUAAAAUUUUGAUUGGUUAGAAAGAUUUCUUGUUUUCAACAUUUAUUUUGAAACAUAUGUAAAAGAUGUGCAAGCUCUGGAAUCUGUAUUUUGUGUGGCUAAAUUCUCUUUCCUCACUCUGUUGAUUCGUUCCUCUAUCUAUUUCAUUUACUGGUUAUAUUUUUUCAUGUACAGGGAAUCAUAAAUUUUACAUCAACUUAUGAUAGUAGAACUCAAGAAGUGGAAGGUUCUUUAGUUGCAAGGGGAGAUUUGUGGAGAGUAGAGGCAUCACAUGGUGGUUCUGCGUCUAGAAAUGAAAAUUCAUCUCUUUUCCUGGUUCAGCUUGGACCUCUUCUCUUUAUCCGUGAUUCAACUCUCCUCUUGCCUGUUCAUUUGUCAAAGCAGCACUUGCUGUGGUAUGGCUAUGAUAGAAAGGUAAAGAUGAGGUUCAGCUGGCUAAUUGGACUUUGCCACAAAAUUGGUAAUAUAUAGGGAAGGUGAAUAAAGCAUGUCCAUUGACAUUGUGUUUUAUCCUUGAAAGCAACUGUGUAAGCAUGUUCAUAUGCAUUUGAUCAUUGAACACUAUUUGCUCAUUGAGUUGUUAAUCAGCUUUCCUUUCGAAGCUAUGGUAAAGUAUGCUGAAAUGAUGCCCAUGCUAGUAUAAGUAUUCAUCUUGAACAUUAUAAUAAUUUAUGUAUUUUUUAGGCAGCAGCAAUUUACAGUAUAGUUUGUAUGCCUUUGUUUUCUUGUUGAAAUUACUCUUUCAUACUUGGUAAAAUUAUUUAAUUAUUGUUUAGAAUUGCGUAUUUAGUUUCCAUCUUCAGAGUUAUAUUGCAUGUGGAUGUUUUGUGUAGUGCUCCCUACCCAAAUUUAGCUUUUUAUUAGCUUACGUGAUAAUUUUUUUUUGUCAGAAUGGAAUGCAUUCUCUUUGUCCAGCAGUGUGGUCAAAACACAGAAGGUGGCUGUUAAUGUCCAUGCUUUGCCUGAAUCCCCUAGCUUGUGUAAGUUGAUAGAUUAUCUAUAUGUUUGGAUCAGCGUCCUGCACAAUAGAUGCACAUAAUGGACGUGAAAAGCAGAAACUACUCUUCUUAGCUUCUGCGUAUUUUGUGUACUGGAUGUGGAGAGAGACAAUAUGAUCCACGGUUUCUAAUUUUUUCCAAACACGCACUAUGUUGUCAUGAUGCCUCUAAAAAUAUUUGUUCUAAUUUUAAGUUUUUAUACAGUGCCAUGAUGAUUUCUACCCUGAAAUAAAUUUCCUAUCAUCAUUUUUUCCCCUCUUUCUGCAUGCAGUCAUUUGUGGAUCUUCAAUUCCCUAAUGGGCAACUAACCUACGUAUCUGGAGAGGGUCUAAGUACCAGUGCUUUCCUUCCUGUUUAUGGAGGUCUUCUUCAAGCUCAGGGUCAAUAUCCUGGGGAAAUGAGAUUCAGCUUUUCGUGCAAGGUUAGAAUCCAAGUUAUUGAAGGCUUUGAUGAAAUGAUGUUUGAAGUUCACAAUAUGUUAGUUUGAACUGUUUUCCUUGUGCACUGGAACUAAUAUUGGUUACUCUUCUACUUUUUUAGAAUAAGUGGGGAACAAGAAUCACACCAAUGGUACAAUGGCCUGACAAAUCAUUUUCUUUGGGUCUUGCUCAAGCCUUGGCCUGGAAGCGAUCUGGUCUAAUGGUGAGGCCAUCUGUUCAAUUCAGGUAAGAUGUUACUUAGUGGCAGGGGAAAUGAAUGGUGGUGCUGUGAUUAUUAUUGGGGUUGCGAAGACACUUUCGCAAGGUUAUCCUGGAGAAAAUAUUUGUGCUGCUUCACUUAGUUGAUGUUGUCUAUAUGUGAUGAUUGCUUGCUUGUCUACCUGCUUUGAAUUUAGAAUGAACUUCUCCAGUCUAGAUAAAAUUGUUUACUCUAGAGUAUGGACAAAUUUUUAUGCUUAAAAAUUCAAACAUUGUGUUCGAGUAGUACACUAAAGUUUGAAAGCAUAGUUCACUCUUUAAAUAAAUGUAGUGUAAUUUGAUGGUUUCAUUCAUGAGAAAAAAAGAAGCUUUUGUAGCUGUGUUUUCUUGAUUUUAAUCCUGAUUAAGAAGCAUUGGACUAUGUGACCUGCCAUGCUCUAUUCUUUAAUUUAAGAUGUAGUUCACAAUUGAGAAAUUUGGAUGUGUAAUGUAACUUCUAGUUUUCUGAACUGUGUUUUUGUUGUAUUUGUUUUGCCUCUGCUUGGAAAACUAUUUGUUUCAAAUAUUGUAAUAACAUAAUCGAUCAAAUGGUUUUCAUCCCUGUGUAAAGGGGUAGAGGGAGACCAAGAAGGACAUGGACAGAAAUAAUUAAAAGGGAUUUUAUAGUGAAUUAUUCCUUGAGUAUUUGGUUUUUAAUCGGGUCCAAUGAUGUUGUGUGACCGAUCUAACUGAUUUUACUUGAUGGGAUUAGACUAUUGUUGUUUUAUUCUGGAAACAUAAUAGUGUUUUGGAUUAGUUUAUUUUUGUUCAAAUAGCUUUUGAUCAAAAUCUUACUGAGAGGGCUUGAGCUUUUCAGAAAAAAAGCUAUUGGCCCUGCAAAUUAUGCCAGUCUAAUUAUGUCUAAUAUAUCUAAUGCAUCUAUAAUACAAAUGUAACUAAUCUUUUGGUGUACUUCAUUAUUGCCUCCAAUUCUCUCAUUAACUUAUAUUUUCAAUUUCAUUCACACACCCUGAUCUGUUUUGAUAUUCUAUAUGUGGUUAGUGUGUGUCCUACUGUUGGUGGAAGCAAUCCAGGGUUGCGGGCAGAACUCAUUCAUUCAGUUAAAGAGAAACUUAAUCUAAUUUGUGGAUGUGCUUUCAUGACAUAUCCUUCUGCCUUUGCUUCAGUAUCUGUAAGUUGUUUCUGAAUAAGCAUAACUUGUUCUUGAAUUAUGCAAGUGUUAUUUUGGAUGUUUUCUAAUGUCGAAAAACAUGUUUAUGAUAGCAUAAGGAGUCUGCGUGUUAUAAUUCUUAAUGUUGUUCAUUAAUCAUAAAAUGACUGUUAUCAGUUGAUCGGGGAAAUGUCAGUUCACUAAUCACAAGGUGUUGCUUAGUUGGCUAACUGAGCCCUGUAGGAUUUGAAACCCAGUGGAAUUACCUUGUGGUUAGGGCCAAGGUGACAUUGAAUCGCACAUUAGUAUCACACCCAAAGGGUCCAGGGCAGGACAUGGCAUGAUUUACCAAAAAGUUGGAUGCCUUUUUACUUCCUUUUUUUUCUUUGUUAUCAGCUGAAUAGUAUGUUAAAAAGUAUAGAAAUUACUUCCUACUUUUGUUACUCAUAAAAAGAUAGCAAAUAGUCACAAUACAAUUCUAAUUAUAUAUCUAUGCCCCCAGGGCUAUUUUGAAUUUAAAGUCAGCUAUUUUCUAACUGUUUUGUUCAAGUACAUACUAACAAUAACAAUGGAAUUUGUUAUAAUCCAGUUGUAAUUUUUCUUGGGUUUUUAUUUGGGUGAAAAUAUUGGAAAUGAGAUAUGAAAUAUUAUUUAGUUUAUGUUGGUGGUUUUUUUUAGAAAAUAGCUGACUUUAAAUUCAAAAUAGCCCUGAGGGCAUAGAUAUAUAAUUAGAAUUGUAUUGUGACUAUUUGCUAUCUUUUUAUGAGUAACAAAAGUAGGAAGUAAUUUCUAUACUUUUUAACAUACUAUUCAGCUGAUAACGAAGAAAAAAAGGAAGUAAAAAGGCAUCCAACGUGAGUCUAAAUGUCUAAUAUGUAGUAGUAGACUAGUAGGUAUAUAAAAUUGGCAUACUUUAACCUUUUUAAGUUCUUAUUUUUUAGUUACUACACCAGCUGGAAAUCUCUGAAUAGGAUCACUAAUAUUUAUCUAUAUUGAUUAUUUCAUGCUUUAUUACCAUUGUAGACUUUUAUCAGCACUAAUUGUUGACUAUUAUUUCAUGCUUUAUUACCAUUGUAGACUUUUAUCAGCACUAAUAGUUGACUAUUAUUUCCAAAGAUCAUUGUGGAAGGAGAGUGCUUAUGUAUCAUAAUCUAAAUGGUUUGUCUUUUUUACAGAUUGGAAGAUCAAAGUGGAAUGGAAAUGUGGGGAACUCGGGUCUAGUUCUAAGAGUUGAUGUUCCUCUCUCCACCGUUGGGCGCCCUUCCUUCUCCGUUCAGAUAAAUAGUGGCAUUGAGUUUUGAUAGCAUUCUGGUGUUUGGUAUCAUCAGUUUUAUAUUUUGCAUGAAGUGUACAUAGGUUUGGUUCCUUGACAGUACUUGCAGGAAAUUAAAAAAAAAACUCCUAACAACAAAGCUUAGUCUUUUUAUGUGAAUAGAAAAUCCUAUUCUGGUAGUGUAUUAGUUUUAGUCUUGUCAUUUUCUAUGGUACAUCCCAAAUCAUUUUGGAGCCUGGUGUACUUAUUGAAUUUCUAAUUAUUUUGAAGGCGUAAUUUGUAAAAGUUAGAUUCAAAUUGUGUUGUGAGAGUACUUGUUAUUUACGUCUAGUUUUUAUAUUUCGUAGAUUAGUAUUAAUAUUCAUAUUCUAAUAGUGUUAUUAAUUGGGGAGGAUCUUCCCUUUGUAAGAGAACUUCAACUUCUCAAGCAAUUUUUCCAUGAAAUGAGAAAUUUAGACAUGAAUUUUGGUGGUAAGGUUCCUUGAUCUUCGUCUAUCAUACCAAACGCCUUAAAUAAAACGCCUUAAAUCAAACUUUGAUUUCUUUCUUCAUGAUUAUUAGUGAAGUAUUAUUCAUAUUUCGUUGCAUUCCUUUGUCAAUUGUCAAUUUGGUUUGAAGAGAUAGUCAGGAUUCUAUUCUAACAAAGUAGGCUUCUGCCAUACAACUUAAGUGGUUUAACUUUAAAUGCAACAUAGUAGACUUCGUGGUUUUUGACCAUUUGAGUUUCCAUUUUGAAAUUUCAAUUUCAAUGAAUAUAACUGAAAAUUACAAAUUUAAACUCAGUUCUAUUAUUCAAAUACAAGAUAUAAAAUUAGAAAUAAAAUUAAUUACAAAUAUCAUAUAAAAAAGCAUUUAAUAAAUCAGUAUCUGUAAUUAAAUAUAAUAAUAUAAUUAAUUAUUAUCUUUAAAUAAUAAUUUGACUAGGUUACAUCAUUUGGAUAAACUUCAGUAUCUGUAAGUUGUUUCUGAAUGAGCAUAACUUGUUCUUGAAUUAUGCGGGACUUAUUUUGGAUGUUUCCUAAUGCUGUACAAACAUGUUUAUAUCAAAAGGAGUCUGCGUGUUAUAAUUCACUAUUGGCUUAACAUUAUUUUUGCUUAAGCACAAAAUGACUGUUAUAUCAAAAAGAGGGAAAUGUCAGUUCACUAAUCAUAAGAUGUUGCUUAAUUACCCUGUGGUUAGGUAAAAGUUUGCAUUUAAGUGCAGAUUAGUAAUAUCACACCCAAAAGGGUGUCAGGACAUUGCAAUAUUUAUCUAUAUUGAUGCUUUAUUACCAUUGUAAACUUUUAUCAGCACCAGUUUAUAACUAUAAUCCAAAGUUCAAGGAUAGUGCUUAUGUAUCAUAAAAUGGUUGUCUUACUUUUAAUAGUGUUACAGAUUGGCAGAUCAAAGUGGAAUGGAAAUGUGGGGAACUCUGGUCUUGUUCUAAGAGUUGAUGUUACCAACAACAAAGCUUUGUCUUUAUGUGAAUAGAAAACCCUAUUUUGGCAGUGUAUUAGUUUUGUCAUAUUGGAUCGUGGUUUACUGCUUAUUGAAUUAAUGUCUAAUUAUUUUACGGGUAUAUAACUUCUAAAAGUUAGAUUCAAAUUGAGUUGUGAGACUACUUCUCGUUAUUUUUUCUUGAGUUGUGGGAGUACUUCUAGUUGUUAUUUUUCUUAGAUUAGUAUUAAUAUUCACAUUCUAAUAGUUAUUUAAUUGUGGAGGAUCUUUCCUUUGUAAGAGAAGUGCAGCUUCUCAAUCAAUUUUUCCUUCAAAUGAUGGGAAAAUUAGAUAUGAAUUUUGGUAUAAGAUCCCUUGAUCUUCGUCGGUCUUGCCGUGCUCAUAGCUUUUAAAUCAGACAUUAAAAAAGAACCAGUCAAUUGUCACCUGAAUAAAGCUUGAAGAUUAACCUGUGGGUUUAUUUAACUAUCAUCUAUCGUUGGGAUCAUAGAGACUAUUGGCUAAAGUUUUGACAGUUUCUGGCAAGGCUGUAGCAUGUUCUUAACAAACCAUGAAAAUAAGUUUACAUCCGUAGAAAAAUCUCUAGGAAUUCAUACUUUAAGGCAAUAACUGUUUUCAGUUUGGCAUAAACUUUUUCUUCAUUUAUUAUUUGUUGAAUUUCGAUGUUAAAUUUUAAGGCUGUGAUCCUAUCUCCAAGCCUUACAAUUCAUCGAAGUCUAAUAAACAAUAAUAUUCACCCAAAAACAUCUGAUGGUUUUGUAUGAUGCAAAUUAAACCUUCCUAUCUGACAUCACUGAGUUAUGCCUCAGAAAUCAAUGUUGUUGGCACUUUGAAACUUAAGUUGAAUGUAAUAUUCUUAAGAUUAACACAUUAAUUGGGGGUUUCGACCAAAAGGGAAAUUCUAUUUGAAAUUUAUUAAAUGGGAUAGGGUAAAUCGUACAUUACUUCACUGAAUAUGAAAUUGUUAAAAGAAUUGAGACUUUGAUUCUUAUUUUUUUUAUAAUGAAGUUGUAAAAAGUCCAAUGAAUUUAAUUUUUUAAUUAUUUAUAUAAAGUCAUAAAAUUUCCACACCUUUAAAGUUGUGAUUAUUUUUUAAAAUUAAUUUUGAAUGACUUUAGAAUCGUUUUAAUUAUAAUUUUAUAUUUUAUUAUUUAAUUCUUUUAAAAAUUUAAAAUAAUUGUAAUUAAUAUUUUUUAUAACUCAAAAAUUUAAAGUCAUUCAAAUAAUAAUUAUAAAAUUAUUAAACGACUUUAAAGUAAAAAAAAAUUAUGAUUUUAUAUAAAUAAUCACAAAAAAAAAUAAAAAUCGUUAAAUUUUUUACAACUUCACUAUUGAAAAAAAAUCAAAGUCAUGAAUUUUUUUAUUAUUUCAUACCUAAAAAUAGUAAAAUAAUUUAUGACUUACCACAUUUGAAAAUUAAUUCAAAAAUAUCCCCAUUUAAUAAAAUUCCAAAUGAAAUUGAAACCCCCAUUAAUAGCCUUUAAACCACCAUACAUACAUAUAGCAAGCAACUAUGAAUUAAAAUUUAAUGAGUUAACUUCCCCUACUUGCAAAUCACACAUAAUUGGAAAAUCUAAGAAGUUGAUCGGUUGAAGCCUAAUCAAUUCUACUUGGAAGUGAUAUGGAGGAGUCAAGCCAUGGCCCCCCCAUUGAUUUGCUUCUUUGCUCUAUACUAUCUUCUGAGAAUGCAGAAGAGACUUGAGUUUGACUGUCUUGUGAUAGCAUCUCAAAGGCUUUAAAUCUUACAUCUUCUGCACUGUCACCGCGUUUAAUAAUUGGUGCUUGAAUUGGAGUUUUUCCAUCAAGCAUGCUCACUACUGAUGACAUACAUGGUCUAAGAGUGGGAGAAGGAUUGGUGCACAAGAGUGCUAACUGCAGCAUUCUCAUGGCCUCUUCUGAGGAGUACUUUGAACCAAGACUUGGAUCCACCAGCUCCAGAAGGUUUCCUUGCUCUUGGAGAACAUAGGCCUUCAAUGACAUGCAACAAAUAGUAUUAGAAAUUCAAGCAAACAAUAACGGGGAAACAAGAAAGGAAAGCACAAAAUAAGAAAAAAGAUAAGUAUAGCCCUACUUAUAUUUAAAGUAUCAAAUUAUCCUCAAUCCUUAUUAUAGUAGGAGAUGAAUGGCAUGAAGACUUGGAUAUAGAUGAAAAAGGCAAGAUACUUUGAAAAUAUUGAACUAGGUAUAUUUUGUGACGAUGACAGGAUAAUUUGUGUAUUAUGCACCCCAGAUGCUCCCACUUCAAUCUAUCGAAAACACAAAAGUGUAACUUACCCAAUCUAAAAGAUAUACAAACUCCUCCUUUGGCCUAUAAUUUGUGUUGCUCUUUCCACUAACAAUCUCUAAAGCUACAAUUCCAAAGCUAUAGACAUCUGCUUUGUCAGUCAAGUAACCCCUCAUAGCAUACUCAGGAGCCAUGUAACCACUGAUAAGAAAACAUUUAAUACCCUUGUGUCAGUGAUUUCACAAAUCAAUGAAAUGUGUAUUUUUUUUUUUAUUUAAAUGAUUAUAAAUGCAAGCUAUAGAUAUAUUGUGGAUAACACUGCAAGCCUAUUAAUGAUGAACAAAGUCUAGGAUUCAAACAGGAAAUGCUGUGGCAUAGUACUAACAUUGUCCCAGCAACUUUUGUGCUGAUAUGAGUAUUCUCUUCUUCAUCAAGUUUGGCUAAACCAAAGUCAGAGAUCUUGGCAUGCAGAUGUUUAUCAAGUAAGACAUUGGUUGCCUUAAUAUCCCUGUGCACUAUUUUCAACCUUGAUUCCUCAUGAAGAUAAGCUAAGCCCUUUGCAAUACCCAGACAAAUUUGCAUUCUUCUGGGCCAGUCCAAUUGCAUCCUCUCAUGUUCUUUACCUAGAAAAGGAAAACCUUUUCAGUUAGAUUUUAACUUGGUAGCGGCAUACACAGCCAAAGAUGUUCAUGAAGCAUUUACCAAAAAGUGCACGAGCAAGACUAUUGUUCUCCAUGUACUGAUAUACUAGCAGCAGCUGGUUUCCUUCAAUGCAACAGCCAUAAAGUUUCACAAGGUUUGGAUGCUGCAAAGCAGAUAUCAUGCCUAUUUCAUUGAUGAAUUCACGAUUCCCUUGCUUUGAUUUGGAGGAGAGCUGCUUAACAGCAAUCACAGCACCAUCUGAUAGUACACCCUGUGAAUAGCAGUAUCUUUAGUACCAUGUUUUCAUUUUAAAAAAUAUUGGGGAUAAAAAGACUUAACCCCAAUGUUUCAAAACUUCAUACUGCAUAAGAUGAUUAUAAUCUAUCAAAUUUACCUUGAAUACUGGUCCAAAGCCUCCUUCACCUAUCUUAUUUGCUGGGUCAAAGUUAUUAGUAGCAGCUUUAAUUUGUCUUAAACUGAAAUAACCUGUUUUCAGACCUAGAAGUUCUGCAACAAGGUAGAUGUAGCUACUCAGAAAUAAAAUGUAUAAUUGAAAAGAAAGAGAGGUGAUAGAGAUACAGAAAGAGAGAAAUCAGAGAAUUGUUUUUGAGAAACCAAGUGUGCAUUUUCUGUUACCUUAAAAUUACCACAAUUUAGAUCUCGGCAAUAAAUUUCAAGUUGUUAUAUAAUCUACUAUUAAUAUUUAUAAAAAAAAUUCAUGUCUAUUAGUAUAUUCCAAGAUUCUAAUAGAUGUAUAUGCAUCAUGCUUGACUGCAAACCAAUCUGAACUUUGUAAUAUCAAAAACCAAAUCAUAAGGGUUGUAACUGCCUGCUUAAUUUGGACUUCAAUCUUACCUUGGUCUGUUUGAUCUUUCUGACAAAGGAAACCCAUCUUCCAAAGAGCAAAGAGCAUCAAUAUGACAAUCACACAUGCCCCAGCUACAAUUCCAACAAUUGUUCCAGUAGAGAACCCAUGUGCAUAAACUUUAAAGUCUACAGCAAAGUGGAAAUGCUUACAGAACAUGAAAGGACAAGGUAUUUGAAAGAGAGGACACCAAUAUUAUGAAAACUACUUACUUGGGGUCACAGUGAUAGCAGAUAUGAGAGGUCCAUAUACACCUCUUAUAGGAAUGGCAUUAGUUCCUUUCCCUGCCCAGGAUAAGUGGAUUUCCAAGGUGCUUUCUGUAACAUUAACAUUAAACUCCCUAGUGAUUCCCUUACCAACUCCCCCAGCUUCUUUCGCAAUGUUAAAAUCUUUCAAAUAUUUAAAACCCUGUCAAUGUACAGUAAUGAAAAUAUCGAACUUUAGAACUCGUGUUAUUGGAGAACCAGAUACAAAAUAUGAGUAAAAUUUUAAGAGAAACAAAAAAAAUGUAACAUUGUUUGCUUCAUUUACUCACUUGAAUUGAUACAUCAAAUACACGCUUUCCAAGGUUGCUAUAUGAGUGGUCAUCAGAGAAUGCUAUCUCAGCAAAAUGAAGUUUCACUUUAUAAUUGCCGUUCAGCAUACAAAGGCCAUAGUAAUUAAGAUACAGAGGAGCUAUGCGGGCUGUGUGGUAGUAAUCAGGGCCAUUAAUAUCCAAAGAAAACUGAUUUGUUGCUAUAUAAUCAGCUUUAUCAUUUCCUAGAUAUACUCCAGUGCUGCUAUAAGCCCAUUUGCCACUAUUACCAGGAACAUAGUUUGAAAUGCCAAAUGGACUGAGGUCAGCUUCAUAUUCAUUGCCCUCAAACUUUGUUUCAGGUCCUCCACAGUUUAUGAACAGUGAAUGAACUGGAGAGAGACACAGUGAAAGCGAAUAAUUUAUCAAGAAAAAUGAAUAUGCUUAAUGAAAAAGCAGGGAAAUAAAGAAAAACAAAAAACAAAACUUGUUCUCAUACAUGUUACUUCAAAUUUCAAAAUUUCAAAAAACAAUGUUGGUUAUCUAAGUCUAGACACUCACACUGGGGUUUUCCUGAACAAGGUUGGCCAAUCUUCAAACAAGAUAUUCUACAAGAUAUAAAGAUAUAAUAUUAGUUUCAACUGAUGAUUCAUAGCUGAUAUUAUAGAACUAAAACUAGUCCACAAGAAGGAACAUACGAAGUGUUUGCUGUGCGAGAGAGGCUUGAAGCUAAGUUCCUGUUCAAUGAUAAUACCAUGCUUAUUAUUGGCAUAGGUGAAAUGCUUAAAUAAUUUGUAGACAAAAAGAAGCUUACACAUCCAGCAUUUGGCAAAUAUUUGCAGAAGUCUUUGUGAAAUUGUUCAAAGAUAAAUCACUGAAAGAGAACAUAAAGUGAGAAUAAAUUUCAUAAUUCAAUGAGUGCUAACUAAAGAGAUAUGCUUACAUAUGCUUUUUUAUGCUCAGUAUCCAAUCAGGAAUUGGUCCACUUAGAGAAUUGUUUGUCAGAAACCUGCAUCCAUCAUGAAUAUAUGUCUCAUUAUAUCAGAAAAAAAUAAGUUGAGAAAAAGCAACCAACAUUCUUGAGAUCAAAUUAAUAUAAACAUUCACAUCCUUUCGGCUAAUCUUCUUGCUGGCAAAUGAAAAUACACACUUACAAGUAAUUUAGAUUUCCCAAAUCCUGAAAUGAAUCUGGGAUUGAACCUGUUAACAUGUUGGAGCUCAGAUCUCUGAAAGAGAAAAUAGGAAAUUACUAUGAUGUAGUAAUGGCACAUGCCACUUCCAAAUUCUAACAACAAAAUAUAAUGGAGGUAAUAUCAAGUUUCCAAUAAUUUUUAUUUUUUUUCUCUUUUUGCUGGCAUUUUGAAACACAAUAUUGCAGAUAAUAAUUUGCACAGAUGAUGCAUACUAAAAUUUAUAUCCACAUUCUUGGUAGUUAUAUUGUCAUUAUACUGGUAUAACUAACCAACAAAUCACAAUCACCUUAAAGGAAAUGCCCCCAAUGAUUACACAAACAGAUGAAGAGUGUCCAAAAAUAAGUCUUGAAAAAUAUCUAACAAUAGUUGAUUACCAGAGGGGCAAAGAAGUGUUAAUCACAAAAUUAAUUGGAUUCAAAUUAUUUCCUAAAUCCUGAUCUUUAUAAUGUAGAAAUUCAAUACUCAUAAACUUUAUCUAAUGAAGAAUAGAUGGAGAAAAGGUGCUACCUAACAAUAUAGGUGCAAAAUUAAAAUAAACACAUACUGUAGAAAUGGAGAUGAUAAAAUGAUCAAAUUAUUACAGAGUGACUUCUAAAUCCUUAAUUGUGUCAUGAUUCAACUAAAAUUAGAAUGUGUUUUUGUAUACUAAAAUUAAAUAGAUAAUAAUGAGAUUGGUAAACAGGUAGAUAAAAAAACUAAAGAAUAUAUAGCUAGUUAUAUACUCUUGAUGCAACUUACAUGAUUUUCAAACUUUCUAUUUCUCCAAUGUAGUUUGGAAUGGGACCAGUUAUUAAGCAAUUCCUCAAUUCCCUGAGUAACAGAAAUAUGAUAGAAGCCUAAAUGAAUUAUAUAGUUCUUCGCGUAAGAGCAGUUAAGGUUUCAACUCACAGUUUUAGCAAAAGUUUCAAAUUCUUCAGAUUAGGAAAUGUCAUAGUUGGUCCCUUCAAAUCAGAUAUCCUCCUGAUAUAUAAAUGUUUCAUCAAUGAAAAGAAGAUGUUCCACUAUAAGAGAUUGCAUUCCAUUACGAUUGUAAAAUGCACACAAAAUGUAAUAAUUUUGGAAUACUCUUAAAAGGACAAAGUGCUCACAAUUCUGUCAAAUUUGUCAAGUAAGAUAUGACAGAAGGAAUUGGGCCGUCCAAGGAUGUGCCCUGCAAAUCCCUACAAAAAGUUUUCUUAGAUAAUACAAUGCAAGUUAAUCAUGAUAUAACUUUAUUUUAUUCUUCAACUGAGAAAAGGUCAUGGAUGAACCAAAAUUUAGACUCACAAUCUAUCAAGUUUGGUCCAGUUCCCAAUAAAACUGGGUAUUUUCCCAGAUAAACUGUUUCCAUCUAUCCUACUGCAUGCAGAAAAUGUUGUUAUUUCACAAUUUAACAAACAUAAAAUAAAGACAAACGGAAAAAAAUUGCAUCACAUUAAAUCACUUACAACUGAGUGAGAUUCUUUAGAUUUCCAUAUGUUUCUGGUAUUAUCCCUGUGAAAUUAUUUGCACAAAGAAGUCUGUAGAUUCAUUUAGUUAAAGUGAAAAAAAAGGAGUUAGGGAUGUGUGGAGAAAACAGUAUGAAAUUGUAGAUAAUAUGGAGACAAUUUAAUGAUUUAAAUUGAUUAUGUAAAUCAAAUGAAAUUAAAAAAAUGAAACAAAUAGUCUCACAAUCUCAGCAAGUUGCUCAUUUUUCCAAGGCUCGGGGGAAGAGGUCCCUCAAGUUGAUUAUCUUCCAAAUUCCUGUAAACAUGGAUUACAAAUAUAAUUAUUCCACCUCCAGUUUUAAUCAAUUGGCAUCAUAGUUUUCUCAAACGCUUACAGUUCUUGCAGACUAGCCAUGUCACCAAUUUCUGAGGGAAUUGAACCAGUAAGUCGAUUUCCCAAAAGUGACCUGAAGCAUGUAGCAAUUGUACUGUGAGGAAUCAUGCAAACCCCAUUUAGGAUUUUUUUUAAUUAAAAUGCAAUCCCAUUUAGGAUUUUUUUUUUUAAUUAAAAUGUAAUGAUAGUAUAACAGAUUUUACACUAUCAUUCAAUAAUAGGUUGCUAUAUCCUGGGCGAUUUCUAGUUGGUUGUCGGCUACGUAGAUCACACCACGCCAUUUGACUCUUAAAAACCAAAGCCUUAUCUAGGGUGAUUUCUAAUGGGUUAACAAUGUAAAAAAUUUUGCACUUACAAUUUAUGAAAACUAAACUCAAUUGCAAGAAGGAAAAAAAAAAGACAGUCGCAAAGGUUCUUAGUUAACAAAUGAAGAACAUGCCUCACAAAUAGAGCAAGCAAGAUGAAAACACACAGAUGCAUAGGUAAUGAUGACUUACAGAGUGACAACUGAUGAGAGGCGUCCAAGGCUUUUUGGAAUUGAGCCAUUGAAAUUAUUCCAAGUGAGAUCACUGCUCAGUAUAAAAGUUUCAGUUAGUUAUUUCAAAGUAGAUUCCUUUGCAUUUCAUGAAGUUAAUAAUGUUUUGACUUUCAUAUAAAAGAACUAGAAUGUAUACUACUAAUGACAAAAUAACACUACAAAUAUUGCAAUUCACCUUUCAUAUUUGUAUAACAGCAUGCAUGGUGGGGCAUUACUCUACAAUCCAUAGUUUCUUUUAUCGGUUGAAAUCAAAGACAGUACUAGAAAGUUUAUAAUAACUCAUGUGUCCUAUUCAACCAAUUCAACUAGACCUCAUUGGUUAGUUGAUUAGUGUUCAUAGUUUUAUUUUCUUAUUUGGUCGACUUUUUCAUUACUUCAUUAAUGGUUAGUUAUAAUUACCAUUUUUUUGGCAUUUAUUUAUUAAGAAAUUGGGUAUCCGUAAAUGCUUAACAUUGAUCCCACCUGAUUAGCAUACCCAAAAGGAUAGCAUAGUAACUCCCUCAUUUGUGACUACAACAGUUACGGACAUGGUUAAUCCAUAUUUUCUAUAACAGUGCAGCAUUUGUGAACAUACAACUAAAAAAGUAAGAGACAAAAAGAAUUUAUAACCACUUACAGUAUUUCUAGUCGAGUUAAAUUUCCAAAUUCAUCGGGUAUAGGUCCAGAUAUAUUGAGACCCUUGAGCGCACUGUCAGCCAAUGUGUUAAAUUAGAAUUCUCAAAUGAAUAUUGUUUAUUAAUUUAAUAAAUACGAAUGAAUGUAAAGUAACCAAAGGUGACCAAUGGUCCAAGUGGAUGGAAAAAUAAAAAAUAUGAUUAGGAGAAAAGACUCUACUAUAAGUGAUUAAUGUUUUUCAAUAAAAAUUAAUCAUUUAAAAAAUUGAUAGAUACUUCACACUAGUAUUAUUAUCUAAAAAAAAAAGUAACCAAAGGUAACAUCUUUCACGUGUUAGUUUCAUUAUGCCUUAAAAAAACAUAUUAGUUUCAUUAUAAUUUUUUUUUUCACAAACUCACACUAUUGCCUAUUGGUGUUAAUAACAAAUUGUCUAAGUUGCACAAAAUCCAACUGUAGAAGACACUAGUAAGGGAGGGUUUGAAAAAAAGCUUACAUUGCUGUCACAUGGCAAGUAGUGUUAUUGUUGAAAGAGCAAUCACACGUGACAUUCCUUAUGAUUUGAGACUUAUUAUCCCUUGAAAUGUUCCUGUUAUCAAAUCCUCUAUCCCCGUUGCAAGAACGUUGUGUAACUUUCCAAUUCAGGUUCUCUACCUUGUCUGAUAUUGCUUGUAGCAAUUUCACUGCAACAUAUAGAAGGCAAAUAAAUUAAUUAGUUUUAUUCUCAGGCUACAUGCAUCUUAUAUUUCUGGUAUUAAGAUCUAUAAUCUUUUCAAAAGAAGAACUGUAAAAUAAUACUAUGUCAAUUUAGGUAAAUUCUAGAUUGUGACCUACUCAUAUUUUAACAAGCACAAGCUUUAGCAAAACUCUUGUGGUCAAAAGCUUUCAUUAGCAAACAUAUGCAUAAGCCCAUUGCAACUCUAGUCAAUAGCCUCAACAAUUUGAGCACGAUGCUAUCUUUAUAUCCAUUAAUUUGACUAAGUCAAACAAGGCGGGCAAUAAAUAUAAGAAAAAAUUGAACUUUGCAUACAUGCAAAGCUAAUCUUUUUCCUAAUUUUUUAUUGUCAACACUUGUCAUAUGAACCCCAUGCAGCAUCCAUCUAGUCCUAUUAGAGUAGUAUCAUUAUAACAAACCGUCAAUAAUAAGUAAAACAUGAUCAUCGUACCGUCCACAAUAAAGAUAACUAAACCUUAAGCUGGAGAAAUCGAUAUGGUUUUAGGGGUACAAAUCAUAUGACUAAUCAUUACAUUGACAAUUAUGCCAUGUUUAUCCUAAAAUAAAGAACUAUUAGAACGUGUUGGCACACAAUUUGACUCACCUAUCUAUUUAUCAAAAUUCAUCUAUCACAUUUUUUUUUUACUUUCUGUUUGUCUCCUUUAAUUUACUUUCUUCUGUUGCAGCCUUGAUUUUUAUGAGCCAAAUAUUUAGUUCAUUUUACUCUCUUUCGCAUCUAAAAUGUGAAUAGGAUUGGAAAAAUUAAGGGAUAUUUGAUUUGGUUGUUUUUUGUUUUUAUUUUUACUAUAAAUAAAAAUGGUGAUGAAAAUGUAUUUGGUUAGAUUUUUGAAAAUAUUUUAGUAAAAAUAUUUUUCUAAACGAACCAAAAAUUAAAAACAAAAAAAUCUUAUUUUCAGUUGAAACCAAGAAUCUCAUUUUAGUAAAAUGAAAAUACGAUGACAAAAAAUACAAUUUUAAGUAAAUCUAAAAAAUAUUUCCUUUUGAAAACAUAUUUUCAAUAUUUUUAUCUCUCGAAAGAAAAAAUAAAAAAUAAAAAAUUAAAUCAAAUAUAUUUUUAAAAUUUUAAUCUUUUAAAAAUAUAAACAAUUUUUAGAAAAUAAAAAUAAUAAAUAAAAAUACAACCUAAAGAUACCCUAAUAAUGGAGCAGGUGGGUAGAAGUGACAUUUCUCUAUUAAUUGUUGGCGUGCUGGUGACUAGUAAGGCACCGAAACUUCUCUCAUACCGAAAUAGUGAUAAAAGUAAAAUUAAAAUCAUGUCUUUGGAAAACUAUCAGGAUCCGUCCAAGAGUUAGUGAGACGUAAGGUGAAUUUUAAGAUUUUUUUUUUAACUUCAAAUGAGAGAGAUAUAUUAGUUUUUUUUGUGAAAAUAUGUGGGUUUUUUUAUCAAUGUGAUUUUUUUUGUUUCAUAGAAACUAAUAAAUUUUUUAUGGACCUAAAGCUUAAGCGAUCCUUACUGCUGCUUACACCAAAAGGGCAAAAAUCUAAAAAAGGAACGGAUGCGAUCAGCCACACUGUCUUUCUGACAUCUAGACAACUAUCACAUGGCCUUUAUAUUACCAAUUUGCCCUCACUUUAUUUAACAAAUUUUCAUCCUCGUGACUUGCUCCACAGCUGUAAAUUGUAAUAUGUGGUGAACAUAUUUCAGUCAUAAAUUAUUAAUGUCUUAUCUCAACUACAUAUGAUUCCCUGAAGAUGGAUACAAUUACAGAUAUUAUAAUGCUAAUCAAUGAUGUGACAGUGAUUAAACAAUAAAAUAAAAUACUUAGUGAAAAAUAUUUAUUCAAAAGUCCUGUAAAGCAAUUGUAAAACGGUCUUUCCAAUAAUAAAAUAAAUAUAGAAUACAAAUUAUAAAUAUCUUAUGUUUCAUAUGCAUGAUUCAUGCCUUGAGUUGACUAUAAUAACUGAUAUUACAAUAUUAAUCAAUACUGCGAUAUUGAUUAAAGGAAUAAAAAUCAAAUACACUUGAUAGAAAAUAUGUAUGGCUUGAGAAUUAUCAUCUUUAAACCUUUGAUCAAAGAGCACUACAAGAACUUUAACUCCUAUGAAGGAUCUAGUUAGAUACGUGACACCUAUGACAAUUAGUCCUAGGUGUACAUAUCUUUUAUUUGUAUUAAGGAGUUUUCGUCUUGUUUGUUGUGAGAUUAAUCUAAUAAUCUCAUGUCUUCCGUUAGAGAGAUAAAAAUCAUCAACCCUUCUGUAUUUGUAUAAGCUAAUUCUAUCUAAGGCCAGUCAAUUUAGGUUUUAUAAUUGUCUAGGAUUAAGAGAGUCUAUCAUAGAAUUUGAUCCAAUAUCAACAUUGGAUUCUAUAUCUACUAUUUGUUCCAGUUGGUUCGAAAAUUUGUCCUUCUAAAGAAUCUAUCUAGGAUUCCAGGAUGUUGAAUUAUAGAUUCAAUAACAGGAUUGUGUCCUGAGACUAUUUGUGAGGUUUCGAUAAAUGGUGUUGUCCUCAUUUUCUAGGCUUUGCUAAAACGAAUUUAGUCGAAGUUUGGCUUGUUGUUUUUCCUAGAUCAAGUUUAGAAAGCUGUGUUGUAAUUUUAUUGAGUUCGUUUGUAGAUAAACGAAUUUGUUGGUCUUUUGUUUUAAGAGUAUUCAAAAUAUCGUUAAUUUUAUUUUCUAAUGUUUGUAUUUUGUUAAACAACAAAUGUUGUAUUUUUGUUAAGCUGUCUAAGGUUUCAGAUAAAACUUCAAAAGACUUUAUCGAAAGUUUGUUACUAGAGUUAUUAUUAUUAAUUACAUCACAAUGUCUAUCCAGAGCUAAUGUAAAGGCUCUCAUACCAAAGAGGUACCGAGAAGCCUAUAUAAAAGGUGAAAGAAUAUGAAAUAAAUAGUAAGAAUAAUAUAAAUCAGCAAAGGUGGUAGUGCCUCCUAGUAAGAUUUAAAUAAGAGGUACCGAGAAGUCUAUAUAAACGGUGAAAGAAUAUAAAAUAAAUAGUAAGAAUAAUAUAAAUCAGCAAAGGUGGCAGUGCCUCCUAGUUAGAUUUAUAUUAUAUUAAAACAAGUAAAUAAAUGUACAAUUAAGAGUAAUCAAUAACAGUUAAUAGUAAGCGGUCAAGAGUAAGCGAUAUGCAGAAGAAAAAUAUCAAAUUAGAUGGAUAGAUGAUACUUCUCAAGUGGAUACGGUAAGUUAUCUUAUUUUAGAAAAAUAUAGAAUAUGAUGAACCCAAAAUCUUUUUUUUUUUGAAGAACAAAUAUACAAGAUCCUUAUCGGUUUUUUGGAUAUUAAGCCGAAUACUGAAGAUCUUUACCAACUCACACUUCUUUGGAUCUUACGUUGAUCUUAUUUUCCUCCAAGGACCCGCCUAACCAAAGAGGACUUUUAUCGUUUUUCAAAAACAGCUAUCAAGGGCACACCUUUAUAGGCUUACCAAUCCCAGGUUUUCGAAAUCGUAAAAAAUGAUCUUUCCAAUAAUAAAUUAAAUAUAGAAUACAAACUAUAAAUAUCUUAUGUCUCAAAUGCAUGAUUCAUGCCUUGAGUUGGCUACAAUAACAGAUAUUACAAUACUAAUCAAUGCUACGACACUGAUUAAAGAAAUAAAAAUCAAAUACACUUGGUAAAAAAAUAUGUAUUCUGAAUUCUUAUUAUGACUAGUUACCAGCACGACUCAUCUAUUAAAAAUACAAUUACAACCAAGGGUGGGUCUCACCAAUAAUAAAAUAAAUAAAAGAAUAUGGGCCCCCUUUGUUCUCUAUAGACGAGGCUACCUUACAUCACACAUGGUAUAACAAAGAGCAAUUGUGUGAUUUCAUUGAUUCACAAAAACACUCCGAAAUCAUGAAAUGUCACACCAAUAACAAAAGAAAUCCAGAAUUCAUAUACAAAUUCCUUGUUUCAAUUAGAAGAUAGAAAAAUCCAGAUACUCAGAAAGAAGUCUCUUGCUUCAAUUAAAAAAAACUCAAGUCCCAUAUUGACUAGAGAUAGCGUCAAGAUAGAACAUAUAAAGUGAGGACAACCCUCACUCUAUGAGCUAAUUUUUAAGGUUGAGUUAGACCUAGAUUUUUUUCUUGGUAUCAUAUAAAGUGAUUGGACGUGAGAGGGUGAAUUAAAAAAUAAUCCAAGUCCCACAUUGACUAGAAAUAAUGUCAAAAUAGAACAUAUAAGGUGAGAGUAACCCUUACUCUAUUAUAAAAAGAGAAUAAGUAGAAGAAAAAACAAGAGUAAUUAGUCUUAAUUGAAUAAAAAAAUAAUUUGAGGUAUAGAUAAAAGAAAUUCAAAAUUUUCUUUCAUUUUACUCUCUAUUCCAAUCACUGGGAACCAAAAUAAUCCCAGAAAAUUUUAAAAAAAAUAGAAAAAAUUUUAUUUAUUUUUAUUUUUGAGCAAGUUAGAUGCAGAACUUCUUAAAAAAACUAAUUAAAUGUAAACGGAAGAAGCAGGGAACAAAAAAAAAACGACAUUGGCGAUUUCCUUAUGGAUCUUGUGACAGAAGCAACAAUGCAAGUUGAAGAACUAAAUUCUGGAAGAUGGGUUUGCACUAAAACGGAUAAAGUUGAAACUUUGUGAAGUUGGUGUUAAAACCAAAAAGACAGUUUCAGUUUAUAGUUUUGGAAGUUACAAAAGUGAAAUUUCCAACACACACAUAAUUAACACAUAAAAACCCAUAAGAUAAAAAUAAAAUGGAAAAUAAUUAAGUACCUUCAUCUUGUGGUAAGAGUUGAGCGUUGGAUCCAAAGUGUAGGGAAGCCAGGAACACAAAAAUGAAGCACUUAGACACACGUUUGGAGCUUGAAGACAUCACAAACCGCAUCAUGGUCCUGCGGUGUGUCGGUAUCAGAAAGUUUCAGAAUGGAGUAGCAAAAACAGAGAAGAGAGUUGCUAAAGAUUAUUUUUGUAGAAUUUAAAAGAGGAUCUCACAUAAGACAUUAUUUAUUUGAAUUUAUUACACAAAUAUUAUAUAUAUAAUAAGUUGUUGAUUUUCAUAAUAAACAUCUUGUAAAAUAAUUUUUAAUUGAUUGAUAAUGUAAAAAAUACUAAUAAUAUAUGUCAAGGGAUCUAAUUCAUUAGUUGAGAAAAUACAUUAGUUAUGUUGUUUUUUAUUCUUAUAAGAUCAAAUUUUAGGUUUGAAUAUUUUUACUUAUUUUUUAUAUAAUUAGAAGAGAAAUGAAAUAAAAAAGACAUAAAAUAAAUUAUGAAAUAAUGUUACAAAGACAGGAGAAGUAACGCGAGAAGUAAAGAAUUAAGUAUUGUAAACUAUAUUGAAGUAAAAAAUGUCACAUAAUUAUUACAGUUAUGUAUAUAUAUAUACUCUACUUUUUAGUUGGAGUGUGCAUUAAUAUCCUACACAAAAAAAAAAAAAUUGUUGACAAAGAAACCACUCAUAAUUAAAUAUUAACAAUGAACAAAGUUGUUUUUAUAGAAAAAUGAUAGGAAUAAAUAUCAACUUUAAAAGGAUCAAUAUUUAUUUAUUUAUUUUAUUCCUAUAUGAAUUAAUGACAAUUUCAGUAAAUAUGCUUUUUAUAUAUUAAUAUUGUUAUACUUUAUGAGAAAUAAAAAAGAAUAAAUUAUAAUGGUCCAGAGUUCAAGUCAUCGCUUGACUUGAUUUCCGCGUCUGAGUAAUGUUAUUAAAAUAAUGGUCCUGUUAAAGUCAUCGCUUGACUUGACUUCCCCGUUUGCGAACGGCGUGUGCCUUAAGUUCUUUAAGGAGUUGUACGUAAUUGGAGUAAUUAAAAAUUUACUAAAGUUUUUAGAUCGGAGUUCUACCACAUAAUAAGAUCCCAAUAUAAGUGAGUGAAAAACUUCUUCCCUGAUAUCUAUAAUGGAGAUGCUCUUAGACAUUUGACACCACUUAGAAACGUGUGGAUGACUUUGAUUAAUUUCUCUUUUUUUUAUAACUAGAAAAAUUAAAUGAAUUAUAUCAUAAAGGUUCACCAAGAUUUGGAUACACUUAAUUGAUUAAUUUCUUUUAGUCCUAUAUGCAAUGUGCCAAAUUUGUCCUAACUCCUAAGUAACAUAAAAAUAUCUCGGGUGUGCAAUAACUACAGAAAUAAAAGAAAAAUUAGGAUGAAAUUAUACUAAAAAAGUAUUGUAAAUUCUCUUAUUUUGUUUUUUUCGCAGAAUAAAGCAUGAGAAGAAUGGCUAAUACCAUAGUUACCUUAGCAAAUACUGGUUCGGGAAGAGAUCCUAGACAUUUUGAAAUGAAUGGAAAGAGAGUCUACUUUCAUUAAGUGAUUUAUUAGAUAAUCGAAAACAGAAAAUCUUGAGAACUAUUCGAAACUCAGAAGAAUUACGGGAAGGGGCCAUUGAACAGCUGGAAAAAGCCCAAGCCCGCUUAAGGAAAGUCGAAACGGAAGCAGAUCGUUUUCGGGUGAAUGGCUAUUCUGAGAUCGAACGAGAAAAAUUGAAUUUAAUUAAUUCAAUUUAUACGACUUUGGAACAAUUAGAAAAUUACAAAAACGAAGCCAUUCAUUUUGAACAACAAAGAGUGAUUAAUCAAGUCCGACAACGGGUUUUACAACAAGCCUUACAGGGAGCUCUAGGAACUCUAAAGAGUUGCUUGAACAACGAGUUACAUUUACGUACUGUCAGUGCUAAUAUUGGCAUGUUUGGGACGAUGAAAGAAAAAAUAACUGAUUAGUCUUUCUAUUAUAAAAUAGAGUAUAGGCAUUAUUUUUUUCUUCUAAAAAAAUAAAAUUAAGAAAUUUUCAUGGUAACCAUUCGUGCAGAUGAAAUUAGUAAAAUUAUCCGUGAACGCAUUGAGCAAUAUAAUACGGAAGUAAAAAUUGUAAAUACGGGUACCGUACUUCAAGUAGGCGACGGUAUUGCUCGUAUUUAUGGUCUUGAUGAAGUAAUGGCGGGUGAAUUAGUGGAAUUUGAAGAGGGUACUAUAGGCAUUGCUUUGAAUUUGGAAUCCAAAAAUGUUGGUGUUGUAUUAAUGGGUGAUGGUUUGAUGAUACAAGAGGGAAGUUCAGUAAAAGCAACAGGAAGAAUUGCUCAGAUACCUGUAAGUGAGGCUUAUUUGGGUCGUGUUAUAAAUGCCCUGGCUAAACCAAUUGAUGGUCGAGGAGAAAUUUCAGCUUCGGAAUCUCGAUUAAUCGAAUCUCCUGCUCCCGGUAUUAUUUCGAGACGUUCCGUAUAUGAGCCUCUCCAAACAGGACUUAUUGCUAUUGAUUCGAUGAUCCCCAUAGGACGUGGCCAACGAGAAUUAAUUAUUGGAGACAGACAAACGGGUAAAACAGCAGUAGCCACAGAUACUAUUCUCAAUCAACAGGGACAAAAUGUAAUAUGUGUUUAUGUAGCUAUUGGUCAAAAAGCAUCUUCUGUGGCUCAAGUGGUGAAUACCUUACAAGAAAGAGGAGCAAUGGAAUACACUAUUGUAGUAGCUGAAACAGCGGAUUCUCCAGCUACAUUACAAUACCUCGCCCCUUAUACAGGAGCAGCUCUGGCUGAAUAUUUUAUGUACCGUGAACGUCACACUUUAAUCAUUUAUGACGAUCUCUCCAAACAAGCACAGGCUUAUCGCCAAAUGUCUCUUCUAUUACGAAGACCACCUGGUCGCGAAGCUUAUCCAGGAGAUGUUUUUUAUUUACAUUCACGUCUUUUGGAAAGAGCCGCUAAAUUAAGUUCUCAGUUAGGCGAAGGAAGUAUGACUGCUUUACCAAUAGUUGAAACUCAAUCGGGAGAUGUUUCAGCUUAUAUUCCUACUAAUGUAAUUUCCAUUACAGAUGGCCAAAUAUUCUUAUCUGCCGAUCUAUUCAAUGCUGGAAUCAGACCCGCUAUUAAUGUAGGUAUUUCCGUUUCCAGAGUUGGAUCGGCGGCUCAAAUUAAAGCCAUGAAACAAGUAGCUGGUAAAUUAAAAUUGGAAUUAGCACAAUUCGCAGAAUUAGAAGCUUUUGCCCAAUUCGCUUCUGAUCUCGAUAAAGCUACUCAAAAUCAAUUAGCAAGAGGUCAACGAUUGCGCGAGUUGCUUAAACAAUCCCAAUCAGCUCCUCUUACCGUGGAAGAACAGAUAAUAACUAUUUAUACUGGAACGAAUGGUUAUCUUGAUUCAUUAGAAAUUGGACAGGUAAGGAAAUUUCUUGUUGAGUUACGUGCUUACUUAAACACGAAUAAACCUCAAUUCAAAGAAAUCAUAUCUUCUACCAAGACAUUCACUGGGGAAGCAGAAGUCCUUUUGAAGGAAGCUAUUCAAGAACAGAUGGAACUCUUUUUACUACAGGAACAGGUAGAAAAAAAUUGAUUAAUCAUUUAAUAACUUUAUAAUUUCACUUUCAAAUUCUUAUAAUUAGUAUCUUUUAAUAUCUUUUUAUUUCAUUUGAAUAUAAUAUUAAUAUAUAAAUCGAAUGAAAAUAGAAAAAAAAAAAAAAAAAAAUAGAAUAAAUAAAAUAGAAGGACAAGGUAUAAAUUGCAUAUAUUUGCAUAUAUAUGCAAAUAUAUGCAAACAAUUUGCGUCCAAUAGGAUUUGAACCUAUACCUAAGGUUUAGAAGACCUCUGUCCUAUCCAUUAGACAAUGGACGCUUCUAUUUUUUUUUUCUUUUAUUCUUUAACCUUAUUAACUAAAAAAGGUUAAAGAAUAAAAGAAUUCUAUAUUCUAUAUAUAGGAAUUCUAUAUUCUAUAUAUAGAAAAGAUAUAGAAAAUUUAUAGAAAAUAAAUAAAAUUCAAUUUGUUAUAAAUACCUAAAAUAAAUACCUAAAACUAAAUUAAGAAAUUAAAAAAAAGAAUUGACAAAUUCAUUUAAAAUUCUAGAUUCAUUCUAUAAGAAAAAAGAUAGAUUCAAAUAGAAUAAAUAGAGAAUAUAAGCGGGUAGCGGGAAUCGAACCCGCAUCGUUAGCUUGGAAGGCUAGGGGUUAUAGUCGACGUUGAUUCAUCAUUUUGAUUUCAAUUUAACGUCUCUAAUUCAAAACCGAACGUGAAACUUUUGUUUCAUUCGGCUCCUUUACAGAAAAAAUUAAGAGAUGGAAAAUCAAAAAAUUGACCCAUAACAUCUAUGUCAGCCUUUUUGUUUUGUAUGAAUAAGUUUAAAACAUCUUGCUUUUUAGAUGAUCCCUCUAGAAGAGCAGUAUUAUAAUAAUCUGUUUUUUUUCUAGUUACUUCGUUCUCUAUUUCUAUUUAAUAGAAUCUUUAGGAAAAGCAUAAAAUUUCUGUCGAGCUAAAAAAAUGUAGAUGUCUCUAGUAAACUAAAAGAAUCGUUUAAUAGCUAUUUUGCUUCAAUCUCUACUAUACAAAAAAAUGGAAGAUUUAGUUACGAUUAGAAAGAACUUUCUAUAUAUCUCUCCAUAGAUCCUUUCGUCAUACUCAAAAAAAUUCGGAUUAUAGAUCCAAUUCCAAAAACUUAUGUUUCAUAAUUUUAGAACUCAAGUUGUCAAUUUAGAAUUGAUUCUUCUUGUAUACAAAUUACGAUAAUGUAUAUUAUACCGCAAAUCAUUCAUUGAGGGUAUAAAGGAUUCCCUUUAAGUUACAAGUUAACAAUAACAUUAAUUAAAUUAAUAAAAAAUGAAAAGAAAGAAAGGCUCCGGUGUAUAGAAAGGACCUGCCCGUUUCUAAAAAAAAUCAUAGAAACGAUGGAACCCACCCAUUUUUUAUAUAUGUCCUAAUUUAUUUACUAUUACUUACUAUGUUUUUUGAUAUCUAGUAUCAAUACAAUUUAUUAUUUUGAGGUUGAAUAUUUAGAAAAAAAAAUAUAUAUAUAAAAUCGUGGUUGGGGAGGUUAUAGUAGCAAGAGCCAUUGGAAUUUUUUUUUUAUACAUUGGAAGAAUCCAUUUUUGUUAUUAAUAGACUAGUAAGAAGAAAAGAAUAACUGAAAAAUCAAAUAGUUAUUCAUCAAAGUCUCAAUUAUUCAAUGACCAGAAUUAAACGAGGAUAUAUAGCUCGGAAACGAAGGACAAAAAUUCGUUUAUUUACAUCAAGUUUUCGAGGAGCUCAUUCAAGACUUACUCGAACGAUUACUCAACAGAAAAUAAAAGCUUUGGUUUCGGCUCAUCGGGAUAGAGAUAGGAAAAAAAGAGAUUUUCGUGGUUUAUGGAUUAGUCGAAUAAAUGCAGUAAUUCGCGGGAAUAUUAAAGUAUAUUAUAUUUAUAGUAAUUUAGUAUAUAAUCUAUACACGGGGCAAUUGCUUCUUAAUCGUAAAAUAGUUGCACAAAUAGCUAUAUUAAAACAGAAUUGUCUUUUUAUGAUUGCCAAUGAUAUCAUAAAAACCAAAAAUCCCCUUAGACUUUACUCCGGGAAGGUAUAGAAUAUAAAUUUGUUUAUUUUGAUAGCUUUAUCAUAUGAAUUUUUAUCAUAUGAUAAAGCUAUCAAAAUAAACAACCACGCUGAAUAAAAAAAAAUGAUUCUUUGUUACCUAUUAUCUUUUUUCUUACAACAUAAAAACCCAAAUUGAAUUGUCGUAAUUUUCAAACAAAACAUCAAUCAAUAUUUCAUUCAAAUCUCAAUUCAAAAUUGGAUUUAGAAUUCUUAAUUUCUAUAUUUUUUUUUUCUUAAAGUAGUAGUUCUAGCGGUUGACUCGCUUUUUUCAAAUUGUUUUUCAUUAUUAAGAAAAGAUAACGAAGAUAAAAUACGAGCUUGUUUUAUAGCAAUUGUUAUUAAUCGUUGUUGUUUUAAGGUCAAUCUAUUUACGCGUCUGGAUAAUAUUUUUCCUUGUUCACUAAUAAAUCGACUAAUUAAACCCAUGUUUUUAUAAUCAAUUCGGUCCCCCGAUUGGAUCGGGGGCAAACGCCUACGAAAAGAUCGCUUAGAUUUUUCCAUGGUUUAUUUAUCCCUAUUCCAAAAAUCACAUUUAUUACAAGAAAUACUAUAAAGGAUUAGAAAUACUAUAAAGGAUUUGUUUUUUUAUUCUGACUUUUUUAAUAUAUGUUGUUAUAUACUGAUAUUUGUAUAUAUUCAACUGUAAAUGAUAGAAUACAGAUAGAUCUGAUAGAAUACAGAUAGAUCUAUCUAUAUAGAUAAGAAAAGUUCUUUGGUUCGAAGGGUAACACACAAGCGAUCAAUUUGAUCUAUUUCUUUAUUUCUGCGUGAAUUGUAUGUUUGCAACAACGGGGACAAAAUUUUCUCAAUUCCAAUCGACUAGGCGUAUUCUGUCGAUUCUUUUUAGUUAUAUAUCUAGAAAUACCCGUUGAUUCCUUAUUAACACUCUUUUUAUCACAACCGGUACAUUCCAAAAUAACAAUUACUCGGAUAUCUUUACCUUUGGCCAUGAACCUCCCUUGGGUUUUAAUUCACUUAACUCUUUUGUUUUCGGAUUAUAAUCUAAGAAAAAGAAAAGAACGAAAAAACGAAAAUAUAAAUUAAGAAUUAGAAAUCCAAUUUUGAAAGAUUUCGUUCCAAUUAAGAUUAAGAUUAAUAUAGUACAAAAAUAAUACAAUGAUCUCGAACUAUAUUUCGUUUCGAAUUGCAAUACAAUUGCAAUACAGUAUUUUCGUUUUUUUAACUAAGUAUUUUUUAUGAUAUUGUUGCCCCCACCCUAUACAUUCCAUUUAAAUUUCUGCUUUCACUCUUUUAUUAAUAGAAAUGGAAUUGAAUUAUUAAUUCAAUUCCAUGGAAGCCUGGACGAGAUCCCGAGUUUCACUCCGAAUUUCAAUUAGGCCAAAUUAACCCUUAUUCUUUCUCUUUCCUAACUUAUUCUAUUACAAUUGUAAAAAAAAGAAGAAAUAAAAGACGAAAUAAAGAAGAGGAGAUUAAUUACAUAUUAAUUACAUAUAUUUAAUACUUAAUUGGAUCUAUAAUCUUCUUCACCCCUUUCCGUGUCAAUAACUAGAAUGAAAAAAAAGGGAAUAUCAAUGCAUCUGGAAAAAAACGAUUGAUCUCUAUCAAGAGACCCGCCAAAGCCCCGAACCAUAGAGUACUUACUACUGGUGCCACGGAAAGAUAUGUUUUUAGAUCUCGCAUUUCAAAUCCUCCUUUUUAAGUCUUUUUUCUAUCUAAAAUUUAUUUGAAUUUAAUAUUCUUUUUGAUUAUUCUAAAGAAUAUUAGUUAUAUUUUUUUCUUUUUCAUAUUCUAUUCUAUAUUAUAGUAUAGGAAACUAAAAAAAAUGGCAGAAAAUUAGAAAAUUAGAAAAAUGAUAGAUAUAUAUUAUAUAUAUAUCUAUAUAUCAACAGAUAAAAAUGUGGAAAACAAAACAAAGAUUCUUUACAAUAACACUAGAAACAAAUGGAAAAGGGAUGUAGCGCAGCUUGGUAGCGCGUUUGUUUUGGGUACAAAAUGUCACGGGUUCAAAUCCUGUCAUCCCUAUCCCUAACUAUUACUUAUCAUAUGAUAUUCCGUAUUAUAUAUUUAUUAUAUAUUUAUCAAUAAAACGGGACCAAUUGAAGACGAAUUCCAAUUGGACAUACAUACCGAAUAUCUAUAUGUAUAUAUAUUGAUAUAGUAUAUACAUGUAAAAUGGAUUUGGAUCAUAUAAAAUAAUUUAUGAAAACAAAGCGCUCUUAGUUCAGUUCGGUAGAACGCGGGUCUCCAAAACCCGAUGUCGUAGGUUCAAAUGUUCAAAUCCUACAGAGCGUGAUGAUUCAAAUCCUACAGAACGUGAUUCUUGUAUUUUUCGAAUGAUAAAUAAUUGAACAUUAAAAAGUCUGAAUUUAAUCCUUGUAGAUUAGGAUUAAAACAAAAAAAUAGGGAAUCCGCAAAAAAAGAGACAUUAAUUAAUCAAAGAUCCAACUGAUCACCUCGUCGGUAUUGUAAAUAUGCAGUUACAAAUAAUCCAGCCAAAGUAAUGGGAAUUAAACCUAACACGAUUCCAAAUAGAAAAACUUCAAUCAUUUUUAUUUGUUCGAAAGGUAAAAAGAAAGGUAAUAUCUAUCCUUAACCAUUAAUCUGUAUUGAUCAUGAAUCUCAACGACCGAGAAUUGUAAAUUGACACAGUAAGGAACUAUAGAAUGUCUUAUUCCAAAAUUGACUAUUCCUCUCAAAAUUACAAAUCAAAUAAGUCGUAUUUUACUCAGACCAAUAAAUAGAGAUGAGGUUAUAAUUAAAACCACUAGUAAAAAACCGAAAUAACUAGUUAUAGUGAGCAUAUAGAAGCUAAAUGAAAUAUGUUAUUUUUAUACAUCUGUUUAUAAAGCACUUCCCUAAAUUUCCAUUUUUGAGAGAAAAAAGAAGAUAAGAAAAAAUACUACUUAAAAGAUACAAUUGAAAAUUGGAGAUUCAUCAAUAAAUUAUUACAGACGAAUAAAAAGAGAAAUAGAAUGACAUAAUUUAGAAAUAAAUUCAUCAUCUGUGACAUCUACUCAUCCUGUGAUUCCAAAUCAACAGACUUAUUAAUCAACUCAUGAAUUGAGUAAACUAAUCUAAUGAUAAUGAAAAUCUUUCGUAUUAUUUUAUAUAUUAUUCUAGAAUAGAAUUCUAUUUCUAUUAGAAAGAAAAAUGAAUAUUAAAACAAAAACAAAGAAAAAUAACUUUGUUAUUUCAAUUGUUAUUUCAAUUUCUUUAAUUUUGAAUUAAUAUAGAAGAAAAUAGAAAAAAUAUCUUCAACAACCACAAAAAGUAUAUUUAUAGAUUUGGCAUCUAAUUGAAUUCUAGAAAUAUAAAAUCUCCUUUAUGAAUUCUAAGAAACCAAUUUACCAUAUUCCGAUUUUAAUUGAUACUUAGUUUUUAGUCCGAAACUAAUAAUGUGAAAUGUGAAGAACCUUCAUUUUAUACUAUUACUAUAAAAAUGUACUAUCCAAAAAUUUUCUAUCGGAUUUUUGAAUACAUCGAGACAAUCAAUGAAGAAAGAAGAAAGAACUUAUCUAGUCCUAGAUUUCGAUUGUGAAAUUUCAUUGCUCUGUUAGAAGAAGGAUAGCUAUACUGAUUCGGUAUACUCAAAAGACACCGUUGGUACAAAAUGGACGAUCUAACAAGGAUUACAUUUCAGUAAAUUUCUACUUACUGAUUUUAUGGAAUCGAUCCCCCUUUUGACUGUACAAGAAUAUGUGGAGUUCAACAUGUCUGGAAGCACAGGAGAACGUUCUUUUGCUGAUAUUAUUACCAGUAUCCGAUACUGGAUUAUUCAUAGCAUUACUAUACCCUCCCUAUUCAUUGCAGGUUGGUUAUUUGUCAGCACGGGUCUAGCUUACGAUGUUUUUGGAAGCCCCCGCCCAAACGAAUAUUUUACAGAGAGCCGACAAGGAAUUCCAUUAAUAACUGGCCGUUUUGAUCCUUUGGAACAACUUGAUGAAUUUAGUAGAUCUUUUUAGGAGGCUCCAAUGACCAUAGAUAGGACCUAUCCAAUUUUUACAGUACGAUGGUUGGCUGUUCACGGACUAGCGGUACCCACUGUUUCUUUUUUGGGAUCAAUAUCAGCAAUGCAGUUCAUCCAACGAUAAACCUAAUUUGAAUUAUAGAGCUACGACACAAUCAAACCCAAAUGAACAAAAUGUUGAAUUGAAUCGUACCAGUCUCUACUGGGGGUUAUUACUCAUUUUUGUACUUGCUGUUUUAUUUUCAAAUUAUUUCUUCAAUUAAUAGAAGAAAUAGGAAUAGUAAAUAAUAUAUAAGGAAUUAUUUUAUCCCAUUCGGAAGGAUAUCGUUUCAUAAUUAUCUAUGACUGUUUAUGUCUUUAGCAUGACUGACUACUUGAUUAAAUGUGGAGGAAAGUGGGAUAAAUGGCCGAUACUACUGGAAGGAUUCCUCUUUGGAUAAUAGGUACUGUAACUGGUAUUACUGUGAUCGGUUUAAUUGGUAUUUUCUUUUAUGGUUCAUAUUCCGGAUUGGGCUCAUCUCUGUAGUAAUCGUGUUAGAAUUUGUUUUUUUUUUGAAAUGAAAGCGUAAUAACUCACCUGGGAUCCACUCGAAUUCGUCAAAGAAAGAGUGGAUCCCAGGUGAGUUAUUAAUAAUUCUAAUCUUUUUUUAUUCAUAUAAACGACUACUUUUUCCGAUGUUUCAAAAAACUCCAUUUCAUUCUUUUUUUUUUUACAAGUUAAUUGAAGAAAUUCAAUUUGUUUAAUCAAAUUCCCCAACCCCCUCUCUUUUUAUUUGUUCACUACGUAUUAUAUGCAAUAAAAUAUUAUAUGGCAGAAAUAUUCUAAGUUGGAAAAAAUAGAAACUAAGAUAUAGGAUUUUUCAGGAAGGGGUUAAAAAAGAUUAUUUUAUUGAUAUUUUUAGAAUAUUUCUAUUUCGACACAAACAAGAAGGAAUAGGAAUCGGACUCUAGGAAAAGACAAAAAAUCCCCCCUAGAGUACCUUUUCCAUAUUUUAAUUGAUUUUGUUUCAAAUUAUCUAUCUAUAUAGAUAUCUAUUUUAUGUUUAGUAUCGAAUCCAAUUUUAUUGUAUUUUACAAUCGAAAUUUCUAUAAUAGAACUCUCUAUUAUAGAAAAAUGAAAUCUGAAAAAAACAGUGUCAUAACCAUAAUAUUCGAAUUUAUUGGGGGGUUGAAAAAACAAAGUCAAAUAGUCUUCCUGACAAUAUCCAUACUCGAGUUUAUUUGUAUUACGUUACAAGUAACUCUUUAAAUAUAGUAUAAAAAGACUAUACAGAACCAAAGAUCUUUUCAUAAUUUUUUUAUUCUAUUAUACUGAUAUUAUACUGAAUAGAAUUACAUAAAUUAUCAACAAAAAAAUUGAGUUAUUUUUAUGAGUUUAAUAUGUUGAUAAAUAUGCGGGACUAGAAAUUCAUUUCGGACAAUUGAACCUUCUCAAAUUGUUUCUUCUUAAGAACUAAAAAGAUUUGUGCUAAAAUAAUAGAUGCGAAGAAGAACAAGAGACCUUGGACACGUAACGGAUCUUGAAGUACUAUUUCCGCAUCCCCCUGACCAAAUCCACCCACAUUUGGAUUACUUGUUAAUGGCUGAUCAAGUUUGAUAGAUUCACCUUCUGAAACAAGAAGUUCUGGUCCUGGAGGUAUAAUAUCAAUCACUUCACGCCCAUCCAAUGCAUCCACUAUAGUUAUUUCGUAUCCCCCUUUUUCUUUUCGUAUGAUUUUUUUUACCAUACCCGCUGCUGUAGCAUUAUACACAUUAUUAUUACUCUUGCUCCCGUCAAGAUAAAUCUGACCCCUUCCCCUGUUCCCACCUACGUAUAUAGGAUAUUUUAAGAAAUGAACAUCUCUCUUAGUAGUGGGAUCCGGGGAAAGAAUAGGAAAGGUUAUUUCUUUAUAUUUUUGACCAGGAACAGGGCCUACCACAAGAAUAUUUUUUUUUGUAGGACGAUAGUUUUGAAAAGACAGAUUGCCUAUCUUCUCUUUAAUCUCAGGCGAAAUACGAUCGGGGGGUGCCAAUUCAAAACCUUCCGGUAAAAUAAGAACAGCCCCCACAUUCAAAGCUCCCUUUUUACCAUUAGCAAGAACUUGUUUCACUUGCAUAUCAUAAGGAAUUCGAACAACUGCUUCAAAUACAGUAUCAGGAAGUACCGCUUGUGGAACCUCAAUAUCCACGGGCUUAUUAGCUAAAUGGCAAUUGGCACAGACAAUACGACCGGUUGCUUCUCGGGGAUUUUCAUAACCCUGCUGUGCAAAAAUUGGAUAUGCGUUUGAAAUGGGUGCUCGAAUUAUUAUAUAUAUCAUGAUCGAUAUGGAAAUGGAUCGAGUAAUCCCUUCCUUUAUACAAGAAAAAGCAUUUCUAGUUUGCAUGGUCUAAUCAUUGAUCCUGAAAAUUUCUACAAUAAGAUUAGGUAGGUCACUCGCAUAGUUCCCUAUCCAAGUCGGGGAACCCCUUUUUUCAUUUAAGGGGGUUAAAAAGAAGGGAAAAAGCAAAGUUAUUUUCUUUUUAGCUAAAAAACUUUAAAUUAAAAUUUGAUAAGUGAAUCAUUUUGUCAGUCAAUCAUUCAUUGAAUGAUAAAUCACUACAAGUGAUGGAGAUACGCGAUUUAAAUAACGAAAAAUCCAAUAUUUUAAAAUUGUAUCUAAAAUGACUGGAAAAGUGGAAACAAGACCAGAUAUAAUUUGAUCAUUUUGAGCAAAUCCAAAAUCUUUAUAGACGAAACUAAUCACUAGUUCCCAACCAUGGGAUGCCUACUCACAUAGGCCAUGAUUCUUAAGCUAGUUGCAUCCUUCAUUUUCUUUCCCCACCCUCCCAUUAAUCACAUUAUUUUGAACAUAACAGUAAUAGGCAUGUGCUGUAAUAAUAGGUUCAUUCCUUGUAACUUCUAUUUCUGUUCAAUUCUUAAAAAAAAAGGAUUUUUUUUUAUGGGGACAACAAACUGUCAUAUACGAUAAGAAAGCAUGGAAAAUGAAGACAACUUAAAAAGAAAAAGACGAAGAAAAUUAAUGAGAGGGACCCUCUCACAUUAAAGGUUGGCUGCCAAAGAAAAAAUCAAAACAAUGAGAAAUCAAAACCAGCCACGCCGUUGAUUUCUUUUGGAUCUGAUCCGACCUAGAAGACUUAUUGGAUGGUUUUGAUUUCUUUUGGCGUUGAGGGAACACCAUUUGAAAAUUGUAACAAUAAUGUUCAAUGCACGUACCAAACGUGUCCUUAAGUAAAUAUAUUAAAACAACUUGGGUGCAAUAUCUACACAAUUAAAUGAAAAAUAUGAUGAAAUUAUACUAAAAAAAUCUCGCAAAUUCGUUUGUUUUAAUUUAUUUUUUCACUGAAUAAAGCAUUGAUCAGAAGAAUGGCUAAUGCAGUUACAUUAAUAAAUACUGCAUCGUAGCAUGAUACGAAAAAAAAGGUUCUGUGUAGUGUGUACGUAGCUGUAUUGCUGCAUGAGGAAUAUAUGGUUUUUAUAGGCUAUGAUUCUAAACUCGUAUGCUUCAUUUUCUUUCCCUACCCUCCCAUGAAUCCUAUUUGAACAUUGUAAUCGGCAUGCGCUGUACGGCUGUAGUAAAAGGUUUAUUCCUUGUAACUUCUGUUUUUGUUAUUAAAAAAUAUAUAUUAGCAACAACCAUAGUGAAAGAAGUUCGUGGAAACAACAACUGCCACAUACAAUUAGAAAAUAAGGAAAGUGAAAUGAAAAAGCUUUAAGAAAGAAAAAAUUGACUAAAAUUAGAGGGACCUGCACAUUAAACUAAGGUUGUUAGCCAAAGAAAAAUCAAAACAAGGAAAAAUCAUAGAAAAAACCUAAUGAACCCGCUGAAGCUCAAUUAUGUAUCGUUGGUGGUAAAUUGUUCCAACUAUAUAAAUUUGGAAAUAUUUUAUAAUAUAACUUUUUUAGAGACUACUAUUUUCAUCUUUUAAUAAAAAAGAGUAUAUACACUCUAUAACGUUUAGAAUUUGAAGAGGUUUUUAUAUAUAAAAAAAAGUUGACUAAGCCAACUUUGAGAAUACUCAGCAGUAUUCCUCGCAGGGACGGUGUAAUGUAUAUCAGAAAAAUGAACCAGUAGUAUUGCAGAAUUCGUUACAGCAAAAAUGGUUAAAGGGGAACCAGUAGCAGAAAAAUAUGGACAGAAAAAUGAACCAACAAGAGAGAGAAAAGGUUCUUAAUUCAUUACAUCCCCCUCUACUAUUCUCAUGCUUAGCUAAUUAUACUACUAACUCACACCCAAUACCUCUUCACACGUGUGUUUUUCCUUUUGUUGGGGGCCCACCUUCCCAAACAUGUAACUAACUCAUUUUGUGCCAAAUUAUUUUCCUCUUUUGCCCCUUCAUCUUUAUCCUUGCUGCUAGCACUUGUUACAAUUCCCCCUCCAUCAAAAUUAACCUUGUCCUCAAGGUUAAAAUCUGGAAAAGCCUCACUUAGAAUUGACUAAUCUUCCCAUGUGGCAUUAGAAGAAUCCAAUCCCUCCCACAAGAUGAGAUGUUGUUUGACCUGUUGAUUUCCCCUGAUAAUGGUUCUUGUUUGCAAUAUGGAAACUGGUUGGAUCACUGGUCUGGAAUCAGUAGCUGACCAAGUCAUGAAAAAUGACCUGGAUAGUGCAUCAAUAGGGAUAUUCUCUUUCCCUGAUUUGUAUUCAAUAGUAAAAUCAUAUGGUAGCCAGGACUGUUGUUCAGGAGUUUGCAAGGCUUAUUCCGUGAGUGUUUUCAGGCUCUUUUGAUUAGUUCGAAUAAUGAAUUUAUGGCCCAGUAAGUAAUGUCUAAGUUUGGAGAUAGCCUCAGGGAUAGCAAAAAAUUCUCUAGAAUAAGCAGAUUGUUUCUGCAUUCGUGAUGAGAGUUUCUUAGAGAAGAAUGCAAUGGGGCGUCCUUCUUGACUUAGGACAGCUCCAAUGCCAUUUCCUGAUGCAUCAGUUUCCAAAAUGAAAGGCUUCGCAAAAUUAGGCAAAGCUAAUACAGGAGCCAUAGCAAUUGCCUGUUUUAAUGUUGUAAAAGCUACAGUAGCAGUGGGGUCCCAUGUAAAACUGUCUUUCUUAAGAAGAUUUGUGAGUACAGAAGCUGUGGAUCCAUAACCCUUUAUGAACCUUCUAUAAUAACCAGUAAGUCCCAAGAAGCACUUAAUUGUUUUGGAUUCUGAGGAACUGGCCAAUCAAUUACAGCUUGCACUUUGUCUUUAUCCAUAGCCCCACCUUCACCAGAAACAGUAUGGCCUAGAUAUUCAACUUGAGUUAAACCAAAUGCACAUUUAGACAGCUUAGCAAAUAGUUGGUUAUACCGCAACACUUGUAAAACUGAUUCUAGAUGUUGCAUUUGAGAAUUCCAAGUAGGACUAUAUACUAGUAUGUCAUCAAAGAAGACAAAGAACAUAUUUCUUCAAUAAACUCCUGAACACAUCAUUCAUCAAACUCUCAAAAGUUAAAGGGACAUUAAUGAACCCAAAGGACAUCACGAGCCACUCAUAAUGGCCUUGAUGAGUCAUAAAAGCAGUCUUGUAUCUGUCCUCCUUGUUCAUCAAAAUCUAAUGAAAGCCAGAUCUAAGAUCCAAUUUGGAGAAAAAUCUAGCGCCAUACAACUCAUCUAUCAAUUCAUCUACAGUAGGUAUAGGAAAACUAUCUUUGAUGGUGAUAGCAUUUAAAGCCCUAUAAUCAAUGCAAAACCUCCAUGUCCCAUCUUGGGUGCAAUAUCUACACAAUUUGGGUGUCCUUAAGUAAAUAUAUUAAAACAACAUGGGUGCAAUAUCUACACAAUUAAAUGAAAAAUAUGAUGAAAUUAUACUAAAAAAUCUCGCAAAUUCGUUUGUUUUAAUUUAUUUUUUCACUGAAUAAAGCAUUGAUCAGAAGAAUGGCUAAUGCAGUUACAUUAACAAAUACUGCAUCGUAGCAUGAUACGAAAAAAAAGGUUCUGUGUAGUGUGUACGUAGCUGUAUUGCUGCAUGAGGAAUAUAUGGUUUUUAUAGGCUAUGAUUCUAAACUCGUAUGCUUCAUUUUCUUUCCCUACCCUCCCAUGAAUCACAUUUGAACAUUUUCUAAACUCGUAUGAUUGAUUAAUUUUUUUUUAAUUAUGAAUUUUGUUGAAUUUUGGUUCUCAUUUAAUAUUAUUAAAGCUGAAGAAAAAAAUCAUUGAACAAGAAAAAAACCUAUAUAAAAUUGAUCAAUUAUAAAAAAAAAAUCUUAAAAAUAGAGUGGGAGAGAGGGAAAGUGUAUAGCUAUCAUUUGUCUAAAUUAGAAACGAAAGGAAUGAAUGACUGGGUCUCGUGCCUUUUUCCCCGAAGGUGAACAUGCCCUUUUCGGAGUACAAAUGAAGCCAUCAUUGUCCUUCACACGUGCCUAACCACAUAAUCUUCCGUUCUUUUUCAAAAUUAUAGGCUUUUGUAAACACAAAUAUAGAUGUAAUCUUUUAAUGAAUAUGUUAAGUCAAUCUUUCUUUGUAUGGUAUAAUAAAUAUUUAAAAUUAAUUUUGUGUUAAGGAAAUAAAUCAUGGGUUACCGAUAGGUGAUGAAAAGUACUAAAAUGAAGGAAAUAAAUCAUGGGCAAGAUCCUUGGUAAGAAGGAAUGGGACACUGAUAUAGAUCCAUGUUCAUGCAACAUCCCUGGUGUUCACACUAAGGUGGACACCGUAGAGAACACUGUCACUUGCAAUUGCUCUAUCCCCGGAGACAACUUCUGCCAUGUUGUUUCAAUGUAAGUUUCUUUACCGUUUGAGUGAUGUUCUUUUUUUUUUUUCCAACCACCGUAAUUAGAUUUUUUUUUUUCAUAUAAAUAUCCAGUUUCUUAGUUUUUUUUUUAAUAUUUACUUGUGUAUCUAUAUGUUGACAAUACAAUCAAAUUAAUAAAUAAAAUAUACUAAUUACUAAUUAUUAAAUUCUUUUAAUAUCAAAGCAUUCACACAAUUAUUUUUUGAACACUAAUCACUUUUAAAAUGUAUAUAUUAUCAUAUAUAAACUCGUCCUCAUAUUGAAUUAGGAUAGAUAUAAAGGAGAAUGUUAUUAAAUUUCAUUUUUUAAGAAUUUAUUAUAUUAGUGGUUUGAUUUGAUUUUAGACACCAAUCAAAAAUUGAACUGCAUCAAUCAAUUCUACUAUUAAAAUAUUCAAUAAAAUAAAUAAAUAAAUAAAUAAAUAAAUAAUUGAUUUGUUUCGAUAGAUAUAUUUUUGGAUUUUUUUUUGCAUGCUCUUUUAUUGGUUGAGUAAAGCAAAACAAAGUUUUGUAUUUGAGUUACAGGUUUGAAGACCUAUAUAUAAUUUUUUUUAGGUAAGGUAAAUAUAGGUUUUUCUACAAGCGUUUGAACCUUGAAGUUUGUCAUACUUUGUACUUGGACACCAUUCUCACUUAAAUUUUAUGUAAGAAAAGAAAAAGUUAGUUCCUCCAUAUAUUACUAGGUGACCAAGUUAUUAACUUAAUUAAUUUAGUUUAUGAUGUUGUUUUGCCUUUUAUUGCUUUAGCUGUUGAGGUAGAAGUAUUUAUAUAAAGUCCAAUGAUUUUAAUUUUUUAAAUUAUUUAUAUAAAGUCAUAAAAUUUCUACAACUUUAAAGUUGUGAUUAUUUUUUAAAAUUAAUUUUGAAUGACUUUAGAAUCGUUUUAAUUAUAAUUUUAUACUUUAUUAUUUAAUUCUUUUAAAAUUUAAAAUAAUUGUAAUGAAUAUUUUUAUAACUUAAAAAUUUAAAGUCAUUUAAAUAAUAAUUAUAAUUAAAAUAUUUUUUUAUAAUUUAAAACUUUAAUAUUGUUUUAAUAUAAUUUUAUAUUUCAUUGUUUAAUUUUUUAAAAUUAAAAAUAAAUAUAAUUAAUAUUUUUUUAUAACUUACAACUUUAAAGUCGUUCAAAUAAUAAUUAUAAUGAAAUUAUUAUUUUUAUAAUUUAUGACUUUAAAUUUGUUAUAUUAUCAUGUACGAUAACUCUUUGAUAUAAAUUUAUUUUUCUCUAGUUCUCGUUUCUUCUAACAUUCUUAUUUUAAUAUAUUUUUUAAUUAAUAUAAAAAAUGUAUUUACAAAAACAAUGAAUAUUUUUUUGUUUUUCUUUUAUAAUGUUAUAUUUCAUCUUAUAGUGUUUCUAACAUCCUAUUUUUCUUUCAUACUGUUGUGUACACUAAGUGUUUAAUGCAAGUUCAUUUUUCUCCUAUUUUAUUUAAUAUAUUUUAUAUUUUAUUUUGUAAAUAAAUAUUAUUUAUUAAAUUUAGAAACGAAAAGGAAUCUAAACAAUAUAAUUUAAUAAUCUACAAAUAAUUCAUUAUUCAUUUUAUCUAAUUAUUAUUGAUUAAGAAAAUAUUAAUUAAAAAUAAUAAUUAAUGGUUAAUAAUAAAAAUAAAAAUAAUUGGAUUAAACAUAUUAAUUAUAAAAUUCUUUAUUAAAUGAAUUUUAAGUAAAAAAAAUUUAAAAUUUUAUAUAAAUAAUCACAAAAAUAAAUAAAAAUAGUUAAAUUUUUUAAAACUUCACUAUUGACAAAAAUUCAAAGUCAUGAAUUUUUUUAUUAUUUCAUACCUAAAAAUAGUAAAAUAAUUUAUGACUUACCUCAUUUGAAAAUUAAUUAAAAAAUAUCCCCAUUUAAUAAAAUUCCAAAUGAAAUUACCCCUUUUGUUGGAAACCUCCAUUAAUAGCCUUUAAACCACCAUACAUAUAGCAAGCAACUAUGAAUUAAAAUUUAAUGAGUUAACUUCCCCGACUUGCAAAUCACACAUAAUUGGAAUAUCUAAUAAGUUGAUCGGUUGAAGCCUAAUCAAUUCUACUUGGAAGUGAUAUGGAGGAGUCAAGCCAUGGUCCCCCCAUUGAUUUGCUUCUUUGCUCUAUACUUUCUUCUGAGAAUGCAGAAGAGACAUGAGUUUGACUGUCUUGUGAUAGCAUCUCAAAGGCUUUAAAUCUUACAUCUUCUGCACUGUCACCGCGUUUAAUUAUUGGUGCUUGAAUUGGAGUUUUUCCCUCAAGCAUGCUCACUACUGAUGACAUACAUGGUCUAAGAGUGGGAGAAGGGUUGGUGCACAAGAGUGCUAACAGCAGCAUUCUCAUGGCCUCUUCUGAGGAGUACUUUGAACCAAGACUUGGAUCCACCAGCUCCAGAAGGUUUCCUUGCUCUUGGAGAACAUAGGCCUUCAAUGACAUGCAACAAAUAGUAUUAGAAAUUCAAGCAAACAAUAACAGGGAAACAAGAAAGGAAAGCACAAAAUAAGAAAAAAGAUAAGUAUAGCCCUACUUAUAUUUAAAGUAUCAAAUUAUCCUCAAUCCUUAUUAUAGUAGGAGAUGAAUGGCAUGAAGACUUGGAUAUAGAUGAAAAAGGCAAGAUACUUUGAAAAUAUUGAACUAGGUAAAUUUUGUGACGAUGACAGGAUAAUUUGUGUAUUAUGCACCCCAGAUGCUCCCACUUCAAUCUAUCGAAAACACAGAAGUGUAACUUACCCAAUCUAAAAGAUAUACAAACUCCUCCUUUGGCCUAUAAUUUGUGUUGCUCUUUCCACUAACAAUCUCUAAAGCUACAAUUCCAAAGCUAUAGACAUCUGCUUUGUCAGUCAAGUAACCCCUCAUAGCAUACUCAGGAGCCAUGUAACCACUGAUAAGAAAACAUUUAAUACCCUUGUGUCAGUGAUUUCACAAAUCAAUGAAAUGUGUAUUUUUUAAUUAUUUAAAUGAUUAUAAAUGCAAGCUAUAGAUAUAUCGUGGAUAACACUGCAAGCCUAUUAAUGAUGAACAAAGUCUAGGAUUCAAACAGGAAAUGCUGUGGCAUAGUACUAACAUUGUCCCAGCUAUUCUUGUGCUGAUAUGAGUAUUCUCUUCUUCAUCAAGUUUGGCUAAACCAAAGUCAGAGAUCUUGGCAUGCAGAUGUUUAUCAAGUAAGACAUUGGUUGCCUUAAUAUCCCUGUGCACUAUUUUCAACCUUGAUUCCUCAUGAAGAUAAGCUAAGCCCUUUGCUAUACCCAGACAAAUUUGCAUUCUUCUGGGCCAGUCCAAUUGCAUCCUCUCAUGUUCUUUACCUAGAAAAGGAAAACCUUUUCAGUUAGAUUUUAACUUGGUAGCGGCAUACACAGCCAAAGAUGUUCAUGAAGCAUUUACCAAAAAGUGCACGAGCAAGACUAUUGUUCUCCAUGUACUGAUAUACUAGCAGCAGCUGGUUUCCUUCAAUGCAGCAGCCAUAAAGUUUCACAAGGUUUGGAUGCUGCAAAGCAGAUAUCAUGCCUAUUUCAUUGAUGAAUUCACGAUUCCCUUGCUUUGAUUUGGAGGAGAGCUGCUUAACAGCAAUCACAGCACCAUCUGAUAGUACACCCUGUGAAUAGCAGUAUCUUUAGUACCAUGUUUUCAUUUUUAAAAAUAUUGGGGAUAAAAAGACUUAACCCCAAUGUUUCAAAACUUCAUACUGCUUAAGAUGAUUAUAAUCUAUCAAAUUUACCUUGAAUACUGGUCCAAAGCCUCCUUCACCUAUCUUAUUUGCUGGGUCAAAGUUAUUAGUAGCAGCUUUAAUUUGUCUUAAACUGAAAUAACCUGUUUUCAGACCUAGAAGUUCUGCAACAAGGUAGAUGUAGCUACUCAGAAAUAAAAUGUAUAAUUGAAAAGAAAGAGAGAUGAUAGAGAUACAGAAAGAGAGAAAUCAGAGAAUUGUUUUUGAGAAACCAAGUGUGCAUUUUCGGUUACCUUAAAAUUACCACAAUUUAGAUCUCUGCAAUAAAUUUCAAGUUGUUAUAUAAUCUACUAUUAAUAUUUAUAAAAAUAUUCAUGUCUAUUAGUAUAUUCCAAGAUUCUAAUAGAUGUAUAUGCAUCAUGCUUGACUGCAAACCAAUCUGAACUUUGUAAUAUCAAAAACCAAAUCAUAAGGGUUGUAACUGCCUGCUUAAUUUGGACUUCAAUCUUACCUUGGUCUGUUUGAUCUUUCUGACAAAGGAAACCCAUCUUCCAAAGAGCAAAGAGCAUCAAUAUGACAAUCACACAUGCCCCAGCAACAAUUCCAACAAUUGUUCCAGUAGAGAACCCAUGUGCAUAAACUUUAAAGUCUACAACAAAGUGGAAAUGCUUACAGAACAUGAAAGGACAAGGUAUUUGAAAGAGAGGACACCAAUAUUAUGAAAACUACUUACUUGGGGUCACAGUGAUAGCAGAUAUGAGAGGUCCAUAUACACCUAUUAUAGGAAUGGCAUUAGUUCCUUUUCCUGCCCAGGAUAAGUGGAUUUCCAAGGUGCUUUCUGUAACAUUAACAUUAAACUCCCUAGUGAUUCCCUUACCAACUCCACCAGCUUCUUUCGCAAUGUUAAAAUCUUUCAGAUAUUUAAAACCCUGUAAUUGUACAGUAAUGAAAAUAUGACCUUUAGAACUCGUGUUAUUGGAGAACCAGAUACAAAAUAUGAGUAAAAUUUUUGGAGAAACAAAAAAAAUGUAACAUUGUUUGCUUGAUUUACUCACUUGAAUUGAUACAUCGAAUACACGCUUUCCAAGGUUGCAAUAUGAUUGGUCAUCAGAGAAUGCUAUCUCAGCAAAAUGAAGUUUCACUUUAUAAUUGCCGUUCAGCAUACAAAGGCCAUAGUAAUUAAGAUACAGAGGAGCUAUGCGGGCUGUGUGGUAGUAAUCAGGGCCAUUAAUAUCCAAAGAAAGCUGAUUUGUUGCUAUAUAAUCAGCUUUUGCAUUUCCUAGAUAUACUCCAGUGCUGCUAUAAGCCCAUUUGCCACUAUUACCAGGAACAUAGUUUGAAAUGCCAAGUGGACUGAGGUCAGCUUCAUAUUCAUUGCCCUCAAACUUUGUUUCAGGUCCUCCACAGUUUAUGAACAGUGAAUGAACUGCAGAGAGACACAGUGAAAGUGAAUAAUUUAUCAAGAAAAAUGAAUAUGCUUAAUGAAAAGCAGGGAAAUAAAGAAAAACAAAAAAACAAAACUUGUUCCCAUACAUGUUACUUCUAAUUUCUAAAUUUCAAAAAACAAUAAUGGUUAUCUAAGUCUAGACACUCACACUGGGGUUUUCCUGAACAAGGUUGGCCCAUCUUCAAACAAGAUAUUCUACAAGAUAUAAAGAUAUAAUAUUAGUUUCAACUGAUGAUUCAUAUCUGAUAUUAUAGAACUAAAACUAGUCCACAAGAAGGAACAUACGAAGUGCUUGCUGUGCGAGAGAGGCUUGAAGCUAAGUUCCUGUUCAAUGAUAAUACCAUGCUUAGUAUUGACAUAGGUGAAAUGCUUAAAUAAUUUGUAUACAAAAAGAAGCUUACAGAUCCGGCCUUUGGCAAUUAUUUGCUGAAGUCUUUGUGAAAUUGUUCAAAGAUAAAUCACUGACAGAGAACAUAAGGUGAGAAUAAAUUUCAUAAUUUAAUGAGUGCUAACUAAAGACUAAGCAUAAGGAAAAGUAUAAGCUAAAUUUCGACCAAGUGCAUCUAAAGUAUGCAAUUAAAGGGGUCGAAAAAAUUCAAGGAGAUAUGCUUACAUUUGCUGUUUUAUGCUCAGUAUCCAAUCAGGAAUUGGUCCACUUAGAGAAUUGUUAGUCAGAAACCUGCAUCCAUCAUGAAUAUGUGUCUCAUUAUAUCAGAAAAAAAAUAAGUUGAGAAAAAGCAACCAACAUUCUUGAGAUCAAAUUAAUAUAAACAUUCACAUCCUGUCGGUUAAUCUUCUUGCUGGCAAAUGAAAAUACACACUUACAAGUAAUUUAGAUUUCCCAAAUCCUGAAAUGAAUCUGGGAUUGAACCUGUUAACAUGUUGGAGCUCAGAUCUCUGAAAGAGAAAAUAGGAAAUGACUAUGAUGUAGUAAUGGCACAUGCUACUUCCAAAUUCUAAGAACAAAAUGUAAUGGAGGUAAUUUCAAGUUUCCAAUCAUUUUUAACUUUUUUCUCUUUUUGCUGGCAUUUUGAAACACAAUAUUGCAGAUAAUAAUUUGCACAGAUGAUGCAUACUAAAAUUUAUAUCCACAUCCUUGGUAGUUAUAUUGUCAUUAUACUGGUAUAACUAAACAACAAAUCACAAUCACCUUAAAGGACAUGCCCCCAUUGAUUACACAAACAGAUGAAGAGUGUCCAAAAAUAAGUCUUGAAAAAUAUCUAACAAUAGUUGAUUACCAGAUGGGCAAAGAAGUGUUAAUCACAAAAUUAAUUGGAUUCAAAUUAUUUCCUAAAUCCUGAUCUUUAUAAUGUAGAAAUUCCAUACUCAUAAACUUUAUCUAAUGAAGAAUAGAGGGAGAAAAGGUGCUACCUAACAAUAUAGGUGCAAAAUUAAAAUAAACACAUACUGUAGAAAUGGAGAUGAUAAAAGGAUCAUAUUAUUACAGAGUGACUUCUAAAUCCUUAAUUGCGUCAUGAUCCAACUAAAAUUAGAAUGUGUUUUUGUAUACUAAAAUUAAAUAGAUAAUAAUGAGAUUGGUAAACAGGUAGAUAAAAAAACUAAAGAAUAUAUAGCUAGUUAUAUACUUUUGAUGCAACUUACAUGGUUUUCAAACUUUUUAUUUCUCCAAUGUAGUUUGGAAUGGGACCAGUUAUUAAGCAAUUCCUCAAUUCCCUGAGUAACAGAAAUAUGAUAGAAGCCUAAAUGAAUUAUAUAGUUCUUCGCGUAAGAGCAGUGAAGGUUUCAACUCACAGUCUUAGCAAAAGUUUCAAAUUCUUCAGAUUAGGAAAUGUCAUAGUUGGUCCCUUCAAAUCAGAUAUCCUCCUGAUAUAUAAAUGUGUCAUCAAUGAAAUGAAAAUGUUCCAUUAUAAGAGAUUGCAUUCCAUUACCACUGUAAAAUGCACACAAAAUGUAAUAAUUUGGAAUACUCUUAAAAGGACAAAGUGCUCACAAUUCUGUCAAAUUUGUCAAGUAAGAUAUGACAGAAGGAAUUGGGCCGUCCAAGGAUGUGCCCUGCAAAUCCCUACAAAAAGUUUUCUUAGAUAAUACAAUGCAAGUUAAUCAUGAUAUAACUUUAUUUUAUUCUUCAACUGAGAAAAGGUCAUGGAUGAACCAAAAUUUAGACUCACAAUCUAUCAAGUUUGGUCCAGUUCCCAAUAAAACUGGGUAUUUUCCCAGAUAAACUGCUCCCAUCUAUCCUACUGCAUGCAGAAAAUGUUGUGUUAUUUAACAAUUUAACAGACAGAAAAUCAAGACCAAGGGAAAAAAAUUGCAUCACAUUAAAUCACUUACAACUGAGUGAGAUUCUUUAGAUUUCCAUAUGUAUCUGGUAUUAUCCCUGUGAAAUUAUUUGCAGAAAGAAGUCUGUAGAUUCAUUUAGUUAAAGUGAAAAAAAAGGAGUUAGGGAUGUGUGGAGAAAACAGUAAGAAAUUGUAGAUAAUAUGGAGACAAAUUAAUGAUUUAAAUUGAUUAUGUAAAUCAAAUGAAAUUAAAAAAAUGAAACAAAUAGUCUCACAAUCUCAGCAAGUUGCUCAUUUUUCCAAGGCUCUGGGGAAGAGGUCCCUCAAGUUGAUUAUCUUCCAAAUUCCUGUAAACAUGGAUUACAAAUAUAAUUAUUCCACCUCCAGUUUUAAUCAAUUGGCAUCAUAGUUUUCUCAAACGCUUACAGUUCUUGCAGACUAGCCAUGUCACCAAUUUCUGAGGGAAUUGAACCAGUAAGUCGAUUUCCCAAAAGUGACCUGAAGCAUGUAGCAAUUGUACUGUGAGGAAUCAUGCAAACCCCAUUUAGGAUUUUUUUUAAUUAAAAUGCAAUGACAGUAUAAAAGAUUUUACACUAUCAUCCAAUUAUAGGUUGUUGGUAAGAUUAUUGACUUCUGUAAUAAGUAUUUUAAAACUAUAUCCUGGGCGAUUUCUAGUUGGUUGUCGGCUACGUAGAUCACACCACGCCAUUUGACUCUUAAAAACCAAAGCCUUAUUUAGGGUGAUUUCUAAUGGGUUAACAAUGUAAAAAAUUUUGCACUUACAAUUUAUGAAAACUAAACUCAAUUGCAAGAAGGAAAAAAAAAAGACAGUCGCAAAGGUUCUUAGUUAACAAAUGAAGAACAUGCCUCACAAAUAGAGCAAGCAAGAUGAAAACACACAGAUGCAUAGGUAAUGAUGACUUACAGAUUGACAACUGAUGAGAGGCGUCCAAGGCUUUUUGGAAUUGAGCCAUUGAAAUUAUUCCAAGUGAGAUCACUGCUCAGUAUAAAAGUUUCAGUUAGUUAUUUCAAAGUAGAUUCCUUUGCAUUUCAUGAAGUUAAUAAUGUUUUGACUUUCAUAAAAAAGAACUAGAAUGUAUACUACUAAUGACAAAAUAACACUACAAAUAUUGCAAUUCACCAUUCAUAUUUGUAUAACAGCAUGCAUGGUGGGGCUUUUCUCUACAAUCCAUAGUUUUUUUUAUCGGUUGAAAUCAAAGACAGUACCAGAAAGUUUAUAAUAACUCAUGUGUCCUAUUCAACCAAUUCAGCUAGACCUCAUUGGUUAGUUGAUUAGUGUUCAUAGUUUUAUUUUCUUAUUUGGUCGACUUUUUCAUUACUUCAUUAAUGGUUAGUUAUUAGUUAUAUUUUACCAUUUUUUUGGCAUUUAUUUAUUAAGAAAUUGGGUAUCAGUAAAUGCUUAACAUUGAUCCCACCUGAUUAGCAUACCCAAAAGGAUAGCAUAGUAACUCCCUCAUUUGUGACUACAACAGUUACGGACAUGGUUAAUCAAUAUUUUCUAUAACAGAGCAGCAUUUAUGAACAUACAACUAAAAAAGUAAGAGACAAAAAGAAUUUAUAACCACUUACAGUAUUUCUAGUCGAGUUAAAUUUCCAAAUUCAUCGGGUAUAGGUCCAGAUAUAUUGAGACCCUUGAGCGCACUGUCAGCCAAUGUGUUAAAUUAGAAUUCUCAAAUGAAUAUUCUUUUUAAAUUUAUUAAAUACGAAUGAAUGUAAAGUAACCAAAGGUGAUCAAUGGUCCAAGUCGUAUUGGGCUUGGUCCCCUUAAAUAAGAUUUCGGGUUCAAGUUUUAUGGAUAAAAAAAUAAAAAUUAUAAUUGAGAGAAAAGACUCUACUAAAGGUGAUCAAUGUUCCCUCAAGAAGAUUAUUCAUUAAAAAAACUGGUGAUACUCCACAUCUAUAUUAUCAUCUCAAAAAAAAAAAAAAAAGUAACCAAAGGUAACAUCUUUCACAUGUUAGUUUCAUUAUGCCUUAAAAAAAACAUAUUAGUUUCAUUAUAAUUUUUUUUUUCACGAACUCACACUAUUGCCUAUUGGUGUCAAUAACAAAUUGUCUAAGUUGCACAAAAUCCAACUGUAGAAGACACUAGUAAGGGGGGUUUGAAAAAAAGCUUACAUUGAUGUCACAUGGCAAGUAGUGUUAUUGUUGAAAGAGCAAUCACACGUGACAUUCCUUAUGAUUUGAGACUUAUCCCUUGAAAUGUUCCUGUUAUCAAAUCCUCUAUCCCCGUUGCAAGAAUGUUGUGUAACUUUCCAAUUCAGGUUCUCUACCUUGUCUGAUAUUGCUUGUAGCAAUUUCACUGCAACAUAUAGAAGGCAAAUAAAUUAAUUAGUUUUAUUCUCAGGCUACAUGCAUCUUAUAUUUCUGGUAUUAAGAUCUAUAAUCUUUUCAAAAGAAGAACUGUAAAAUAAUACUAUGUCAAUUUAGGUAAAUUCUAGAUUGUGACCUACUCAUAUUUUAACAAGCACAAGCUUUAGCAAAACUCUUGUGGUCAAAAGCUUUCAUUAGCAAACAUAUGCAUAAGCCCAUUGCAACUCUAGUCAAUAGCCUCAACAAUUUGAGCACGAUGCUAUCUUUAUAUCCAUUAAUUUGACUAAGUCAAACAAGGCGGGCAAUAAAUAUAAGAAAAAAUUGAACUUUGCAUACAUGCAAAGCUAAUCUUUUUCCUAAUUUUUUAUUGUCAACACUUGUCAUAUGAACCCCAUGCAGCAUCCAUCUAGUCCUAUUAGAGUAGUAUCAUUAUAACAAACCGUCAAUAAUAAGUAAAACAUGAUCAUCGUACCGUCCACAAUAAAGAUAACUAAACCUUAAGCUGGAGAAAUCGAUAUGGUUUUAGGGGUACAAAUCAUAUGACUAAUCAUUACAUUGACAAUUAUGCCAUGUUUAUCCUAAAAUAAAGAACUAUUAGAACGUGUUGGCACACAAUUUGACUCACCUAUCUAUUUAUCAAAAUCCAUCUAUCACAUUUUUUUUUAACUUUCUGUUUGUCUCCUUUAAUUUACUUUCUUCUGUUGCAGCCUUGAUUUUUAUGAGCCAAAUAUUUAGUUCAUUUUACUCUCUUUCGCAUCUAAAAUGUGAAUAGGAUUGGAAAAAUUAAGGGAUAUUUGAUUUGGUUGUCUUUUGUUUUUAUUUUCACUAGAAAUAAAAAUGGUGAUGAAAAUGUAUUUGGUUGAAUUUUUAAAAACAUUUUUAGUGAAAAUAUUUUUCUAAACGAACCAAAAAUUAAAAACAAAAAAAAAUCUUAUUUUCAAUUGAAACCAAUAAUCUUAUUUUAGUAAAAUGAAAAUACGAUGACAAAAAAUGUAAUUUUAAAUAAAUCUAAAAAAUAUUUUCUUUUGAAAACAUAUUUUUAAUAUUUUUAUCUCUCGAAAGAAAAAAUAAAAAAUCAAACCAAAUAUAUUUUUAAAAUUUUAAUCUUUUAAAAAUAUAAACAGUUUUUAGAAAAUAAAAAUACAACCUAAAGAUACCCUAAUAAUGGAGCAGGUGGGUAGAAAUGACAUUUCCCUAUUAAUUGUUGGCGUGCUGGUGACUAGUAAGGCACCGAAACUUCUCUCAUACCGAAAUAGUGAUAAAAGUAAAAUUAAAAUCAUGUCUUUGUAAAACUAUCAGGAUCCGUCCAAGAGUUAGUGAGACGUAAGGUGAAUUUUAAGAUUUUUUUUCCUUCAAAUGAGAGAGAUAUAUUAGUUUUUUUUGUGAAAAUAUGUGGGUUUUUUUUAUCAAUGUGAUUUAUUUUGUUUCAUAAAAGCUAAUAAAUUUUGUAUGGACCUAAAGCUUAAGCGAUCCUUACUGCUGCUUACACCAAAAGGGCAAAAAUCUAAAAAAGGAACGUAUACGAUCAGCCACACUGUCUUUCUGACAUCUAGACAACUAUCACAUGGCCUUUAUAUUACCAAUUUGCCCUCACUUUAUUUAACAAAUUUUCAUCCUCGUGACUUGCUCCACAGCUGUAAAUUGUAAUAUGUGGUGAACAUAUUUCAGUCAUAAAUUACUAAUGUCUUAUGUCAACUACAUAUGAUUUCCUGAAGAUGGAUACAAUUACAGAUAUUAUAAAUGCUAAUAAAUGAUGUGAUAAUGAUUAAAGAAUAAAAUAAAAUACUUAGUGAAAAAUAUUUAUUCAAAAGUCCUGUAAGGCAAUUACAAAAAACGGUCUUCUUAAUAAUAAAAUAAAUAUAGAAUACAAACUAUAAAUAUCUUAUGUCUCAUAUGCAUGAUUCAUGUCUUGAGUUGGCUACAAUAAUAAAUAUUACAAUACUAAUCAAUGAUGCGACAUUGGUUAAAGGAAUAAAAAUCAAAUACACUUGGUAAAAAAGAUGUAUGACUUAGAGAAUUAUUAUCUCUAAACUUUUGAUCAUAGAGCACUACAAAAGCUUCAACUCCUAUGAAGGAACUUGUUAGAGACCUUACACCUAUGACAAUUAAUCCUAGGUGUACAUAUCUUUUAUUUGUAUUAAGGAGUUGUCGUCCUGUUUAUUCUGAGAUUAAUCUGAUAAUCUCAUGUCUUCUGUUAGGAAGAUGAAAAUCAUUAAUCCUUCUAUAUCUGUAUAAGCUAAUUCUAUCUGAGGUCAGUCAAUUUAGGUUAUAUAAUUGUCUAGGAUUAAGAGAGUCUAUCCUAGAAUUUGAUCCAAUAUCAACAUUGGAUUCUAUAUCUAUUAUUUGUUCCAGUUGUCUGGUUCGAGAAUUUGUCCUAAAGAAUCUAUCUAGGAUUCUAGGAUGUUGAUUUAUAGAUUCAUUAACAGGAUUGUGUCCUGAGACUGUUUGUGAGGUUCCGGUAAAUGGUAUUGUCCUCAUUUUCUAGGCUUUGCUAAAACGAAUUUAGUCGAAGUUUGGCUUGUUGUUUUUCCAAGAUAAUUUUAGAAAGCUGUGUUGUAAUUUUGUUGAGUUUGUUUGUAGAUAAGCGAAUUUGUUAGUCUUUAGUUUUAAGAGUAUUCAAAAUAUCGUUAAUUUUAUUUUCUAAUGUUUUUAUUUUGUUAAACAAUAAAUUUUGUAUUUUUGUUAAGUUGUCUAAGGUUUCAGAUAAAUCUUCAAAAGAUUUUAUCGAAAGUUUGUUAUCAGAGUUAUUAUUAUUAAUUAUAUCGUAAUGUCUAUCCAGAGCUAAUGUAAAGGCUCUCAUACCAAAGAGGUAUCGAGAAGCCUAUAUAAACGGUGACAGAAUAUGAAAUAAAUAGUAAGAAUAAUAUAAAUAAGCAAAGGGGGCAAUGCCUCCUAGUUAGAUUUAAAUAAGAGGUACCGAAAAGUCUAUAUAAACGGUGAAAGAAUAUAAAAUGAAUAGUAAGAAUAAUAUAAAUCAGCAAAGGUGGCAGUGCCUCCUAGUUAGAUUUAUAUUAUAUUAAAACAAGUAAAUAAAUGUACAGUUAAGAGUAAUCAAUAACAGUUAAUAGUAAGCGGUUAAAAGUAAGCGAUAUGCAGAAGAAAAAGAUCAAAUUAGAUGGAUAGAGGGUACUUCUCAAGUGAACACGGUAAGUUAUCUUAUUUUAGAAAAAUAUAGAAUAUGAUGAACCCAAAAUCUCUUUUUUUUUUUUUUGAAGAACAAAUAUACAAGAUCCUUAUCGAUUUUCUGGAUAUUAUGCCGAACACUUAAGAUUUUUACUAGCCCACACUUCUCUGGGUCUUACGUUGAUCUUAUUUUCCUCCAAGCACCAGCCUAACCAAAGAGGACUUUUAUCGUUUUUCAAAAACAGCUAUCAAGGGCACACCUGUGUAGGCUUACCAAUCCCAGGUUUUCGAAAUUGUAAAAAACGAUCUUUCCAAUAAUAAAAUAAAUAUAAAAUACAAGCUAUAAAUAUCUUAUAUCUUAGAUGUACGAUUCAUGCCUUGGGUUGGCUACAAUAACAGAUAUUACAAUACUAAUCAAUGCUGCGACAUUGAUUAAAGAAAUAAAAAUCAAAUACACUUAGUAAAAAAUAUGUAUUCUGAAUUCUUAUUAUGACUAGUUACCAGCAUGACUCAUUUAUUAAAAAUACAAUUGCAACCAAGGGUGGGUCUCACCAAUAAUAAAAUAAAAAGAAUAUGGGCCCCCUUUGUUCUCUAGAGACGAGGCUACCUUACAUCACACAUGGUAUAGCAAAGAGCAAUUGUGUGAUUUCAUUAGUUCACAAAAACACUCCAAAAUCAUGAAAUGUCACACCAACAACAAAAGAAAUCCAGAAUUUAUAUACAAAUCCCUUGUUUCAAUUAGAAGAUAGAAAAAUCUAAGUCCCUUGCUUCAAUUAAAAAAAACUCAAGUUCCACAUUGACUAGAGAUAAUGUUAAGAUAGAACAUAUAAAGUGAGAACAACCUUCACUAUAUAAGCUAGCUUUUUGGGUUGAGUUAGACCCAGAUUUUUUCUUGGUAUCAAGGGUCUAUUCUAGAUCCAUUCAAAAGGACCACGCACCAAAUCCAAAGAGUGUUGGGCUUGAGGGGAUGAAUUAGAAAACCCAAGUCCCACAUUGACUAAAGAUAGUGUCAAGAUAGAACAUAUAAGGUGAGAGCAACCCUAACUCUAUGAUAGAAAGAAAAUAAGUAGAAGAGAAAACAAGAAUAAUUAGUCUUAGUUCAAUAAAAAAAUAGUUUGAGGUAUAGAUAAAAAAAAUUCAAAAUUUUCUUUCAUUUUAUUCUCUCUUCCAAUCACCGGGAACCAAAAUAAUCCCAAGAAAAUUUUUAAAAAAAUAGAAAAUUAUUUAUUUAUUUUUAUUUUUGACCAAGUUAGAUGCAGAACUUCUUAAAAAAACUAAUUAAAUGUAAACGGAAGAAGCAGGGAACAAAAAAAAAACGACAUUGGCGAUUUCCUUAUGGAUCUUGUGACAGAAGCAACAAUGCAAGUUGAAGAACUAAAUUCUGGAAGAUGGGUUUGCACUAAAACGGAUAAAGUUGAAACUUUGUGAAGUUGGUGUUAAAAGCAAAAAGACAGUUUCAGUUUAUAGUUUCGGAAGUUACAAAAGUGAAAUUUCCAACACAGAGACAUAAUUAACACAUAAAAAACCCAUAAGAUAAAAAUAUAUAAAAUGGAAAAUAAUUAAGUACCUUCAUCUUGUGGUAAGAGUUGAGCGUUGGAUCCAAAGUGUAGGGAAGCCAGGAACAAAAAAAUGAAGCACUUAGACACACGUUUGGAGCUUGAAGACAUCACAAACCGCAUCAUGGUCCUGCUGUGUGUCGGUAUCAGAAAGUUUCAGAAUGGAGUAGCAAAAAGAGAGAAGAGAGUUGCUAAAGAUUAUUUUUGUUUGAGGGAAAGAAUAUCUGACGUAUGAGAAUCUAGGGAUGUUUUUGCUUGAACAUUAAAUACAGUCAGAAAGGCCAAGAGGAGAAUUUAAAAGAGGAUCUCACAUAAGACAUUAUUUAUUUGAAUUUAUUACACAAAUAUUAUAUAUAUAAUAAGUUGUUGAUUUUCAUAAUAAACAUCUGUAAAGUAAUUUUUAAUUGAUCAUUGAUAAUAUAAAAAAUACCAAUAAUAUAUGUCAAGGGAUCUAAUUCAUUAGUUGAGAAAAUACAUUAGUUAUGUUGUUUUUAAUUCUUAUAAGAUCAAAUUUUAGGUUUGAAUAUUUUUUCUUAUUUUUUAUAUAAUCUUCUUACAUAAUUAGAAGAGAAAUGAAAUAAAAAAGACAUAAAAUAAAUUAUGAAAUAAUGUUACAAAGACAGGAGAAGUAAAGCGAGAAGUAAAGAAUUAAGUAUUGUAAACUAUAUUGAAGUAAAAAAUGUCACAUAAUUAUUACAGUUAUAUAUAUAUAUAUAUAUAUAUAUAUAUAUAUAUAUAUAUAUAUAUAUAUAUAUAUAUACACUCUACUUUUUAGUUGGAGUGUGCAUUAAUAUCCUACACAAAAAAAAAAAAAAAUUGUUGACAAAGAAACCACUCAUAAUUAAAUAUUAACAAUGAACAAAGUUGUUUUUAUAGAAAAAUGAUAGGAAUAAAUAUCAACUUUAAAAGGAUCAAUAUUUAUUUAUUUAUUUUAUUCCUAUAUGAAUUAAUGACAAUUUCAGUAAAUAUGCUUUCUAUAUAUUAAUAUUGUUAUACUUUAUGAGAAAUAAAAAAGAAUAAAUUAUAAUGGUCCAGAGUUCAAGUCAUCGCUUGACUUGACUUCCCCGUCUGAGUAAUGUUAUUAAAAUAAUGGUCCUGUUAAAGUCAUCGCUUGACUUGACUUCCCCGUUUGCGAACGGCGUGUGCCUUACUAAUUUUCAUUCGUUUACAUUUAGCAGAGUUUGAUUCAUGGAUUAAAAGUUUAUUUUUGAGAUGUAUACAUCAAAAUGUGGUGCAUAUAGCAUACACUGAAGGAGCAUGGUGAUUCGAUCUGGAAUAUAGCUGAUCAAGGGUGGAUGCUCAAAGUGAAUGAUGUGAUCGUGGCAGUUGGUAUCUGUUAUGCUGGAUUUGGAAGCCACAUAUAUAUAAUAAGUGGCUACAGAGGGAGGGAUCUUAAUGCAUUUUUUUGGUUAUACAGUGUUACUGUAUAGUUUAUCAGUAAACAAUAUAUAGGGAGUGACUGUGGCAUUGCCCUAGUUUUUGCCCUAUGUUUGUAUAUGGGUUUGGAUAUCCUUUGUACGCAUUUUCAUCAAAAUAUGGGCUGGAUAAUAUGUCCCACCUAUUUUAAGUUCUUUAAGGAGUUGUACGUAAUUGGAGUAAUUAAAAAUUUACUAAAGUUUUUAGAUCGGAGUUCUACCACAUAAUAAGAUCCCAAUAUAAGUGAGUGAAAAACUUCUUCCCUGAUAUCUAGAUUGGAGAUGCUCUUAGACAUUUGACACCACUUAGAAACGUGUGGAUGACUUUGAUUAAUUUUUCUUUUUUUUACAACUAGAAAAAUUAAAUGAAUUAUAUCAUAAAGGUUCACCGAGAUUUGGAUACACUUAAUUGAUUAAUUUCUUUUAGUCCUAUAUACAAUGUGCCAAAUUUGUCCUAACUCCUAAGUAACAUAAAAAUAUCUUGGGUGUGCAAUAACUACAGAAAUAAAAGAAAAAUUAGGAUGAAAUUAUACUAAAAAAGUAUUGUAAAUUUUCUUAUUUUGUUUUUUUUGGCAGAAUAAAGCAUGAGAAGAAUGGCCAAUACAAUAGUUACCUUAGCAAAUACUGCAUCUUAGCAUGAUAUAGAGAAAGGCUCGUGAGUAGCUGCAUGCCUACGCACACGGGCCAUGAUUCUUAAGCUAGUUGCAUCCUUCAUUUUCUUUCCCCACCCUCCCAUUAAUCACAUUAUUUUGAAAAUAACAGUAAUAGGCAUGUGCUGUAAUAAUAGGUUCAUUCCUUGUAACUUCUAUUUCUGUUCAAUUCUAAAAAAAAGGAUUUUUUUUUUAUGGGGACAACAAACUGUCAUAUACGAUAAGAAACCAUGGAAAAUGAAGACAACUUAAAAAGAAAAAGACGAAGAAAAUUAAUGAGAGGGAUCCUCACAUUAAAGGUUGGCUGCCAAAGAAAAAAUCAAAACAAUGAGAAAUCAAAACCAGCCACGCCGUUGAUUUCUUUUGUUCUAAUACCUAUUGGAUGGUUUUGAUUUCUUUUGGCGUUGAGGGAACACCAUUUGAAAAUUGUAACAAUAAUAUUCAAUGCACGUAACGUGUCCUUAAGUAAAUAUAUUAAAACAACUUGGGUGCAAUUUCUACACAAUUAAAUGAAAAAUAUGAUGAAAUUAUACUAAAAAACUCUCGCAAAUUCGUUUGUUUUAAUUUAUAUUUUCACUGAAUAAAGCAUUGAUCAGAAGAAUGGCUAAUGCAUUUACAUUAUCAAAUACUGCAUCGUAGCAUGAUACGAAAAAAAAGGUUCUGUGUAGUGUGUACGUAGCUGUAUUGCUGCAUGAGGAAUAUAUGGUUUUUAUAGGCUAUGAUUCUAAACUCGUAUGCUUCAUUUUCUUUCCCUACCCUCCCAUGAAUCACAUUUGAACAUUGUAAUCGGCAUGUGUUGUAACAAUAGUUUAUGACAAAUCGAAAAAAUUAUUGGUUGAGUUACGAAUAAUGUCGCUUUCUUUAAGACGUUUCGUGACACUGCCAAAAAAUUGUGCAAACAGACUAUCAACUAAGACGUCCCCAGGAUAAAAUAACCCAGAUUAUUGUAUAAGAUUCCACUGCACUGAGGGAAUCUUUUCUAGAAUUAUACCCUCUUGUAUGACUUGAAAAGUAACUCUAAAGUCAACCGAAAAAUAUGACUUCAAAAGUCACUCUAAUAGUCAACCGAAAAGUAUGACUUGAAAAGUCACUAUUAUAGUCAACCGAAAAUAUGACUUAAAAAGUCACUCUUAUAUCCAACCGAAAUUAAGACUUAAAAAGUCGAAAAUAUGACUUAAAAAGUCACUCUUAUAACCCACCGAAAUUAUGACUUAAAAAGUCACUAACUUAAAAAGUCACUAUGCAUCGGCUGAAAUAUGAGAGGGAGAAAGAAAAAUUGAGGAAAUGCUUUUCAGGGCAAGAAAAAAAGAAGAAAGGAACUUUGUAUAUAUAAGGAGUGAAACACUAUUCAAGUAUUUAUCGUGAGCGAUAUGAGAAUUGAAAUUUUUUCUUUUUCAAACUUUCAUUCACAUUUUCCUUUGUUCUAACAGCAUGCACGGUACGGCUGUAGUAAAAGGUUUAUUCCUUGUAACUUCUGUUUUUGUUAUUAAAAAAUAUAUAUUAGCAACAACCAUAGUGAAAGAAGUUCGUGGAAAUAACAACUGCUACAUACAAUUAGAAAAUAAGGAAAGUGAAAUGAAAAAGCUUUAAGAAAGAAAAAGUUGACUAAAAUUAGAGGGACCUGCACAUUAAACUAAGGUUGUUAGCCAAAGAAAAAUCAAAACAAGGAAAAAUCAUAGAAAAAACCUAAUGAACCCGCGGAAGCUCAAUUAUGUAUCGUUGGUGGUAAAUUGUUCCAACUAUAUAAACUUGGAAAUAUUUUAUAAUAUAACUUUUUUAGAGACUACUAUUUUCAUCUUUUAAUAAAAAAGAGUAUAUACACUCUAUAACGUUUAGGAUUUGAAUAGGUUUUUAUAUAUAAAAAAAAGUUGACUAAGCCAACUUUGAGAAUACUCAGCAGUAUUCCUCGCAGGGACGGAUCCAGAAUGAAAUAACCGAGGGACCAAUUAUAAAAACCAAAGUUUAGUUAAAUAUUUGAGGGAUCAAUUAUAAAAGUCAAAGUUUACAUACUUUAUCAAAAAUUCAAGUACGAGAUACUCGAGUUCUUUUUAAAGUAUAAUAAUGAACCGUACUUAUUAUUAUUAUUAUUAUGUACCCCUUCAUCCUUAUUUAUAAGAAAAAGUUUAUUAAAUUAUACUUAUUAAGAAAAUUAAUUAAUUUAGAUAUUAAUAUUAAAUUUAUCUUUAGAUAUAAUAUUUUUUAAAUUUUAUCCUUAAUAUUGAUAAGAGUUUAUUCAAAAUUUUCAAUCUUCCGAUAGAAAAAUGAUAAUUCAAAAUACUAUUCAUUUAAUUAUAAUUUAAAUUAAUAAAGAUAUUUUAGUAAAAAAAGAAUUAAUACAUAAAGGAGAUGAGAUGAAAUCUUAUAAUAAAGUAAAAAAAUUGAUGAUUAUCAGAACCUAAAAUAUAUUUAAAUUGUGAAAGAUAAUUUUUUUUUAUGUCUCUCAAAGUUGAGGUUGUCAACCUGUUAUAAAAUAUUUGUAGGUUUAUCUCAAAGAUAAUUUUUUUCCUUUUUCCUUGUUAAAUCUUUCUUCUAAAUUUUGCCACCUUGCUAGUCUCAUACAUUGGUUUUCUUGCUUUCGGAAAAGUCUUUGGCUGGCUAGUUUAUUUUUAACUAUUGUACUUUCUCCGUUCACUCUCACCAAAUAAAAAUCAUCCAUGCGAAUUAAAUGCCACGGAAAAGACAUUAAUUAGCCGACAAGAUUGACAAUAUUGUUUAGGUCUAUCGUAACUAUUUUUUUAAAGUAUAAUGUUAGUAAUUUUCUUUUUCUUUUUACACUCUUUUAAAUAUUUUUUAUGAUGGAUUAAAAUUGAUUAAAAAUAAAUAAUUUCUAAUAAAUUUAAGAAAAAUAAAUAUUAACUGAAAAAUAAAAUCUAUUAAAAUUUUUAAUUUUUAAAUAAAUUAUAAUCAAUCACUAAGAAAAUAUUAAAAAAAGAGUAUGUACUUUUUUUGUG
rnacentral:lncRNA from 1 species